rnacentral:lncRNA from 1 species
UAGUGAUCAAUCCCCUCCACCACCGCCAUCAUCUAGCCCCCCACCACUAGCUCCAGCCACCCCACAAACACCUCCAUAUAGUUCCCCUGUUACACCUCCAAGUUACGAACCUAACUAUCAACCGCCACCGCCUCCAUUGAAUCCUCCAUCCGUUCCAACACCACCUCCAUCCAGCCUUCCCGCAACACCUCCAAUGUCCCCGACUAAUGAGCAACCUCCUCCACCAUCGCCAUCAUCACCAUUAAGUCCACCUGCCACACCUCCAAUGUACCAAGCUAACCAACCACCGCCGCCGGCACCGACACCACCACCACCUAGUCCUUCAGCAACAACGUCACCACCUGGUCCCCCUACUGGUACUAAUGGAUGGGUGCAAGUUCAUAACUUCCGUGACACUUUGUACUGGCAAAUCGCACGCUUUGCGGUAUUAAUGCACAAGUUGGUAUACAAGAAGGAGAUGACCCUUGUCGAUGUGUUGUAUGUGAGCAUGCAGCCUUCGGGAAUUGGCAACAACUACUUUCUUGAGAUAAAAGCUGCAGAUGAGAAUAAUAAGGUCGGCAGGUAUCAAGUGCUUGUAUGGGGUGUGCCUGGGUCAACAGCUCAGCCAUGGAAAGUACUGUCGUUUAAAUUUAUAGGAUACUAAGCACAUGGUGAAAAUAAGAAUCUAGCUAGUAGCCAUGUUUGGUAUUUCUAGGGAAAAGAUAUAUAGAAUUUUUGUGGUCAAUGUGCGCCUGCAUGUCUGCAGAUUAGUUAAUCUUUGUAGCACUUAGGGGCUUGAUAUACCAAUAUAUGAUUCUGAUUUCAACGACAAAUUUUUUCGUGUUCUUAUUCAAAAUUGCCUCAAAUUUAUAUAAUAUGGUUGGAGAUAUGAUCAUAUACCUAGAAGCGUAAGCACGCUUCGCUGCGCCAUUUGUUUGAUGGUUACCCUGUACCUGUUAAAGUUUUUUGCUUAUUUGUAGUUCACUAUUUGUUAGUUCUAAUAUUGCUACAAGUAGUACUAGUUGUUAACAUUAAUCGUGCCUGCAUGCUGGCAAGAAAUAUCCUAGGCAGUAAAGCUGCAUGGAUGCAGCUAUGAAGAGCAAAGAAGAAGGUGAAAAAUGCAUGUAGUAUGACGGUAUAGCGGGUCAAAAGAAUUUGACUAGUAGUCUUUGCUGAUAAGUAAGUGACUAGUUGCACAAAGAAUGAGCUGCAUGUAAGCUAGAUGCCAAAGUCAAUUUGGCUAGCCAAUAAGUAAGAGAACAUGAAUUCAAUAUCAGAAAGAAAACACACAUAAUUACUGACAGGUUGACUCAAGCAGGACCAAGUAUAUGCACAAAAUUAAGAGUGUCAAGAGGUUGCAUUUCCAUGACUUGUUUUAGAAAUGUAAGUGCAAGUGCCUAACUCGGUAGCGUUGAAACUUGUACUCGGUUACAUCAGCCUAGUCAUCCUAGACAUAAGUUUAGAACCAAAAAGGAGAGUUGAAUAAGUAAUCAGCAGCAGCACAUGGAAAAUGAUGGCUAUCACGCUUCAUAGUUAAGAAGCAACCGUUUUCAGUGUAAAUAAAAAAUAUUCGGCAAGAAAAUGAGACGUAAAAAGGAGUAUUGAAACUUCAAAAUUGAAAUCAUAGUGAUACGCCUUCUCAUCAGCCAAAAAAAACUAUGGCAAAUAACUUAGUCAGGUUCAACUACAGGGGAAAACCUAACAAACAGGAUAGCCAACAGAGGGCACCCCAACACCUGCCACACAAUCGAAAAGAAAAGCACCCACCAUAUUUAGCCAAAAGAAUACAUACAUGCUGCGCCCAAACAUUUAAUCUUGGAACAAUAAUCUUAUGAAAUACACAUGCAAGCAGUUUUUGUGUUCAUAAACUUGACAGAACCUGAACAAACAAAAUGAUCUAGGGGGACACAACACAAUAUGAUAUCAUCAUUUUUGUGUUGGCGUGAUCGUAUUAGAAGAAAAUAAUUCCACUCUUCAGCCGUCUUUCAGCCUUCUAGUCAAAUUAUAUUAUAUGGCAAAGAUUUAAAGCGAGUCUAAGGUACUAACAGCCUUUUGGCCUGAUGCUGAUCUUCGGUGUAGGCACACGUAUUGUAUUUGCAACUGUAAGUAAACAUGGGGAAGGGCAGGUGUUACCAAGAACACUUCCAGCAGCAGCUCUGAAAUCACCAGAAUUAAAUUAUGCCUCUUCCACAGGGUUAGAAAUAAGAGGAAAAGCUGACCAUGAGCAAGGCCUCACUACGAGGAUCUUACUUUCAGAUGGUAGGUAAGCAGAUGCAAAUGCAUAAUAUUCCCUCCUCAUGGUAAACAUACAACCUUCCAGGCAGGGGAAAAAGCUUGUUCAUUCACAACCUCUCAACUGGCAUCACCACAGCUUACCCUGUACAGAACAAGAGUAUUUUUUUAGAUGAUAGAAUAAGAGCAUUGGCAACCAGAUAUGUUUAUACUAGCUAUAACAGGGAUCAGUAUAUAUAGUUGUAGAGAACACUUUCUAUUUGGCCUUGUAGCAAUAUCUAGGGCUAGGCACGAGUAUUAAAUACGUACUUCACUUGGUCACGACGACUCCAAGAAGAUCAAGAGAGGUGAACAAGACGUGAGCCGACUUGUGAUCAGACUAUCUGACAUCAUAUAGCAAAAUCAAACACUGGAUCUAUUAUGGUCUCAAGAAAAUACAUGUCUUGCUUGCAGAAGAUGUAAUGCACUACCAGUUUUACCACCGAAAGAUGCAUGGUUUCAGCCAUGAAGAGUUGCCUCAGAUUCUUGCUUAGUGAGAUCAGAUGAAGGUUUUAGCUAGUGAUAUUCUAGAUGAUCCCUUGUCAAUAAUAGGUGGGUGCUGCAACCACAAUCAGUAAAAUAGUAAGCCUUAACAACUAACAAUGCUGAACAAUCAACACAAUCAAUGGGUAACAAGCUGCAAGACUUAUCAACAAAAAGCUAUAUCCCAAGAAAGGAAGAAAAUGAAUUAAAUGACUGUAUUGUUGCAUCGUGCAGAGAACAUAUUUAAACAGGCAUGGUAAGAAUGGCUAAGUAAAUAUAGGAGCAACAGCGUACAAUGGCUAAAACGGAUGUCCAGAAUAAAAUGGUCUACAUCUUCAUACUUAUUCACUUCAACCCACAAAAAGAGAUACAUAAAAAAAGGCCCUGCACAUAUAGAAGUGUAUAUUCGCUUAGACCUGAAAUUAACUAUUCGUUAAAAUCCUUACUGAACAAGUAUUCUGUACAAGUAAACUGAGAUGUCACUUCAGCGUCUUACUCUUCCCCAACAAACAACUUAACGACCAGCAGCUUGUAACAAAACCUUAAUUGUAUAUACAGAUAUGGUAGCAAGUUUUCACCAUCCUGCUUGGGUACUUCCAAUGGAUGACCAUUUCGAAUGUGCAAUGGGACCAAUUUAUAAGUUGCUGAAGUUCAACUCACAUUCUUCCCAACGCAAAAAUGAAAUACAUAUAACUAAAAAAGUGGCAUGGUGAUUGCAAAAUAGUCGACAAAGAAUACAAUCAGGAUAAAAUGAGCGUACCAUGUACACUAUUUGUUAUUAUCCUAAAAAAACUACUGUGUGUUAUUUGCCGGGGCCUUGACAUGCCCAUUUUUCACGCUAAUCAAACUCAGCCGCUUGACGAUUGCAAAAAAAAAAAAGAGUAGCGAGUCGAUGUAAAAGCAUGGGCAAAUUGGCGUGAAAGUAAAAUUGCACCUUUUGUAUGUGGUUUGUCUCGCUGAACCACAAUACCAUCAAUUAGCAUGACCAAGCGGAUUAGAAGGUGUAGCCUGGCAGUGCAUGGAGAGGGCUUGCCAUGGCGGUGCCAGCAGCGGCAUGGCGACUAGGCAGCCGAGAAGAGUUCCGGCAAGNNNNNNNNNNNNNNNNNNNNNNNNNNNNNNNNNNNNNNNNNNNNNNNNNNNNNNNNNNNNNNNNNNNNNNNNNNNNNNNNNNNNNNNNNNNNNNNNNNNNNNNNNNNNNNNNNNNNNNNNNNNNNNNNNNNNNNNNNNNNNNNNNNNNNNNNNNNNNNNNNNNNNNNNNNNNNNNNNNNNNNNNNNNNNNNNNNNNNNNNNNNNNNNNNNNNNNNNNNNNNNNNNNNNNNNNNNNNNNNNNNNNNNNNNNNNNNNNNNNNNNNNNNNNNNNNNNNNNNNNNNNNNNNNNNNNNNNNNNNNNNNNNNNNNNNNNNNNNNNNNNNNNNNNNNNNNNNNNNNNNNNNNNNNNNNNUGGACCGGAGUGACAUGCCGCGGCGAUUCGUCGAACAGGUGGUGCGCGUCCUGCGGGGGUGAGCGUCCCGGAGCGCGCGUGAGUGCUCCGUGGCGGCGGCGGAAGUGGCGUGGCGCUUCCAGCUGCGUGAGGGCGGUGAGAUGGAGGAUGAGCGGGAGGAGGCGGAGGAGCGGCGAGGGCGGGGGCGGAGGCGGUGGCGGACAUCGGCGUGGUGGAGGAGAGGCGAGACACUCGGCGAGUGCGAAGUCACUCCUACAUUUGAGUCUGCCUCUGUCCGGUAUAGUAGUCUGCCUCGUUCAUUUUGUCAAACUUUGACCGUAAAUUUCAAAAGUCAUUUUUUAAAACUUUUAUCAAAUUUAUUAUGAGAAAAUACUGACAUCUGUAAUAUCAUAAAAAUAUAAAAGGAUAUUUCAUGAUGAAUCUAAUGAUACUGAUAUUAAUGUUCAUAUAUUUCUCUAUAAAUUUGGUUAGUUUAAAGAAGUUUUACUUUUGAAAAAACCAAUACACCUUAUGCCUUAUACUACUUUGGAAGGAAGGGAGUAUUUAAUUGUACUAGUCAAAUUUAUACUCAAAUUUAAUCCAAAAUACAAGGGGGCUUAUAAACCUGAAUGGAAGGAGUACUUGCAUGAACGUAUCGUUUCUUUCUUCCCGAGGAAGAAAGUGAUCUCACCGCCGCCGCUAGAAGCGUUUUCUUCCGUUGUCGUCCUCCGGUGGUUCCUCUUCGCCGACGAUCUUGGUCAUCAGUGGUGAGGGGUGUGGGGGUUGCCAGAUUCACUAUUACUAGCUUAGGUUUUGGACUGUUCAUCGUCUUGGUUUCGGCGACGGCGAUGACAGCGUGGAAUAAAGAUUCUUCAUGUCCUACCCCGACAAGAUGGUCGGUCCUAUAGUUGGGGAUGGAUUUGAAAUCCAAUCUGUUCAAGCAAGGAUGGUGCGGCAGCGGCGACAUCCUUGUGGUGGACCUGUGUCCUCGGCCUCCGCCGUUGUGGCGGCGUCUGCUUCAGUAUGAGCACGGAGCUUGGGAGGUAGUCCAAAAACGGAUGCAGAUUAUGGUCUGCAUUGGCGGCAUCUAGAAAAUGGUGAUCAUGUGCUGAGUCUGUGGUGCGUGGAUGGUAGGUAUGUUCCUCCUCCGGUAUCUUAGUCAUGUGAGGGGUGCCAGAUCUGGAGUUCGAUGGCGUAUACGGGGCGUUGCCUUGGUCCGAUUCAUUCAACGGUAAUGGUUUCAUCUUUGGCGAGCCCCAGCAAAGUUGCAUAUCAGCGAUAGAGCCACGUCGAGCUCGGGUGUGGAGGUGAUCUGUCAUGUUUUCCUUUGGUGGCUAUGUACUGUGGUAGUUUCAGAGGUGAUGAUGGGUGUUGGUAUCAAGCUCAGAGGAUUCUUAUAAUUUUACUUCUUAGCUGAUAUUCCUUUGUGUAAAGGCUAGCGUUUUAUUGUCUUUUUAGAUUUAUCGGGUCGCUAUGUACAUGGCUUGUACUAUGAUGUUUAUAAUAUAAAUGAGACACAUAUUACCAUGAAAAAAAGAGUACUUGUAUGUCUGACUUGUGUCGAUUAUAUCCCCUCUAAUGAAAAAUAAAUAAACUACUCCAACUAGUGGUAACUGCUAGAGUCUUCGUGUAUCUACAUUUAUUUAAAGUGAAUUUUAUGUUCAAGUAUAUAUUUCAAAAUUACAUGAUUUGUGGUACUUUUGUUGAAAGGCACUAAAACAGAUUGUUGUUCCCUAUUCUCAAUUAGUUGAAGUUUUGAAAAGAAGCUAGAAUUUCUUUGACAAACUUUUGAAGUGUUUCUUGGCCUAUCGCAUUUUGGGCAUGCCUUUCGCGUUCGGUGGCUAUGGCUUUACCGUACCGACAAUUUGUGACCAUGGCAUAGUCUGCAACUCCAGCAUAAUAUCAAGGUCCGAGAGCUCUUCUAUUCGGCGACUAUCAGCUCUGUGGGUGUCGGUGCAUCGACAUUAUUCUGGGAGGAUGCUUGGAUCGAUGGCAAAGGCAUUCGUGAGUUUGUGCCGAUGACUUUGUUCCUCAACCUCCUCGAACCACACAGUCUCGCACUAUGCGCGAAGGCAUGUCCAAUCAUGCUUGGAUCCGAGACAUUCAAGGUGCCAUCAGUGCUCUCUGAGCAUUCAUGGUGCAAUAUAUUGGACCGUGUUUGGUCUGUAUUAUUCCUCGCAUUUGUGGCCUGAUUCAACCUCGCUGAGCUACUACAUGCUCAGUGUCAUGUUUUGCACUUAGCUUGGUUUCUCGUAAAACCCGAACCUGCAUUAGAGGCAAACCACUAGCACCGUGUUUAGUUGCAAGCAUCUAAUACCAGAUGCAACAUGAUGGUGGUCGGCUAUGUUAAGACAUGCGGUAUGGUAACCUCUUGUUCGACUGGUGAGGCUAUUGAUUUCUACUACACAACCUUCUUCUUGUAGACGUUGUUGGGCCUCCAAGUGCAGAGGUUUGUAGGACAAUAACAAAUUUUUCUUAAGUGCAUGACCUAAGGUUUAUCAAUCCGUAGGAGGCGUAGGAUGAAGAUGGUCUCUCUCGAGCAACCCUACAACCAAACAACAAAGAGUCUCUUGUGUCCCCAACACACCCAAUACAAUGGUAAAUUGUAUAGGUGCGCUAGUUCGGCGAAGAGAUGGUGAUACAAGUGGUAUAUGGAUGGUAGAUAAUAAUUUUUUUAAUCUGAAAAUAUAAAAACAGCAAGGUAACUAAUGAUAAAAGUGAGUGUAAACGGUAUUGCAAUGUGUGGAAACAAGGCCUAGGGUUCAUAUUUUCACUAGUGUAAGUCCCCUCAAUAAUACUAACAUAAUUGGAUCACAUAACUAUCCCUCAACAUGCAACAAAGAGUCACUCCAAAGUCACUAAUAGCGGAGAACGAACGAAGAGAUUAUGAUAGGGUACGAAACCACCUCAAAGUUAUUCUUUCCAAUCAAUCCAUUGGGCUAUUCCUAUAAGUGUCACAAAUAGCCCUAGAGUUCGUACUAGAAUAACACCUUAAGAUACAAAUCAACCAAAACCCUAAUGUCACCUAGAUACUCCAAUGUCACCUCAAGUAUCCGUGGGCAUGAUUAUACGAUAUGCAUCACACAAUCUCAGAUUCAUCUAUUCAACCAACACAAAGGACCUCAAAGAGUGCCUCAAAGUUCUACCGGAGAAUCACGACGAAAAUGUGUGCCAACCCCUAUGCAUAGGCUCCCAUUGUCAAAAAACCCGCAAGUUGGUCACCAAAACAUACAUCAAGUGGCACGUGAUAUCCCAUUGUCACCACAAAUAUUCACGGCAAGACAUAUAUCAAGUGUUCCCAAGUCUUUAAAGACUCAAUCCGAUAAGAAUACUUCAAAGAGGAAACUCAAUUCAUUACAAGAGAUAAGAGGGGGGGGGGAGAAACAUAAGAUCCAACUAUAAUAGCAAAGCUCGCGAUACAUCAAGAUCGUAUCAUCUCAAGAACACGAGAGAGAGAGAGAGAUCAAACACAUAGCUACGGGUACAUACCCUCAGCCCCGAGGGAGAACUACUCCCUCCUCGUCAUGGAGAGCGCCGGGAUGAUGAAGAUGGACACCGGUGAGGGUUCCCCCCUCCGGUAGGGUGCCGGAACAGGGUCCCGAUUGACUUUUGGUGGCUACAGAGGCUUCUGGCGGCGGAACUCCUGAUCUAUUGUCCGUUCUGGAAGUUUUAGGUCACGUAGGUAUAUAUGGGUGCAGGAGGUACGUCAGGGGAGCCACGAGGGCCCCACGAGACAGGGGGGCGCGCCCUAGGGGGGGCGCCCCCCACCCUCGUGAGCACCUCAUUUCUUCCUUGACGUGGGGUCCAAGUCCAUCAGGUGUGUUUCCUUCCAAAAAUAACUUCUCUAGUUAAUUUCUUUCCAUUUUGACUCCGUCUGAUAUUCCUUUUCUUCAAAACACUGGAAUAGGCAUAAAACAAAAAAUCUGGGUUGGGCCUCCGGUUAAUAGGUUAGUCCCAAAAAUAAUAUAAAAGUGGAUAAUAAAGCCCAAUAUUGCUUAAAACAGUAGAUAAUAUAGCAUGGAGCAAUCAAAAAUUAUAGAUACGUUGGAGACGUAUCAAGCAUCCCCAAGCUUAAUUCCUGCCCGUCCUCGAGUAGGUAAAUGAUAAAAAGAUAAUUUUUGAUGUGGAAUGCUAGUUGGCAUAAUUUCAAUGUAAUUCUUCUUACUUGUGAUAUGAAUAUUCAGAUUCGAGAGAUUCAAGACAAAAGUUCACAUUGACAUAAAAAUAAUAAUACUUCAAGCAUACUAACUAAGCAAUUAUGUCUUCUCAAAAUAACAUGGCCAAAGAAAGUUAUCCCUACAAAAUCAUAUAGUCUGGCUAUGCUCCAUCUUCACCACACAACAUAUUUAAAUCAUGCACAACCCCGAUGACAAGCCAAGCAAUUGUUUCAUACUUUUGAUGUUCUCAAACUUUUUCAAUCUUCACACAAUACAUGAGCGUGAGCCAUGGACAUAGCACUAUAGGUGGAAUAGAAUGGUGGUUGUGGAGAAGACAAAAAGGGAGAAGAUAGUCUCACAUCAACUAGGCAUAUCAAUGGGCUAUGGAGAUGCCCAUCAAUAGAUAUCAAUGUGAGUGAGUAGGGAUUGCCAUGCAACGGAUGCACUUAGAGCUAUAAAUGUAUGAAAGCUCAACAAAAGAAACUAGUGGUGUGCAUCCAACUUGCUUGCUCACGAAGACCUAGGGCAUUUGAUGAGGCCCAUCAUUGGAAUAUACAAGCCAAGUUCUAUAAUGUAAAAUUCCCACCAGUAUAUGAAAGUGAUAACAUGAGAGACUCUCUACUAUGAAGAUCAUGGUGCUACUUUGAAGCACAAGUGUGGUAAAAGGAUAGUAGCAUUGCCUCUUUUAUUUAUUUUCUUUUUUAUUUGGCCUUUCUUUUUUUAUUUGGCCUUUCUUUUUUUGGCCUUUCUCUUUUUUUAUUGGGACAAUGCUCUAUUGAAUGAUGAUCAUCACACUUCUAUUUAUUUACAACUCGAUGAUACAACUCGAUACUAGAACAAAGAUGACUCUAUAUGAAUGCCUCCGGCGGUGUACCUGUUGGGGAACGUAGCAGAAUUUUAAAAUUUUCUACGCAUCACCAAGAUCAAUCUAUGGAGUCAUCUAGCAACGAGGGAGAGAGGAGUGCAUCUACAUACCCUUGUAGAUCGCGCGCGGAAGCCUUCAAGAGAACGGGGUUGAUGGAGUCGUACUCGUCGUGAUCCAAAUCACCGAUGACCUAGCGCCGACGGACGGCACCUCCGCGUUCAACACACGUACGGUUGGGAAGACGUCUCCUCCAACUUGAUCCAGCAAGGGUGAAGGAGAGGUUGAUGAAGAUCCAGCAGCACGACGACGUGGUGGUGGAAGCAACGGUGAUCUCGGCAGGGCUUCGCCAAGCUCAGGGAGAGGGAGGAGUGUCACAAGAGGGAGAGGGAGGCGCCAGGUGUUGGGGAACGUUGCAGAAAACAAAAAAUUUCCUACUCGUUUCACCAAGAUCAUCUAGGAGUUCAUCUAGCAACGAGUGAUUAGAUGCAUCUACAUACCUUUGUAGAUCGCGCACGGAAGCGUUCAAAAGAAUGGUGAUGAUGUAGUCGUACUCGACGUGAUCCAAAUCACCGAUGACCAGCGCCGAACGGACGGCACCUCCGCGUUCAACACACGUACGGGACGGGAGACGUCUCCUCCUUCUUGAUCCAGCAAGGGGGAAGGAGAGGUUGAUGAAGAUCCAGCAGCACGACGGCGUGGUGGUGGAUGCAGGGCAUCACAGCAGCAGGGCUUCGCCGAGACUACGAGGGAGAGACGUAACGGGGGGAGAUGGAGGCGCCAGGGGCUGGUGUGUAAUCCCUCCUCUCCCCCCACUAUAUAUAGGGGUGCCAGGGGGGCGCCGGCCCUAGUAGAUGAGAUCUACUAGGGGGGGCGGCGGCCAAGGGGAGGUUUCCCUCCCCCCCAAGGCACCUAGGGGUGCCUUCCACCACAUGGACUCUUCCAUGGUGGAAACCCUAGGCGCAUGGGCCUAUAGGGGCUGGUGCCCUUGGCCCAUCUACGCCAAGGCGCACCCCCUACAGCCCAUGUGGCCCCCCAGGACAGGUGGCCCCACUCGGUGGACCCCCGGGACCCUUCCGGUGGUCCCGGUACAAUACCGAUAACCCCGAAACUUGUCCCGAUGCCCGAAAUAGCACUUCCUAUAUAUAAUUCUUUACCUCCGGACCAUUCUGGAACUCCUCGUGACGUCCGGGAUCUCAUCCGGGACUCCGAACAACAUUCGGGUUUCUGCAUAUACAUAUCUUCAUAACCCUAGCGUCACCGAACCUUAAGUGUGUAGACCCUACGGGUUCGGGAGACAAGCAGACAUGACCGAGACGACUCUCCGGUCAAUAACCAACAGCGGGAUCUGGAUACCCAUGUUGGCUCCCACAUGCUCCACGAUGAUCUCAUCGGAUGAACCACGAUGUCGAGGAUUCAAUCAAUCCCGUACGCUAUUCCCUUUGUCUAUCGAUAUGUUACUUGCCCGAGAUUCGAUCGUCGGUAUCCCAAUACCUCGUUCAAUCUCGUUACCGGCAAGUCACUUUACUCAUACCGUAAUGCAUGAUCCCGUGACCAGACACUUGGUCACUCUGAGCUCAUUAUGAUGAUGCAUUACCGAGUGGGCCCAGUGAUACCUCUCCGUCAUACGGAGUGACAAAUCCCAGUCUUGAUCCAUGUCACCCAACAGACACUUUCGGAGAUACCCGUAGUCUACCUUUAUAGUCACCCAGUUAUGUUGUGACGUUUGGCAUACCCAAAGCACUCCUACGGUAUCCGGGAGUUACACGAUCUCAUGGUCUAAGGAAAAGAUACUUUGCCAUUGGAAAACUCUAGCAAACGAACUAUACGAUCUUGUGCUAUGUUUAGGAUUGGGUCUUGUCCAUCACAUCAUUCUCCCAAUGAUGUGAUCUCGUUAUCAAUGACAUCCAGUGUCCAUAGUCAGGAAACCAUGACUAUCUGUUGAUCAACGAGCUAGUCAGCUAGAGGCUCACUAGGGACAUGUUGGUGUCUGUUAUUCACACAUGUAUUACGAUUUCCGGAUAACACAAUUAUAGCAUGAAUAAAGACAAUUAUCAUGAACAAGGAAAUAUAAUAAUAAUGCUUUUAUUAUUGCCUCUAGGGCAUAUUUCCAACAGUCUCCCACUUGCACUAGAGUCAAUAAUCUAGUUACAUUGUGAUGAAUCGAACACCCAUGGAAUUCUGGUGUUGAUCAUGUUUUGCUCUAGGGAGAGGUUUAGUCAACGGAUCUGCUAUAUUCAGGUCCGUAUGUACUUUACAAAUCUCUAUGUCUCCAUCUUGAACAUUUUCACGAAUGGAGUUGAAGCGACGCUUGAUGUGCCUUGUCUUCUUGUGAAACCUGGGCUCCUUGGCAAGUGCAAUAGCUCCAGUGUUGUCACAGAAGAGCUUGAUCGGCCCCGACGCAUUGGGUAUGACUCCUAGGUCGAUGAUGAACUCCUUCACCCAUAUUGCUUCAUGUGCUGCCUCCGAGGCUGCCAUGUACUCCGCUUCACAUGUAGAUCCCGCCACGACGCUUUGCUUGCAACUGCACCAGCUUACUGCCCCACCAUUCAAAAUAUACACGUAUCCGGUUUGUGACUUAGAGUCAUCCAGAUCUGUGUCGAAGCUAGCGUCGACGUAACCCUUUACGACGAGCUCUUCGUCACCUCCAUAAACGAGAAACAUUUCGUUAGUCCUUUUCAGGUACUUCAGGAUAUUCUUGACCGCUGUCCAGUGUUCCUUGCCGGGAUUACUUUGGUACCUUCCUACCAAACUGACGGCAAGGUUAACAUCAGGUCUGGUACACAACAUGGCAUACAUAAUAGAACCUAUGGCUGAGGCAUAGGGGAUGACGCUCAUCUCUUCUAUAUCUUCUGCCGUGGUCGGACAUUGAGCUGAGCUCAAUUUCAUACCUUGUAACACAGGCAAGAACCCCUUCUUGGAUUGAUCCAUAUUGAACUUCUUCAAUAUCUUAUCAAGGUAUGUGCUUUGUGAAAGACCUAUGAGGCGUCUCGAUCUAUCUCUAUAGAUUUUGAUGCCUAAUAUAUAAGCAGCUUCUCCAAGGUCCUUCAUUGAAAAACUUUUAUUCAAGUAGGCCUUGAUGCUGUCCAAGAGUUCCAUAUCAUUUCCCAUCAAAAGUAUGUCAUCUACAUAUAAUAUGAGAAAUGCUACAGAGCUCCCACUCACUUUCUUGUAAACGCAGGCUUCUCCAUAAGUCUGUGUAAACCCAAACGCUUUGAUCAUCUCAUCAAAGCGAAUGUUCCAACUCCGAGAUGCUUGCACCAGCCCAUAAAUCGAGCGUUUGAGCUUGCACACUUUGUCAGCAUUCUCAGGAUCGACAAAACCUUCCGGCUGCAUCAUAUACAAUUCUUCCUUAAGGAAACCAUUAAGGAAUGCCGUUUUGACGUCCAUUUGCCAUAUUUCGUAAUCAUAGAAUGCGGCAAUUGCUAACAUGAUUCGGACGGACUUCAGCUUCGCUACCGGUGAGAAAGUCUCAUUGUAGUCAACCCCUUGAACUUGUCGAUAACCCUUAGCGACAAGCCGAGCUUUAUAGAUGGUCACAUUACCAUCCGCGUCUGUCUUCCUCUUAAAGAUCCAUUUAUUUUCUAUGGCUCACCGCUCAACGGGCAAGUCAAUCAAAGUCCAUACUUUGUUUUCAUACAUGGAUCCUAUCUCGGAUUUCAUGGCUUCUAGCCAUUUGUCGGAAUCCGGGCCCGCCAUCGCUUCUUCAUAGUUCGAAGGUUCACCGUUGUCUAACAGCAUGAUUUCCAAGACAGGGUUGCCGUACCACUCUGGUGCGGAACGUGUCCUUGUGGACCUUCGAAUUUCAGUAGGGGCUUGAUCAGAAGUAUCUUGAUCAUUGUCAUUAACUUCCUCUCUAGUCGGUGCAGGCACCUCAGGAACAUUUUCUUGAGUUGCGCCAUUUUCCGGUUCAAGAGGUAAUACUUCAUCAAGCUCUACUUUCCUCCCACUUACUUCUUUCGAGAGAAACUCUUUCUCCAGAAAGGACCCAUUCUUGGCAACAAAGAUCUUGCCUUCGGAUCUGAGGUAGAAGGUGUACCCAAUAGUUUCUUUGGGUAUCCUAUGAAGACGCAUUUUUCCGACUUGGGUUCGAGCUUUUCAGGUUGAAGUUUCUUGACAUAAGCAUCGCAUCCCCAAACUUUUAGAAACGACAGCUUAGGUUUCUUCCCAAACCAUAAUUCAUACGGUGUCGUCUCAACGGAUUUCGACGGAGCCCUAUUUAAAGUGAAUGCGACAGUCUCUAAAGCAUAGCCCCAAAAGGAUAGCGGUAAAUCGGUAAGAGACAUCAUAGAUCGCACCAUAUCUAAUAGAGUGCGAUUACGACGUUCGGACACACCAUUACGCUGAGGUGUUCUAGGCGGCGUGAGUUGUGAAACUAUUCCACAUUUUCUUAAGUGUGUGCCAAACUCGUGACUCAAGUAUUCUCCUCCACGAUCUGAUCGUAGAAACUUGAUUUUCCUGUCACGUUGAUUUUCAACCUCACUCUGAAAUUCCUUGAACUUUUCAAAGGUUUCAGACUUGUGUUUCAUUAAGUAGAUAUACCCAUACCUACUUAAAUCAUCAGUGAGGGUGAGAACAUAACGAUAGCCACCGCGAGCCUCAACACUCAUUGGACCGCACACAUCAGUAUGUAUGAUUUCCAAUAAGUCGGUUGCUCGCUCCAUUGUUCCUGAGAACGGAGUCUUGGUCAUUUUACCCAUAAGGCAUGGUUCGCAUGUGUCAAAUGAUUCAUAAUCAAGAGACUCUAAAAGUCCAUCAGUAUGGAGCUUCUUCAUGCGUUUGACACCUAUGUGACCAAGGCGGCAGUGCCACAGGUAUGUGGGACUAUCAUUAUCAACCUUACUUCUUUUGGUACUCACAUUAUGAACAUGUGUAGCAUCACGUUCGAGAUUCAUAAAGAAUAAACCAUUCACCAUAGGAGCAUGACCAUAAAACAUAUCUCUCAUAAAAAUGGAACAACCAUUAUUCUCAGAUUUAAAUGAGUAGCCAUCUCGAAUUAAACGAGAUCCCGAUACAAUGUUCAUGCUCAAAGCUGGCACUAAAUAACAAUUAUUAAGGUUUAAAACUAAUCCCGAAGGGAGAUGCAGAGGUAGCGUGCCGACGGCGACCACAUUGACCUUGGAACCAUUCCCGACGCGCAUCGUCACCUCGUCCUUUGCCAGUUUCCGCUUAUUCUGCAGCCCCUGCUUUGAGUUACAAAUGUGAGCAACUGCACCGGUAUCAAAUACCCAGGAGCUACUACGGGCACUAGUAAGGUACACAUCAAUUACAUGUAUAUCACAUAUACCUUUUGUUUUGUCGGCCUUCUUAUCCGCUAAGUACUUAGGGCAGUUCCGCUUCCAGUGACCGCUUCCCUUGCAAUAAAAGCACUCAGUCUCGGGCUUGGGUCCAUUCUUUGGCUUCUUCCCGGUAGCUUGCUUGCCGGGCGCGGCAACCUCCUUGCCGUCCUUCUUGAAGUUCUUUUUACCCUUGCCUUUCUUGAACUUAGUGGUUUUAUUGACCAUCAACACUUGAUGUUCCUUCCUGACUUCUACCUCUGCUGAUUUCAGCAUAGCAAAUACUUCAGGAAUGGUCUUUUCCAUCCCCUGCAUAUUGAAGUUCAUCACAAAGCUCUUGUAGCUUGGUGGAAGCGACUGGAGGAUUCUGUCAAUGACCGCAUCAUCCGGGAGAUUAACUCCCAGCUGAGUCAAGCGGUUAUGCAACCCAGACAUAGUGAGUAUGUGCUCACUGACAGAACUGUUUUCCUCCAUCUUACAGCUGAAGAAUUUGUCGGAGACUUCAUAUCUCUCGACCCGGGCAUGAGCUUGGAAAACCAUUUUCAGCUCUUCGAACAUCUCAUAUGCUCCAUGUCUCUCAAAACGCUUUUGGAGCCCCGGCUCUAGGCUGUAAAGCAUGCCGCACUGAACGAGGGAGUAGUCAUCGGAACGUGCCUGCCAAGCGUUCAUAACAUCUUGUUCUGCAGGGAGAAUGGGUGCGUCACCAAGCGGUGCUUGUAGGACAUAAUCUUUCUUGGCAGCUAUGAGGAUGAUCCUCAUGUUCCGGACCCAGUCCGUAUAGUUGCUGCCAUCGUCUUUCAGCUUGGUUUUCUCUAGGAACGCGUUGAAGUUGAGGACUACGUUGGCCAUUUAAUCUACAAGACAUAUUGUAAAAUAUUUAGACUAAGUUCAUGAUAAUUAAGUUCAACUAAUCAAAUUAUUAAUGAACUCCCACUUAGAUUAGACAUCCCUCCAGUCAUCUAAGUAUUACAUGAUCCGAGUUUAACUAGACCGUGUCCGAUCAUCACGUGAGACGGACUAGUCAACGUCGGUGAACAUCUUCAUGUUGAUCGUAUCUUCUAUACGACUCAUGCUCGACCUUUCGGUCUUCUGUGUUCCGAGGCCAUGUCUGUACAUGCUAGGCUCGUCAAGUUAACCUAAGUGUUUGCAUGUGUAAAUCUGUCUUACACCCAUUGUAUGUGAACGUCUGAAUAAAACACCCGAUCAUCAUGUGGUGUUUUGAAACAGCGAACUGUCGCAACGGUGCACAGUUAGGGGGAACACUUCUUGAAUUUAUUGUGAGGGAUCAUCUUAUUUACUACCGUCGUUCUAAGUAAACAAGAUGCAAAACAUGAUAAACAUCACAUGCAAUCAAAUAAUAAACGUGACAUGAUAUGGCCAAUAUCACAUAGCUCCUUUGAUCUCCAUCUUGGGGCUCCAUGAUCAUCUUGUCACCGGCUUGACACCAUGAUCUCCAUCAUCAUGAUCUCCAUCAUCGUGUCUCCAUGAAGUUGCUCGCCAACUAUUACUUCUACUACUAUGGCUAACGCGUUUAGCAAUAAAGUAAAGUAAUUUACAUGGCGUUUCUCGAUGACACGCAGGUCAUAAAAAGAAUAAAGACAACUCCUAUGGCUCCUGCCGGUUGUCAUACUCAUCGACAUGCAAGUCGUGAAUCCUAUUACAAUAGCAUGAACAUCUCAUACAUCACAUAUAGAUCAUUCAUCAUUCAUCACAACUUUGGCCAUAUCAUAUCACAAACCACUUGCUGCAAAAACAAGUUAGACGUCCUCUAAUAGUUGUUGCAAGUUUUACGUGGCUGAAUUAGGGUUCUAGCAAGAACGUUUUCUUACCUACGUUAAAGCCACAACGUGAUUUGUCAACUUCUAUUUACCCUUCAUAAGGACCCUGUUCAUCGAUUCCGCUCCAACUAAAGUGAGAGAGACAGACACCCGCCAGCCACCUUAUGCAACUAGUGCAUGUUAGUCGGUGGAACCGGUCUCACGUAAGCGUACGUGUAAGGUUGGUCCGGGCCGCUUCAUCCCACAAUACCGCUGAAGCAAGAAAGGACUAGUAACGGCAAGAAAGUUGACAAAUCUACGCCCACAACAAAUUGUGUUCUACUCGCGCAAGAAGAACUACGCAUAGACCUAGCUCAUGAUGCCACUGUUGGGGAACGUUGCAGAAAACAAAAAUUUUCCUACUCGUUUCACCAAGAUCAUCUAGGAGUUCAUCUAGCAACGAGUGAUUAGAUGCAUCUACAUACCUUUGUAGAUCGCGCACGGAAGCGUUCAAAAGAAUGGUGAUGAUGUAGUCGUACUCGACGUGAUCCAAAUCACCGAUGACCAGCGCCGAACGGACGGCACCUCCGCGUUCAACACACGUACGGGACGGGAGACGUCUCCUCCUUAUUGAUCCAGCAAGGGGGAAGGAGAGGUUGAUGAAGAUCCAGCAGCACGACAACGUGGUGGUGGAUGCAGGGCGUCACAGCAGCAGGGCUUCGCCGAGACUACGAGGGAGAGACGUAACGGGGGGAGAUGGAGGCGCCAGGGGCUGGUGUGUAAUCCCUCCUCUCCCCCCACUAUAUAUAGGGGUGCCAGGGGGGCGCCGGCCCUAGUAGAUGAGAUCUACUAGGGGGGGCGGCGGCCAAGGGGAGGUUUCCCUCCCCCCCAAGGCACCUAGGGGUGCCUUCCACCACAUGGACUCUUCCAUGGUGGAAACCCUAGGCGCAUGGGCCUAUAGGGGCUGGUGCCCUUGGCCCAUCUAGGCCAAGGCGCACCCCCUACAGCCCAUGUGGCCCCCCGGGACAGGUGGCCCCACCCGGUGGACCCCCGGGACCCUUCCGGUGGUCCCGGUACAAUACCGAUAACCCCGAAACUUGUCCCGAUGCCCGAAAUAGCACUUCCUAUAUAUAAUUCUUUACCUCCGGACCAUUCCGGAACUCCUCGUGACGUCCGGGAUCUCAUUCGGGACUCCGAACAACAUUCGGGUUUUUGCAUAUACAUAUCUUCAUAACCCUAGCGUCACCGAACCUUAAGUGUGUAGACCCUACGGGUUCGGGAGACAAGCAGACAUGACCGAGACGACUCUCCGGUCAAUAACCAACAGCGGGAUCUGGAUACCCAUGUUGGCUCCCACAUGCUCCACGAUGAUCUCAUCGGAUGAACCACGAUGUCGAGGAUUCAAUCAAUCCCGUACGCUAUUCCCUUUGUCUAUCGAUAUGUUACUUGCCCGAGAUUCGAUCGUCGGUAUCCCAAUACCUCGUUCAAUCUCGUUACCGGCAAGUCACUUUACUCGUACCGUAAUGCAUGAUCCCGUGACCAGACACUUGGUCACUCUGAGCUCAUUAUGAUGAUGCAUUACCGAGUGGGCCCAGUGAUACCUCUCCGUCAUACGGAGUGACAAAUCCCAGUCUUGAUCCAUGUCACCCAACAUACACUUUCGGAGAUACCCGUAGUCUACCUUUAUAGUCACCCAGUUACGUUGUGACGUUUGGCAUACCCAAAGCACUCCUACGGUAUCCGGGAGUUACACGAUCUCAUGGUCUAAGGAAAAGAUACUUUGACAUUGGAAAACUCUAGCAAACGAACUAUACGAUCUUGUGCUAUGUUUAGGAUUGGGUCUUGUCCAUCACAUCAUUCUCCCAAUGAUGUGAUCUCGUUAUCAAUGACAUCCAGUGUCCAUAGUCAGGAAACCAUGACUAUCUGUUGAUCAACGAGCUAGUCAACUAGAGGCUCACUAGGGACAUGUUGGUGUCUGUUAUUCACACAUGUAUUACGAUUUCCGGAUAACACAAUUAUAGCAUGAAUAAAGACAAUUAUCAUGAACAAGGAAAUAUAAUAAUAAUGCUUUUAUUAUUGCCUCUAGGGCAUAUUUCCAACACCAGGGGCUAGGGUGCGGCUGCCCUCCCUCCCCCCCACUAUAUAUAGGACCCCUAGGGGGGCGCCGGCCCUAGGAGAUUGAAUCUCCAAGGGGGGGCGGCAGCCAAGGGGGGUGGAGUGCCCCCCAAGCCAAGUGGGGCGCCCCCCACCCCUAGGGUUUCCAACCCUAGGCGCAGGGGGAGGCCCAUGGGGGGGCGCACAAGCCCACUAGGGGCUGGUUCCCCUCCCACUUUAGCCCAUGCGGCCCUCCGGGAUAGGUGGCCCCACCUGGUGGACCCCCGGGACCCUUCCGGUGGUCCCGGUACAAUACCGAUUACCCCCGAAACCUUCCCGAUGGCCGAACCUUGACUUCCUAUAUAUAAAUCUUCACCUCUGGACCAUUCCGGAACUCCUCGUGAUGUCCGGGAUCUCAUCCGGGACUUCGAACAACUUUCGGGUUACCAUAUACUAAUAUCUCAACAACCCUAGCGUCACCGAACCUUAAGUGUGUAGACCCUACGGGUUCGGGAGACACACAGACAUGACCGAGACGACUCUCCGGUCAAUAACCAACAGCGGGAUCUGGAUACCCAUGUUGGCUCCCACAUGCUCCUCGAUGAUCUCAUCGGAUGAACCACGAUGUCGAGGAUUCAAUCAAUCCCGUAUACAAUUCCCUUUCUCAAUCGGUACGUUACUUGCCCGAGACUCGAUCGUGGGUAUCCCAAUACCUCGUUCAAUCUCGUUACCGGCAAGUCACUUUACUCGUACCGUAAUGCAUGAUCCCGUGAUCAACCACUUGGUCACAUUGAGCUCAUUAUGAUGAUGCAUUACCGAGUGGGCCCAGAGAUACCUCUCCGUCAUACGGAGUGACAAAUCCCAGUCUCGAUUCGUGCCAACCCAACAGACACUUUCGGAGAUACAUGUAGUGUACCUUUAUAGUCACCCAGUUACGUUGUGAUGUUUGGCACACCCAAAGCACUCCUACGGCAUCCGGGAGUUUCACAAUCUCAUGGUCUAAGGAAAUGAUACUUGACAUUCGGAAAAGCUAUAGCAAACGAACAACACAAUCUUUGAGCUAUGCUUAGGAUUGGGUCUUGUCCAUCACAUCAUUCUCCUAAUGAUGUGAUCCCGUUAUCAAUGACAUCCAAUGUCCAUAGUCAGGAAACCAUGACUAUCUUUUGAUCAACGAGCUAGUCAACUAGAGGGUCACUAGGGACGUGUUGUGGUCUAUGUAUUCACACAUGUAUUACGAUUUCCGGAUAACACAAUUAUAUCAUGAACAAUAGACAAUUAUCAUGAACAAAGAAAUAUAAUAGUAACCAUUUUAUUAUUGCCUCUAGGGCAUAUUUCCAACAGUCUCCCACUUGCACUAGAGUCAAUAGUCUAGUUACAUUGUGAUGAAUCGAACACCCAUGCAGUUCUGGUGUUGAUCAUGUUUUGCUCUAGGGAGAGGUUUAGUCAACGGAUCUGCCACAUUCAGGUCCGUAUGUACUUUACAAAUAUCUAUGUCUCCAUUUUGAACACUUUCACGAAUGGAGUUGAAGCGACGCUUGAUAUGCCUGGUCUUCCUGUGAAACCUGGGCUCCUUGGGAAGGGCAAUAGCUCCAGUGUUGUCACAGAAGAGAGUCAUCGGGCCCGACGCAUUGGGUAUGACUCCUAGGUCGGUAAUGAACUCCUUCACCCAGAUUGCUUCUUGUGCUGCCUCCGAGGCUGCCAUGUACUCCGCUUCACAUGUAGAUCCCGCCACAACGCUUUGCUUGCAACUGCACCAGCUUACUGCCCCACCAUUCAAAAUAUACACGUAUCCGGUUUGUGACUUAGAGUCAUCCAGAUCUGUGUCGAAGCUAGCAACGACGUAACCCUUUACGACGAGCUCUUCGUCACCUCCAUAAAUGAGAAACAUUUCCUUAGUCCUCUUCAGGUACUUCAGGAUAUUCUUGACCGCUGUCCAGUGUUCCAUGCCGGGAUUACUUUGGUACCUUCCUACCAAACUUACGGCAAGGUUUACAUCAGGUCUGGUACACAGCAUAGCAUACAUGAUAGACCCUAUGGUCGAGGCAUAGGGGACGACACUCAUCUUUUCUCUAUCUUCUGCCGUGGUCGGGCAUUGAGCCGUGCUCAAUCUCGUACCUUGCAAUACAGGCAAGAACCCCUUUUUUGACUGAUCCAUUUUGAACUUCUUCAAUAUCUUGUCAAGGUACGUACUCUGUGAAAGACCAAUGAGGCGUCUCGAUCUAUCUCUAUAGAUAUUGAUGCCUAAUAUAUAAGCAGCUUCUCCAAGAUCCUUCAUUGAAAAACACUUGUUCAAGUAGGCCUUUAUGCUUUCCAAGAAUUCUAUAUCAUUUCCCAUCAACAGUAUGUCAUCCACAUACAAUAUGAGAAAUGCUACAGAGCUCCCACUCACUUUCUUGUAAAUGCAGGCUUCUCCAUAAGUCCGCGUAAACCCAAACGCUUUGAUCAUCUCAUCAAAACGAAUGUUCCAACUCCGAGAUGCUUGCACCAGCCCAUAAAUCGAGCAUUGGAGCUUGCACACCUUGUCAGCAUUCUUAGGAUCGACAAAACCUUCCGGCUGCAUCAUAUACAAUUCUUCCUUAAGGAAACCAUUAAGGAAUGCCGUUUUGACAUCCAUUUGCCAUAUCUCAUAAUCAUAGAAUGCGGCAAUUGCUAACAUGAUUCGGACGAACUUCAGCUUCGCUACGGGUGAGAAAGUCUCAUCGUAGUCAACCCCUUGAACUUGUCGAUAACCCUUAGCGACAAGCUGAGCUUUAUAGAUGGUUACAUUACCAUCCGCGUCUGUCUUCUUCUUAAAGAUCCAUUUAUUUUCUAUGGCUCGCCGAUCAUCGAGCAAGUCAGUCAAAGUCCAUACUUUGUUUUCAUACAUGGAUCCUAUCUCGGAUUUCAUGGCUUCCAGCCAUUUGUCGGAAUCUGGGCCCGCCAUUGCUUCUUCAUAGUUCGAAGGUUCACCGUUGUCUAACAACAUGAUUUCCAGGACAGGGUUGCCGUACCACUCUGGUGCGGGACGUGUCCUUGUGGACCUACGAAGUUCAGUAGCAACUUGAUCUGAAGUUUCAUGAUCAUCAUCAUUAACUUCCUCUCUAGUCGGUGCAGGCACCUCAGGAACAAUUUCUUGAGCUGCGCCACUUACCGGUUCAAGAAGUAAUACUUCAUCGAGUUCUACUUUCCUCCCACUUAUUUCUUUCGAGAGAAACUCUUUCUCUAGAAAGGAUCCAUUCUUGGCAACAAAGAUCUUGCCUUCGGAUCUGAGGUAGAAGGUAUACCCAAUAGUUUCUUUAGGGUACCCUAUGAAGACGCAUUUUUCCGACUUGGGUUCGAGCUUUUCAGGUUGAAGUUUCUUGACAUAAGCAUCGCAUCCCCAAACUUUUAGAAAUGACAGCUUAGGUUUCUUCCCAAACCAUAGUUCAUACGGUGUCGUCUCAACGGAUUUCGAUGGAGCCCUAUUUAAAGUGAAUGCGGCAGUCUCUAAAGCAAAGCCCCAAAAUGACAGCGGUAAAUCGGUAAGAGACAUCAUAGAUCGCACCAUAUCCAAUAGAGUGCGAUUACGACGUUCGGACACACCAUUACGCUGAGGUGUUCCAGGCGGCGUGAGUUGUGAAACUAUUCCACAUUUCCUUAAGUGUGUGCCAGUUUCAUGACUCAAGUAUUCUCCCCACGAUCUGAUCGCAAGAACUUGAUUUUUCUGUCAUGUUGAUUCUCAACCUCACUCUGAAAUUCCUUGAACUUUUCAAAGGUCUAAGACUUGUGUUUCAUUAAGUAUACAUACCCAUAUCUACUCAUGUCAUCAGUGAGGGUGAGAACAUAACGAUAGCCACCGCGAGCCUCAACACUCAUUGGACUGCACACAUCAGUAUGUAUGAUUUCCAAUAAGUUGGUUGCUCGCUCCAUUGUUCCUGAGAACGGAGUCUUGGUCAUUUUACCCAUGAGGCAUGGUUCGCACGUGUCAAAUGAUUUGUAAUCAAGAGACUCCAAAAGUCCAUCUGCAUGGAGCUUCUUCAUGCGUUUGACACCUAUGUGACCAAGGCGGCAGUGCCACAAGUAUGUGGGACUAUCAUUAUCAACCUUACAUCUUUUGGUAUUCACGCUAUGAAUUUGUGUAACAUUACGCUCGAGAUUCAUUAAGAAUAAACCAUUCACCAGCGGAGCAUGACCAUAAAACAUAUCUCUCAUAUAAAUAGAACAACCAUUAUUCUCGGAUUUAAAUGAGUAGCCAUCUCGAAUUAAACGAGAUCCUGAUACAAUGUUCAUGCUCAAAGCUGGCACUAAAUAACAAUUAUUGAGGUUUAAAACUAAUCCCGUAGGUAAAUGUAGAGGCAGCGUGCCGACGGCGAUCACAUCGACCUUGGAACCAUUCCUGACGCGCAUCGUCACCUCGUCCUUCGCCAGUUUCCGCUUAUUCCGCAGCUCCUGCUUUGAGUUACAAAUGUGAGCAACCGCACCGGUAUCAAAUACCCAGGAGCUACUACGAGUACUGGUAAGGUACACAUCAAUUACAUGUAUAUCACAUAUACCUUUAGUGUUGCCGGCCUUCUUGCCCGCUAAGUAUUUGGGGCCGUUCCGCUUCCAGUGACCACCUCCCUUGCAAUAAAAACACUCAGUCUCAGGCUUGGGUCCAUUCUUUGACUUCUUCCCGGCAGCUUGCUUAUCGGGCGCAGCAACUCCCUUGCCAUCCUUCUUGAAGUUCUUCUUACCCUUGCCUUUCUUGAACUUAGUGGUUUUAUUCACCAUCAACACUUGAUGUUUCUUUUUGAUUUCCACCUCUGCUGAUUUCAGCAUUGAAUAUACCUCAAGAAUGGUCUUUUCCAUCCCCUGCAUAUUGAAGUUCAUCACAAAGCUCUUGUAGCUCGGUGGAAGCGACUGAAGGAUUCUGUCAAUGACCGCGUCAUCUGGGAGAUUAACUCCCAGCUGAGUCAAGCGGUUAUGCAACCCAGACAUUUUGAGUAUGUGCUCACUGACAGAACUAUUUUCCUCCAUCUUACAACUGAAGAACUUGUCGGAGACUUCAUAUCUCUCGACCCGGGCAUGAGCUUGGAAAACCAUUUUCAGCUCUUCGAACAUCUCAUAUGCUCCGUGUCGCUCAAAACGCUUUUGGAGCCCCGGUUCUAAGCUGUAAAGCAUGCCGCACUAAACGAGGGAGUAAUCAUCAGCACGUGACUGCCAAGCGUUCAUAACAUCUUGGUUCUCUGGGAUGGGUGCGUCACCUAGCGGUGCUUCUAGGACAUAAUAUUUCUUGGCAGCUAUGAGGAUGAUCCUCAGGUUCCGUACCCAGUCCGUAUAAUUGCUGCCAUCAUCUUUCAGCUUGGUUUUCUCUAGGAACGCGUUGAAGUUGAGGGCAACAUUAGCGUGGGCCAUUUGAUCUACAAGACAUAGUGUAAAGAUUUUAGACUAAGUUCAUGAUAAUUAAGUUCAUCUAAUCAAAUUAUUCAAUGAACUCCCACUCAGAUAGACAUCCCUCUAGUCAUCUAAGUGAAACAUGAUCCGAGUUAACUAGGCCCUGUCCGAUCAUCACGUGAGACGGACUAGUCAACAUCGGUGAACAUCUUCAUGUUGAUCGUAUAUUCUAUACAACUCAUGCUCGACCUUUCGGUCUUCCGUGUUCCGAGGCCAUGUCUGUACAUGCUAGGCUCGUCAAGUCAAUCUAAGUGUAUUGCGUGUGUAAAUUUGGCUUACACCCGUUGUAUUCGAAUGUUAGAAUCUAUCACACCCGAUCAUCACGUGGUGCUUCGAAACAACGAACCUUUGCAACGGUGCACAGUUAGGGGGAACACUUUCUUGAAAUUAUUAUGAGGGAUCAUCUUAUUUAAGCUACCGUCGUUCUAAGCAAAUAAGAUGUAAAACAUGAUAAACAUCACAUGCAAUCAAAUAGUGACAUGAUAUGGCCAAUAUUAUUUGCUCCUUUUGAUCUCCAUCUUCGGGGCUUCAUGAUCAUCGUUGUCACCGGCAUGACACCAUGAUCUCCAUCAUCGUGUCUUCUUGAAGUUGUCUCAUCAUCUAUUACUUCUACUACUAUGGCUAACGCUUUAGCAAUAAUGUAAAGUAAUUACAUGACGUUUAUGUUGACACGCAGGUCAUAAAUAAAUAAAGACAACUUCUAUGGCUCCUGCCGGUUGUCAUACUCAUCGACAUGCAAGUCGUGAUUCCUAUUACAAGAACAUGAUCAAUCUCAUACAUCACAUAUAUCAUUCAUCACAUCCUUUUGGCCAUAUCACAUCACACGACACAUGCUGCAAAAACAAGUUAGACGUCCUCUAAUUGUUGUUGCAAGUUUUUACGUGGCUGCUAUAGGUUUCUAGCAAGAACGUUUCUUACCUACGCCAAAACCACAACGUGAUAUGCCAAUUUCUAUUUACCCUUCAUAAGGACCCUUUUCAUCGAAUCCGAUCCGACUAAAGUGGGAGAGACAGACACCCGCCAACCACCUUAUGCAACUAGUGCAUGUCAAUCGGUGGAACCAGUCUCACGUAAGCGUACGUGUAAGGUCGGUCCGAGCCGCUUCAUCCCAUGAUGCCGCCGAAUCAAGAUAAGACUAGUAACGGCAAGCAAAUUGACAAUAUCCACGCCCACAACUGCUUUGUGUUCUACUCGUGCAUAGAAACUACACAUAGACCUAGAUCAUGAUGCCACUGUUGGGGAACAUAGCAGAAUUUUAAAAUUUUCUACGCAUCACCAAGAUCAAUCUAUGGAUUCAUCUAGCAACGAGGGAGAGAGGAGUGCAUCUACAUACCCUUGUAGAUCGCGCGCAGAAGCGUUCAAGAAAACAGGGUUGAUGGAGUCGUACUCGUCGUGAUCCAAAUCACCGAUGACCUAGCGCCGAACGGACGGCACCUCCGCGUUCAACACACGUACGGUUGGGAAGACGUCUCCUCCAAAUUUAUCCAGCAAGGGGGAAGGAGAGGUUGAUGAAGAUCCAGCAGCACGACGGCGUGGUGGUGGAAGCAACGGUGAUCUCGGCAGGGCUUCGCCAAGCUCAGGGAGAGGGAGGAGUGUCACGGGAGGGAGAGGGAGGCGCCAGGGGCUAGGGUGCGGCUGCCCUCCCUCCCCCCACUAUAUAUAGGACCACUAGGGGGGCGCCGGCCCUAGGAGAUUGAAUCUCCAAGGGGGGGGGGGCGGCCAAGGGGGGUGGAGUGCCCCCCAAGCCAAGUGGAGCGCCCCCACCCCUAGGGUUUCCAACCCUAGGCGCAGGGGGAGGCCCAUGGGGGGGGGGCGCACCAGCCUACUAGGGGCUGGUUCCCCUCCCACUUUAGCCCAUGGCCCCCUCCGGGAUAGGUGGCCCCACCCGGUGGACCCCCGAGACCCUUCCGGUGGUCCCGGUACAAUACCGAUUACCCCCGAAACCUUCCCGAUGGCCGAAAAUUGACUUCCUAUAUAUAAAUCUUCACCUCCGGACCAUUCUGGAACUCCUCGUGACGUCCGGGAUCUCAUCUGGGACUCCGAACAACUUUCGGGUUACCGUAUACUAAUAUCUCAACAACCCUAGCAUCACGGAACCUUAAGUGUGUAGACCCUACGGGUUCGGGAGACACGCAGACAUGACCGAGACGACUCUCCGGUCAAUAACCAACAACGGGAUCUGGAUACCCAUGUUGGCUCCCACAUGCUCCUCGAUGAUCUAAUCGGAUGAACCACGAUGUCGAGGAUUCAAUCAAUCCCGUAUACAAUUCCCUUUGUCAAUCGGUAUGUUACUUGCCCAAGACUCGAUCGUCGGUAUCCCAAUACCUCGUUCAAUCUCGUUACCGGCAAGUCACUUUACUCGUACCGUAAUGCAUGAUCCCGUGAUCAACCACUUGGUCACAUUGAGCUCAUUAUGAUGAUGCAUUACCGAGUGGGCCCAGAGAUACCUCUCCGUCAUACAAAGUGACAAAUCCCAGUCUCGAUUCGUGCCAACCCAACAGACACUUUCGGAGAUACAUGUAGUGUACCUUUAUAGUCACCCAGUUACGUUGUGAUGUUUGGCACACCCAAAGCACUCCUACGGUAUCCGGGAGUUGCACAAUCUCAUGGUCUAAGGAAAUGAUACUUGACAUCCGGAAAAGCUAUAGCAAACGAACUACACGAUCUUUGAGCUAUGCUUACGAUUGGGUCUUGUCCAUCACAUCAUUCUCCUAAUGAUGUGAUCCCGUUAUCAAUGACAUCCAAUGUCCAUAGUCAGGAAACCAUGACUAUCUUUUGAUCAACGAGCUAGUCAACUAGAGGGUCACUAGGGACGUGUUGUGGUCUAUGUAUUCACACAUGUAUUACGAUUUCCGGAUAACACAAUUAUAGCGUGAACAAUAGACAAUUAUCAUGAACAAAGAAAUAUAAUAAUAACCAUUUUAUUAUUGCCUCUAGGGCAUAUUUCCAACAGUACCGGGAUAUGCAAUGAAUCAAGAGUGACAUGUAUGAAAGAAUUAUGAACGGUGGCUUUUCCCCGAAUACUAUGUCAGCUACAUGAUCAUGCUAAGCAAUAUGACAAUGAUGAAUGUGUCAUGAAGAACGGUACGGUGGAAAGAUGCAUGGCAAUAUAUUUCGGAAUGGCUAUGGAAAUGCCAUAAUAGGUAGGCAUGGUGGCUGUUUUGAGGAAGGUAUAUGGUGAGUUUAUGGUACCGGCGAAAGUUGCGCGGUAUUAGAGAGGCUAGCAAAGGUGGAAGGGUGAGAGUGCGUAUAAUCCAUGGACUCAACAUUAGUCAUAAAGAACUCACAUACUUAUUGCAAAAAUCUAUUAGUUAUCAAAACAAAGUACUAUGCGCAUGCUCCUAGGGGGAUAGAUUGGUAGGAAAAGACCAUCGCUCGUCCCCGACCGCCACUCAUAAGGAAGACAAUCAAUAAAUAAAUCAUGCUCCGAUUUCGUUACAUAACGGUUCACAAUACGUGCAUGCUACGGGAAUCACAAACUUCAACACAAGUAUUUCUCAAAUUAAUAACCAAUCAACUAGCAUGACUCUAAUAUCACCAUCUCCAUAUCUCAAAACAAUUACCAAGUAUCAAACUUCUCAUAGUAUUCAAUACACUCGUAAGAGAAUUUUAUUAUUCUUGAAUACCUAGCAUAUUAGGAUUUUAAGCAAAUUACCAUGCUAUUUAAGACUCUCAAAAUAAUAUAAGUGAAGCAUGAGAGUUCAUCUAUUUAUUCAAAAUAAAACUACCACCAUGCUCUAAAAGAUAUAAGUGAAGCACUAGAGCAAAUGACAAACUACUCCGAAAGAUAUAAGUGAAGAUCAAUGAGUAGUCGAAUAAUUAUGCAACUAUGUGAAGACUCUAUAACAUUCAAUAAUUUCAUAUCUUGGUAUUCUAUUCAAACAGCAAGCAAAGCAAAAUAAAAUGACAUUCUAAGAAUAGCAAACAUCAUGUGAAGAAGCAAAAACUUAGGAUCAACCGGUACUAACCGAUAAUUGUUGAAGAAGAAAGGUGGGAUGCCAACCGGGGCAUCCCCAAGCUUAGACGCUUGAGACUUCUUGAAAUAUUAUCUUGGGGUGCCUUGGGCAUCCCCAAGCUUGAGCUUUUGUGUCUCCUUAAUUCCUCUCAUAUCACGGUCUCCCUAAAUCUCAAAAGCUUCAUCCACACAAAACUCAACAAGGACUCGUGAGAUAAGUUAGUAUAAACUAUUGCAAAAACCUUAUCAUACUAUACUGUAGCAAAUCACUAAAAUUACUAUUCAAUAUUGCAUACUAAAUGUCUCUGCAUAUUUAAUAGUCUUAUCCUCAAAUAGAAUCAUUAAAGAAGCAAACAUAUGCAAACAAUGCAAACAUAACAGCAAUCUGCCUAAACAUGAUAGUCUGUAAAGAAUGCUGCAACAUCCAUACUUCCCUAACUCCAAAAAUUAUGAAAGAAAAUUACCACUAUAUUAAAUUUAUCAGAUCUUAAUAUGCAAAAGAUUUCAACAUUUUAUCACAUUCUGACUUUUUUGGGGAAUUAUUGCAACAGCGGUAAACUUUCUGUUUUUAAACAGCAACAUGUGGACUUCUAAAAUAGGCAUAGUAAAGGCUAUCAAUGCCACUUUUAUUGAAAUAAAAUAUGCAAAACAUUGUUAUAAAUAACAGAAAGAAAAUUCUAAUAAAAUAAAUUGACGCUCCAAGCAAAACACAUAUCAUGUGGCGAAUAAAAAUAUAGCUCCAAGUAAAGUUACCGAUGAACGAAGACGAAAGAGGGGACGCCUUCCGGGGCAUCCCCAAGCUUAGGCUCUUGUCUAUCCUUGAAUAUUACCUUGGGGUGCCUUGGGAAUCACCAAGCUUAGGAUAUUGCCACUCCUUAUUCCAUAGUCCAUCGAAUCCUUACCCAAAACUUGAAAACUUCACAACACAAAACUUAACAGAAAACUCGUAAGCUCCGUUAGUAUAAGAAAGUAAAUCACCACUUCAAGGUACUUUAAUGAAUUCAUUCUUUAUUUAUAUUGGUGUUAAACCUACUGUAUUACAACUUCUCUAUGGUUUAUAAACUCUUUUACGAUCCAUAGAUUCAUAAAAAUAAGUAAACAACACAUGAAAAACAGAAUCUGUCAAAAACAGAACAGUCUGUAGUAAUCUGGAUCAAACGCAUACUUCUGGAACUUAUAAAAUUCUCAAAUAAAUUGCUGGAACUGAGUAAUUUAUCUAUUAAUCAUAUGAAAAAAUAAUUAACUAAAUAUCACUCUCCAAAUAAAAAUGGCAGCAAUUCUUGUGAGCGCUAAAAUUUCUGUUUUUGACAGCAUGAUCAACAAGACUUUCCCCAAGUCUUCUCAAAGGUUCUACUUGGCACAAACACUAAUAAAAAGCAUAAAGCCACAUAUAAACAGAGUCUAGAUGAAUUAUUUAUUACUAAACAGGAACAAAAAGCAAGAAACAAAAAUAAAGUUGGGUUUCCUCCCAACAAGCGCUAUCGUUUAACGCCCCUAGCUAGGCAUGAUGAUUUCAAUGUGUUGGGGAACGUUGCAGAAAACAAAAAUUUUCCUACUCGUUUCACCAAGAUCAUCUAGGAGUUCAUCUAGCAACGAGUGAUUAGAUGCAUCUACAUACCUUUGUAGAUCGCGCACGGAAGCGUUCAAAAGAACGGUGAUGAUGUAGUCGUACUCGACGUGAUCCAAAUCACCGAUGACCAGCGCCGAACGGACGGCACCUCCGUGUUCAACACACGUACGGGACGGGAGACGUCUCCUCCUUCUUGAUCCAGCAAGGGGGGAGGAGAGGUUGAUGAAGAUCCAGCAGCACGACGGCGUGGUGGUGGAUGCAGGGCGUCACAGCAGCAGGGCUUCGCCGAGACUACGAGGGAGAGACGUAACGGGGGGAGAUGGAGGCGCCAGGGGCUGGUGUGAAAUCCCUCCUCUCCCCCCCACUAUAUAUAGGGGUGCCAGGGGGGGCGCCGGCCCUAGUAGAUGAGAUCUACUAAGGGGGGGCGGCGGCCAAGGGGAGGUUUCCCUCCCCCCCAAGGCACCUAGGGGUGCCUUCCACCACAUGGACUCUUCCAUGGUGGAAACCCUAGGCGCAUGGGCCUAUAGGGGCUGGUGCCCUUGGCCCAUCUAGGCCAAGGCGCACCCCCUACAGCCCAUGUGGCCCCCCGGGACAGGUGGCCCCACCCGGUGGACCCCCGGGACCCUUCCGGUGGUCCCGGUACAAUACCGAUAACCCCGAAACUUGUCCCGAUGCCCGAAAUAGCACUUCCUAUAUAUAAUUCUUUACCUCCGGACCAUUCCGGAACUCCUCGUGACGUCCGGGAUCUCAUCCGGGACUCCGAACAACAUUCGGGUUUCUGCAUAUACAUAUCUUCAUAACCCUAGCGUCAUCGAACCUUAAGUGUGUAGACCCUACGGGUUCGGGAGACAAGCAGACAUGACCGAGACGACUCUCCGGUCAAUAACCAACAGCGGGAUCUGGAUACCCAUGUUGGCUCCCACAUGCUCCACGAUGAUCUCAUCGGAUGAACCACGAUGUCGAGGAUUCAAUCAAUCCNNNNNNNNNNGGCCCAGUGAUACCUCUCCGUCAUACGGAGUGACAAAUCCCAGUCUUGAUCCAUGUCACCCAACAGACACUUUCGGAGAUACCCGUAGUCUACCUUUAUAGUCACCCAGUUACGUUGUGACGUUUGGCAUACCCAAAGCACUCCUACGGUAUCCGGGAGUUACACGAUCUCAUGGUCUAAGGAAAAGAUACUUUGACAUUGGAAAACUCUAGCAAACGAACUAUAUGAUCUUGUGCUAUGUUUAGGAUUGGGUCUUGUCCAUCACAUCAUUCUCCCAAUGAUGUGAUCUCGUUAUCAAUGACAUCCAGUGUCCAUAGUCAGGAAACCAUGACUAUCUGUUGAUCAACGAGCUAGUCAACUAGAGGCUCACUAGGGACAUGUUGGUGUCUGUUAUUCACACAUGUAUUACGAUUUCCGGAUAACACAAUUAUAGCAUGAAUAAAGACAAUUAUCAUGAACAAGGAAAUAUAAUAAUAAUGCUUUUAUUAUUGCCUCUAGGGCAUAUUUCCAACACAAUGAUGCUCACAUAAAGGAUAAGAAUUGAAACAUAAAGAGAGCAUCAUGAAGAAUAUGACUAGAACAUUUAAGUCUAACAUACUUCCUAUGCAUAGGGAUUUUGUGAGCAAACAACUUAUGGGAACAAUAAUCAACUAACAUAGGGAGGUAAAACAAGCAUAACUUCAAAACUUUAAGCACACAGAGAGGAAACUUGACAUUAUUGCAACUCCUACAAGCAUAUGUUCCUCCCUCAUAAUAAUUUUCAGUAGCAUCAUGAAUGGAUUCAACAAUAUAACUAGAACCUAAAGCAUUCUUUUCAUGAUCUACAAGCAUAUAAAAUUUAAUACUCUCCACAUAAGCAAAAUUCUUCCCAUUCGGAAUAGUGGGAGCAAACUCAACCAAAUAACUAUCAUGUGAUUGAAAAUUAAGAUCAAGAUGACAAGCUUCAUGGUUAUCAUUAUUCUUUAAAGCAUACGUGUCAUCACAAUAAUCAUCAUAGAUAGGAGGCAUGCUUUCAUCAUAAUAAAUUUGCUCAUCAAAGCUUGGGGGACAAAAAAUAUCAUCUUCAUCAAACAUAGCUUCCCCAAGCUUGUGGCUUUGCAUAUCAUUAGCAUCAUAGAUAUUCAAGGAAUUCAUACUAACAACAUUGCAAUCAUGCUCAUCAUUCAAAUAUUUAGUGCCAAACAUUUUAUAGAUUUCUUCUUCUAGCACUUGAGCACAAUUUUCCUUUCCAUCAUACUCACGAAAGAUAUUAAAAAGAUGAAGCGUAUGAGACAAACUCAAUUCCAUUUUUUAUAGUUUUCUUUUAUAAACUAAACUAGUGAUAAAACAAGAAACUAAAAGACUCGAUUGCAAGUCUGAAGAUAUAUCUUCAAGUGCUAACCUCCCCGGCAACGGCGCCAGAAAAGAGCUUGAUGUCUACUACACAACCUUCUUCUUGUAGACGUUGUUGGGCCUCCAAGUGCAGAGGUUUGUAGGAAAGUAGCAAAUUUCCCUCAAGUGGAUGACCUAAGGUUUAUCAAUCCGUAGGAGGCGUAGGAUGAAGAUGGUCUCUCUCGAGCAACCCUGCAACCAAACAACAAAGAGUCUCUUGUAUCCCCAACACACCCAAUACAAUGGUAAAUUGUAUAGGUGCACUAGUUUGGCGAAGAGAUGGUGAUACAAGUGGUAUAUGGAUGGUAGAUAAUAGUUUUUGUAAUCUGAAAAUAUAAAAACAGCAAGGUAACUAAUGAUAAAAGUGAGCGUAAAUGGUAUUGCAAUGUGUGGAAACAAGGCCUAGGGUUCAUAUUUUCACUAGUGUAAGUCCCCUCAACAAUACUAACACAAUUGGAUCACAUAACUAUCCCUCAACAUGCAACAAAGAGUCACUCCAAAGUCACUAAUAGCGGAGAACGAACGAAGAGAUUAUGGUAGGGUAUGAAACCACCUCAAAGUUAUUCUUUCCAAUCAAUCCAUUGGGCUAUUCCUAUAAGUGUCACAAACAGCCCUAGAGUUCGUACUAGAAUAACACCUUAAGAUACAAAUCAACCAAAACCCUAAUGUCACCUAGAUACUCCAAUGUCACCUCAAGUAUCCGUGGGCAUGAUUAUACGAUAUGCAUCACACAAUCUCAGAUUCAUCUAUUCAACCAACCCAAAGGACCUCAAAGAGUGCCUCAAAGUUCUACCAGAGAAUCACGUCGAAAAUAUGUGCCAACCCCUAUGCAUAGGUUCCCAUUGUCACGAAACACGCAAGUUGGUCACCAAAACAUACAUCAAGUGGCACGUGAUAUCCCAUUGUCACCACAGAUAUUCACGGCAAGACAUACAUCAAGUGUUCUCAAGUCUUUAAAGACUCAAUCCGAUAAGAUUACUUCAAAGGGGAAACUCAAUUCAUUACAAGAGAGAAGAGGGGGAGGAGAAACAUAAGAUCCAACUAUAAUAGCAAAGCUCGCGAUACAUCAAGAUCGUAUCAUCUCAAGAACACAAGAGAGAGAGAGAGAGAGAUCAAACACAUAGCUACUGGUACAUACCCUCAGCCCCGAGGGAGAACUACUCCCUCCUCGUCAUGGAGAGCGCCGGGAUGAUGAAGAUGGCCACCGGUGAGGGUUCACCCCUCCGGCAGGGUGCCGGAACAGGGUCCCGAUUGACUUUUGGUGGCUACGGAGGCUUAUGGCGGCGGAACUCCCGAUCUAUUGUCCGUUCUGGAAGUUUUAGGUCACGUAGGUAUAUAUGGGUGCAGGACGUACGUCAGGGGAGCCACAAGGGCCCCACGAGACAGGGGGGCGCGCCCUAGGGGGGCGCCCCCCACCCUCAUGAGCACCUCGUUUCUUCCUUGACGUGGGGUCCAAGUCCAUCAGGUGUGUUUCCUUCCAAAAAUAACUUCUCCAGUUGAUUUCGUUCCGUUUCGACUCCGCCUGAUAUUCCUUUUCUUCAAAACAGUGAAAUAGGCAUAAAACAACAAACCUGGGCUGGGCCUCCGGUUAAUAGGUUAGUCCCAAAAAUAAUAUAAAAGUGUAUAAUAAAGCCCAAUAUUGCCUAAGACAGUAGAUAAUAUAGCAUGGAGCAAUCAAAAAUUAUAGAUACGUUGGAGACGUAUCAGCUAUCAGCGCACACACACUCAUAGGCAGACCUUAGCAAUUUGAACAAGCAUUUGACUACAUUAUAGGCAAUUAACAAGCAUAGUUGAUAACCCACAAGUAUAGGGGAUCGCAAUAGUUUUCGAGGGUAAAGUACUCAACCCAAAUUUAUUGAUUUGACACAAGGGGAGCCAAAGAAUAUUCUCAAGUAUUAGCAGCUGAGUUGUCAAUUCAACCACACCUGGAAACUUAGUAUCUGCAGCAAAGUAUUUAGUAAGAAAGUAAUAUGAUAGUAGUGAUAACGGUAGCAAAAGGUAACAGUAGUAAAAGUAAUGUUUUUGGUAUUUUGUAGUGAUGAUAGCAAUAGCAACGGAAAAGUAAAUAAGCGAAGAACAAUAUAUGGAAAGCUCAUAGGCAAUGGAUCGCUGAUGGAGAAUUAUGCCGGAUGUGGUUCAUCAUGUAACAGUCAUAACCUAGGGUGACACAGAACUAGCUCCAGUUCAUCGAUGCAAUGUAGGCAUGUAUUCCGAAUAUAGUCAUACAUGCUUAUGGAAAAGAACUUGCAUGACAUCUUUUGUCCUACCCUCCCGUGGCAGCGGGGUCCUUACGGAAACUAAGGGAUAUUAAGGCCUCCUUUUAAUAGAGUACCGGAAAAAAGCAUUAACACAUAGUUAAUACAUGAACUCCUCAAACUACGGUCAUCAUUGGUAAGUAUCCCGAUUAUUGUCACUUCGGGGUUAACGGAUCAUAACACAUAAUAGGUGACUAUAGACUUGUAAGAUAGGAUCAAGAACACUCGUAUAUUGAUGAAAACAUAAUAGGUUCAGAUCUGAAAUCAUGGCGCUCGGGCCCUAGUGACAAGCAUUAAGCAUAGCAAAGUCAUAGCAAUAUCAAUCUCAGACCAUAGUGGAUACUAGGGAUCAAACCCUAACAAAACUAACUCAAUUACAUGAUAGAUCCCAUCCAACCCAUCACCGUCCACCAAGCCUACGAUGGAAUUACUCACGCACGGCGGAGAGCAUCAUGAAAUUGGUGAUGGAGGAUGGUUGAUGAUGACGAUGGCAAUGAAUUCCCCUCUCCGGAGCCCCGAACAGACUCCAGAUCAGCCCUCCCGAGAGGUUUUAGGGCUUGGCGGCGGCUUCGUAUCGUAAAACGCGAUGAAUUCUUCUCUCUGCCUUUUUUCUCCCCGAAACACAAUAUAUAGAGUUGGAGUUGGAGUCGGAGGGGCACCAGGUGGCCCACGAGGUAGGGGGCGCGCCCCCACCCUCGUGGACAGGUGGUGGGCCCCUUGGCCUUCAUCUUUUGCAGGUAUUUUUUAUAUUUUCCAAAAAGUUGCUCCGUGAAGUUUCGGGUCAUUCCGAGAACGUUUGUUUUUACACAUAAAUAACACCAUGGUAAUUCUGCUGAAAACAACGUCAGUCCGGGUUAGUUCCAUUCAAAUCAUGCAAGUUAGAGUCCAAAACAAUGGCAAAAGUGUUUGGAAAAGUAGAUACGACGGAGAUGUAUCAACUCCCCCAAGCUUAAACCUUUGCUUGUCCUCAAGCAAUUCAGUUGACAAACUGAAAGUAAUAAAGAAAAACUUUUACAAAAUAUGUUUGCUCUUGUUGUUGUAAAUAUGUAAAGCCAGCAUUCAAGUUUUCAGCAAAGAUUAUAACUAACCACAUUCGCAAUAACGCUUAGGUCUCAAGUUUACUCAUAUCAAUAGCAUAAUCAACUAGCGAGCAAUAAUAAUAAAUCUCGGAUGAUAACACUUUCUCAAAACAAUCAUAAUAUGAUAUAACAAGGUGGUAUCUCGCUAGCCCUUUCUGAGGCCGCAAAACAUAAAUGCAGAGCACCUUUAAAGACCAAGGACUGACUAGACAUUGUAAUUCAUGGUAAAAGAGAUCCAGUCAAGUCAUACUCAAUGUAAAUUAACAGUAAUGAAUGCAAAUGACAGUGGUGCUCUCCAACUGGUGCUUUUUAAUAAGAGGAUGAUGACUCAGCAUAAAAGUAAAUAGAUAGGCCCUUCGCAGAGGGAAGCAGGGAUUUGUAGAGGUGCCAGAGCUCGGUUUUGAAAUAGAGAUGAAUAAUAUUUUGAGAGGUGUACUUUUAUUGUCAACAUAACAACCAAGAGAUGGCAAUAUCUUCCAUGCUACACACAUUAUAGGCGGUUCCCAAAUAGAAUGGUAAAGUUUAUACUCCCCCUUCCACCAACAAGCAUCAAUCCAUGGCUUGCUCGAAACAACGAGUGCCUCCAACUAACAAGAGUCCCAGGAGGAGUUUUGUUUGCAAUUAUUUUGAUUUAGUUUGCAUAAAGCAUGGGACUGGGCAUCCCGGUGACCAGCCAUUUAUCUCGUGAGUGAGGAGCGGAGUCCACUCCUCUUGAGAAUAACCCGCCUAACAUGGAAGAUACGGACAACCCUAGUUGAUACAUGAGCUAUUCGAGCAUACAAAACAAGAUAUUUAUUUGAAGGUUUAGAGUUUGGCACAUACAAAUUUACUUGGAACGGCAGGUAGAUACCGUAUAUAGAUAGGUAUGGUGGACUCAUAUGGAAUAACUUUGGGAUUUAUGGGAUUGGAUGCACAAGCAGUAUUCCCGCUUAGUACAGGUGAAGGCUAGCAAAAGACUGGGAAGCGACCAGCUAGAGAGCGACAACAGUCAUGAACAUGCAUUAAAAUUAAUCAACACCGAAUGCAAGCAUGAGUAGGAUAUAAUCCGCCAUGAACAUAAAUAUCGUGAAGGCUAUGUUGAUUUUGUUUCAACUACAUGCAUGAACAUGCGCCAAGUCAAGUAACUUAAAUCAUUCAGAGGAGGAUACCACCCUAUCAUACCACAUCACAACCAUUUUAAUAGCAUGUUGGCACGCAAGGUAAACCAUUAUAACUCAUAGCUAAUCAAGCAUGGCACAAGAAACUAUGAUCUCUAGUUGUCAUUGCAAACAUGUUUAUUCAUAAUAGGCUGAAUCAGGAAUGAUGAACUAAUCAUAUUUACAAAAACAAAAGAGGUCGAGUUCAUACCAGCUUUCUCAUCUCAGUCAGUCCAUCAUAUAUCAUCAUAAUUGCCUUUCACUUGCACGACCGAACGAUGUGAAUAAUAAUAAUAGUGCACGUGCAUUGGACUAAGCUAGAAUCUGCAAGCAUUCCAUAAACAGGAGAAGACAAGGCAAUAUGGGCUCUUUUGUCAGAUCAACAAUAAUGCAUAUAAGAGGCACUUCAACAAUUUAAUUAUGGUCUUCUCCUAUCGAACCCCAAAGAAAAGAAAAGAAAUAAAAUUAUUUACACGGGAGAGCUCCCAACAAGUAAAAGAAGAACAGGAAAUCUUUUUGGGUUUUCUUUUUAAUUACUACUACAAGCAUGGAAAGUAAACUAAUUAAAAGCUACAACCAAUUUUUUUUAUUUUUCUUAAGGUUUAUCAAACACACAAGAAUAAAGCAUAAAAAGGAAUUAAACUAGCAUGGGUGAUACAAUGAAAAAGUAUGAGCACCGACAUCUAGCAAUGAGUGUGUGAACAUAAAUGUAAUGUCGGUGAGAAAUACAUACUCCCCAAGCUUAGGCUUUUGGCCUAAGUUGGUCUAUGGCCACGGCUAGCCUAGCGGAUAUCCAUAAUAGUAGUUGGGGUCGUACUGCGAUGAAGAAGAAGACUCCGAUUGCCACUGACUGGCAAUCAUCUCCUAAUUCCACUGGUAAUUAGACUGUUGUGAAGGAUCAACUUGUGGUUCCGGCUCUGGCUCCAUAGCUGGUGCAGGGUUCUGGUAGGCUUGAAUAGCCUUUAACGGAACAAGAUAUUGGCCUGCAGAUAAAUCAAACAAAGAAGGAGCAGACAGGUAAUAGUCUCAGGAUGAUGUUUACCAAAGAACAAUUUGUAUUUAAGCUCUCCUUCCCUAUUCUUAACAAUAAAAUCAUGUGCCACCAUACUUUUAUAAUCUAAAUAAACACGCGGCAGCACCUUUACUUCCUUCUCAUAAUGCCUAAUAGGCAUGUUAAAAUGUGCAGCUAGGCAUGAGGCAUAGAUGCCUCCAAACAUGGGGCCCUUGGUACGGUUCAGACUUAACCGUUUAGCAAUAAUGCCGCCCAUACUAACAUAGUUAUCACCGUAUAAACCGUGGAGCAAAAUAAUAAUAUCGGGGACACUAAGGUUUUCACAGUUUCCGCGACCAAUUAAACAACGACUAGCAAAUAAUGCAAAAUAGCGUAAAACAUGAAAAUGUAUGCUAGUGAUUCGUGCAUCGGAAACAUUCCUUGUUUCCCCUACAGUGAAGUGUCAAUAAACCCAUCCACAUCCUCACGAUGUGGUUCCUCUGUCUUGCCCUCGAAAGGGACUAAACAAACCCGACAAAAAUCAUAAAGUGACAUCUCCUUAUGCUCAUCAUAUAAAUAAAACUCCACCGUAGGUGGUGAGCUCCUAGAAUGGAAAUGAAAGUUUUGCACAAAGAUAUUUGUGAGUAAGAGAUACUGAUCGCGUUGGUCGUGGAGGAAAGCGGUGAGGCCUGCAUUCUUAGCCAAUUCGUAAAAAUCUUCAUAAAUCCCAGAUGCUCUCAAGAAAUCAUCGGAAGGCCAUUCACACGCCCGAAUCUCCGUGGUGCGAGGCAGAUUAUACUUAGGCUUCGGCGCCUUUUCCUUCGAGCUUCGGCUCGAUGAGCCCCUCAAAAGUCUCUUCAUCAUUUUCUAAAAAAUUCUGAAAUUUUUAGUAACUUCAAAAUAAAAGUAAACCAAACUCAAUAAUAUUGAUAGCAACUACUCCUACAAGUGCCUAGGGCCUAUAUCAUGCAUCAAAACUACUUUUGACCAUAUAGAUUUGACAUGCAAGCUCAAGAACAGGGUCACCUAAGCAGCAAAAAUUUGCAAUGAAUAAAGCACUAGAACAAAAACUAAUUGGACCAAUGGAGGAGUCACAUACCAAGGAACAAUCUCCCCAAGCAGUUUUGUGAGAGGUGCUUUGAGCAAGGAGAUCGAAAAUGGCAGCAACAUGAGCUAGAACUCAUGCUUGAGCUGGAUAUUCGUGUUUGGGGAGGAAGAAGGAGUGUGUGGGUGAAAGGAUAAGUGGAGGAGGGCCACCGUGGGCCCAUGAGGCAGGGGGGCGCGCCCAGGGGGUAGGCCGCGCCCUCCACCCUCGUGGGCAGGUGGUUGACCCCCCCUUGCUGUGUUCUCAGUGCCAAAUAUUCUCAAAUAUUCCAAAAAUCAUAUUUAAAUUUCAGGGCAUUUGGAGAACUUUUAUUUUCGGGGUAUUUUUAUAUUGCACGGAUAAUCAGAUAACAGACAGAAAAAUACUAUUUUUAUUUUAUUUAAUAUAAAUAACAAAAAAUAAAAGGAGGGUACAGCAGGUUGUGCCUUCUAGUUUCAUCCAUCUCAUGAUCAUCAAAAGGAAUCCACUAACAAGGUUGAUCAAGUCUUGUUAACAAACUCAUUCCGAAUAACAUGGAACCGAAGAAAUUUCGAAUAACACUAUGUUACCUACACGGAGAUAUGCACAUCCCCAAUAAUAAGAAUAUCAUAUUUCUUCUUGACAGUAGGAAGAGGAAAUUCAAAACCUCCAAAUAUAAUCGAUGGAAUUUUUCCAAUAGAGUCGAUACUAUGAACUUGAGGUUGUUUCCUCGGAAAGUGUACCGUAUGCUCAUUACUAUUAACAUGAAAAGUGACAUUGCCUUUAGUGCAAUCAAUAACAACCCCUGCAGUAUUCAAAAAGGGUCUUCCAAGAAUAAUAGACAUACUAUCGUCCUCGGGAAUAUUAAGAAUAACAAAGUCCGUUGAAAUAGUAACGUUUGCAACUACAACAGGCACAUCCUCACAAAUACCGACAGGUAUAGCAGUUGAUUUAUCAGCCAUUUGCAAAGAUAUUUCAGUAGGCGUCAACUUAUUCAAAUCAAGUCUACAAUAUAAAGAGAGAGGCAUAACACUAACACCGGCUCCAAGAUCACAUAAAGCAGUUUUAACAUAGUUUCUUUUAAUGGAGCAUGGUAUAGUUGGUACACUGGGAUCUCCAAGUUUCUUUGGUAUUCCACCCUUAAAAGUAUAAUUAGCAAGCAUGGUGGAAAUUUCAGCUUCCGGUAUCUUUCUCUUAUUUGUAACAAUUUCUUUCAUAUACUUAGCAUAAGGAUUCAUUUUGAGCAUAUCAGUUAAUCGCAUACGCAAAAAUAUAGGUCUAAUCAUUUAUGCAAAGCGCUCAAAAUCCUCAUCAUCCUUUUUCUUGGAUGGUUUGGGAGGAAAAGGUAUGGGUUUCUGAACCCAUGGUUCUCUUUCUUUACCGUGUUUCCUAGCAACAAAGUCUUUCUUAUCAUAACGUUGAUUCUUUGAUUGUGGGUUAUCAAGAUCAACAGCAAGUUCAAUUUCUAUAUCAUUAUCAUUACUAGGUUGAGCAUCAUCAUGAACAUUAUCAUUAACAUUAUUACUAGUUUCAGGUUCAUUAACAGAUUGUGUUUCAGCAUCAGAAAUAGAAAUAUCAUUUGGAUUCUCAGGUGUUUCAGUAAUAGGUUCACUAGAAGCAUGCAAAGUCCUAUCAUUUUUCCUUUUCUUCCUUUUAGAAGGACUAGGUGCAUCUAUAUUGUUUCUCUGAGAAUCUUGCUCAAUUCUCUUAGGAUGGCCUUCAGGAUACAAAGGUUCCUGAGUCAUUUUACCACCUCUAGUCAUAACUCUAACAGCAUUAUCAUUAUCCUUACUAUUCAAUUCAUUAAGCAAAUCAUUUUGAGCUUUAAGUACUUGUUCUACUUGAGUGGUAACCAUAGAAGCAUGUUUACUAAUAAGUUUAAGUUCACCUUUGACAUUAGCCAUACAAUCACCCAAGUGUUCAAGCAUAUUUGAAUUGUAUUUCAAUUGUCUACCAAAAUAAGCAUUAAAAUCUUCUUGCUUAGCCAUAAAUUUAUCAAACUCAUCUAAGCAUGGGCUAGCAAAUUUAGUAAAUGGGAUUUCAGCUUUAUCAUAUCUAUAGAGAGAAUUUACCUUUACUACCUGUGUCGGGUUAUCAAGACCAUGAGUUUCUUCAAUAGGUAGAGGAUUAAGAUCAUAUGUUUCUUCAACAUGCGGUAAAUUAAGACCAUGUAUUUCUUCAAUAGGAGGUAAAUUCUUAACAUCUUCAGCUUUAAUACCUUUUUGUUUCAUAGAUUUCUUUGCCUCUUGCAUAUCUUCAGGACUGAGAAAUAGAAUACCCCUCUUCUUCGGAGUUUGUUUAGGAAUAGGCUCGGGAAUUGGCUCCGGAGGUGUCCAAUUAUUUUCAUUUGUCAACAUAUUAUUCAAUAGAAUUUCAGCUUCAUCCGGUGUUCUUUCCCUGAAAACAGAACCAGCACAACUAUCCAGGUAAUCUUUGGAGGCAUCGGUUAGUCCAUUAUAAAAGAUAUCAAGUAUUCAUUUUUCUUAAGAGGAUGAUCAGGCAAAGCAUUAAGUAAUUGGAGAAGCCUCCCCAAGCUUGUGGGAGACUCUCUUCUACAAUUUGCACAAAAUUAUAUAUAUCCCUUAAAGCAGCUUGUUUCUUAUGAGCAGGGAAAUAUUUAGCAAAGAAGUAAUAAAUCAUAUCCUCGAGACUACGCACACAACCAGGAUCAAGAAAAUUAAACCACAUCUUAGCAUCACUCUUUAAUGAGAACGGAAAUAUUUUAAGGAUAUAAAAGUAACGAGUUCUCCCAUCAGUCGUGAACAGGGUGGCUAUUGCUACGUCUUGAGCUUGCGUGGGUUUUCCCCGAAGAGGAAGGGAUGAUGCAGCAGAGUAGCGUAAGUAUUUCCCUCAGUUUUUGAGAAACAAGGUAUCAAUCCAGUAGGAGCCCAUGCUCAAGUCCCUCGUACCUACACAAAGCGAUAGCUACUCGCAACCAACGCGAUUAGGGGUUGUCAAUCCCUUCACGGUCACUUACGAGAGUGAGAUCUGAUAGAUAUAAUAUUUUUUGGUAUUUUUGGUAUAAAGAUGCAAAGUAAAAAGUAAAGGCAAAGUAAAAAAGCAAAGCAAGAUUAAAGUGAUGGAGAUUGAUAUGAUGAGAAUAGACCCGGGGGCCAUAGGUUUCACUAGUGGCUUCUCUCAAGAGCAUAAGUAUUCUACGAUGGGUGAACAAAUUACUGUUGAGCAAUUGACAGAAUUGAGCAUAGUUAUGAGAAUAUCUAGGCAUGAUCAUGUAUAUAGGCAUCACGUCUGUGACAAGUAGAUCGAAACAAUUCUGCAUCUACUACUAUUACUCCACUCAUCGACCGCUAUCCAGCAUGCAUCUAGAGUAUUAAGUUAAAAACAGAGUAACGCCUUAAGCAAGAUGACAUGAUGUAGAGAGAUAAAUUCAUGCAAUAUGAAAUAAACCCCAUCUUGUUAUCCUCGAUGGCAACGAUACAAUACGUGCCUUGCUACCCCUUCUGUCACUGGGUAAGUACACCGCAAGAUCGAACCCAAAGCUAAGCACUUCUCCCAUGCCAAGAACUACCAAUCUAGUUGGCCAAACCAAACGGAUAAUUCGAAGAGACUUGCAAAGAUAACCAAUCAUACAGAAAAGAAUUCAGAGAAGAUUCAAAUAUUAUUCAUAGAUAGACUUGAUCAUAAACCCACAAUUCAUCGGUCUCAACAAACACACCGCAAAAAGAAGAUUACGUCAAAUAGAUCUCCACAAGAGAGGGGGAGAACUUUGUAUUGAGAUUCAAAGAGAGAGAAGAAGCCAUCUAGCUACUAACUAUGGACCCGAAGGUAUGAGGUAAACUACUCACACUUCAUCAGAGAGGCUAGGAUGAUGUAGAAGCCCUCCGUGAUGACGGCCCUCUUCCGGCGGAGCUCCGGAACAAGCCCCAAGAUGGGAUCUCGUGGAUACAGAAAGUUACGGCGGUGGAAUUAGGUUUUUGGCUCCUGUUCUGAUCGUUUGGGGGUACGUGUGUAUAUAUAGGAGGAAGAAGUACGCCGGAGGAGCAAUGAGGGGCCCACGAGGCAGGGGGCGCGCCUUGGGGGGGGCGCCCCCACCCUCGUGACCACCUCUUUUGUUCCUUGGAGCAGGGUCCAAGUCUCCUGGAUCACGUUCGGUGAGAAAAUCACGUUCCCGAAGAUUUUAUUCCGUUUGGACUCCAUUUGAUAUUCCGUUUAUCUGAAACACUGAAAUAGGCAAAAAACAACAAUUCUGGGUUGGGCCUCCGGUUAAUAGGUUAGUACCAAAAAUAAUAUAAAAGUGGAAAAUAAAGCCCAAUAUAGUCCAAAACAGUAGAUAAUAUAGCAUGGAGCAAUCAAAAAUUAUAGAUACGCUGGAGAAGUAUCAGGCAUCCCCAAGCUUAAUUCCUGCUCGACCUCGAGUAGGUAAAUGAUAAAAAGAAAAUUUUUGAUGCGGAGUGCUACUUGGCAUAAUUUCAAUGCAAAUCUUCUUAAUUGUGGUAUGAAUAUUCAGAUUAGAAAGAUUCAAGACAAAAGUUUAUAUUGACAUAAAAAUAAUAAUACUUCAAGCAUACUAACAAAGCAAUUAUGUCUUCUCAAAAUAACAUGGCCAAAGAAAGUUAUCCCUACAAAAUCAUAUAGUCUGGCUAGGCUCCAUCUUCACCACACAAAGUAUUUAAAUCAUGCACAACCCCGAUGACAAGACAAGCAAUUGUUUCAUACUCUAACUUUUUCAAAACUUUUUCAAUCUUCACGCAAUACAUGAGCGUGAGCCAUGGAUAUAGCACUAUAGGUGGAAUAGAAUGGUGGUUGUGGAGAAGACAAAAAGGAGAAGAUGGUCUCACAUCAACUAGGCGUAUCAACGGGCUAUGGAGAUGCCCAUCAAUAGAUAUCAAUGUGAGUGAGUAGGGAUUGCCAUGCAACGGAUGCACUAGAGCUAUAAGUAUAUGAAAGCUCAAAAGGAAACUAAUUGGGUGUGCAUCCAACUUGCUUGCUCAUGAAGACCUAGGGCAAUUUUGAGGAAGCCCAUCAUUGGAAUAUACAAGCCAAGUUCUAUAAUGAAAAUUCCCACUAGUAUAUGAAAGUGAUAACAUGAGAGACUCUCUACUAUGAAGAUCAUGGUGCUACUUUGAAGCAUAAGUGUGGUAAAAGGAUAGUAACAUUGUCCCUUCUCUCUUUUUCUCUCAUUUUUUAUUUAUAUUUUUUUUGUUUGGGCCUUUUCUCUUUUUUUAUGGCCUCUUUUUAUUUGGGCUUCUUUGGCCACUUUUUUUCGUCCGGAGUCUCAUCCCGACUUAUGGGGGAAUCAUAGUCUCCAUCAUUCUUUCGUCACUGGGACAAUGCUCUAAUAAUGAUGAUCAUCACACUUUUAUUUUUCUUAUAACUCAACAAUUACAACUCGAUACUUAGAACAAAAUAUGACUCUAUGUGAAUGCAUCCGACGGUGUACCAGGAUAUGCAAUAUGAUAAUGAUGGAAUGUGUCAUGAUGAACUAGAUGGUGGAAAGUUGCAUGACAAUAUAUCUCGGAAUGGCUAUGCAAAUGCCAUAAUAGGUAGGUAUGGUGGCUGUUUUGAGGAAGGUAUAUGGUAGGUGUAUGAUGCCGGUGAAAGGUCCGCGGUAUUAGAGAGGCUAGCAAAGGUGGAAGGGUGAGAGUGCGUAUAAUCCAUGGACUCAACAUUAGUCAUAAAGAACUCAUAUACUUAUUGCAAAAAUCUAGAAGUUAUCAAAGCAAAGUAUUAUGCGCAUGCUCCUACGGGGAUAGAUUGGUAGGAAAAGACCAUCGCUCGUCCCCGACCACCACUCAUAAGGAAGACAAUCAAUAAACAAAUCAUGCUUCGACUUCGUUACAUAACGGUUCACCAUACGUGCAUGCUAUGGGAAUCACAAACUCUAACACAAGUAUUCUUUAAAUUCACAACUACUCAACUAGCAUGACUUUAAUAUUAUCACCUCCAUAUCUCAAAACAAUUAUCAUGCUUCAAUCUUUUCUUAGUAUUCAACACACUCAAAAGAAAGUUUCACAAAUCUUGAAUACCAAGCAUAUUAUUAUUAAGCAAAUUACCAUGCUAUUAAGAGACUCUCAAAAUAAUUUAAGUGAAGCAUGAGAGAUCAAUAGUUUCUUUAAAACAAAUCCACCACCAUGCUCUAAAAGAUCUAAGUGAAGCACAUAGAGCAAAAUUAUAACACUCAAAAGAUAUAAGUGAAGCACAUAGAGCAAAAUUAUCUAGCUCCAAAGAUAUAAGUGAAGCACAUAGAGCAAAACUACUACGCUCAAAAGAUAUAAGUGAAGCACAUAGAGCAAAACUACUUAGCUCAAAAGAUAUAAGUGAAGCACAUAGAGUAUUCUAUCAAAUUUUUAAUUCAUGUAUGGCUCUCUCAAAAGGUGUGUACAACAAGGAUGAUUGUGGCAUACUAAGACACAAAGACACAAAUAAUACAAGACGCUCCAAGCAAAACACAUAUCAUGUUGGUGAAUAAAAAUAUAGCUCCAAGUAAAUUACCGAUGGAAGUGGACGAAAGAGGGGAUGCCUUCCGGGUCAUCCCCAAGCUUUGACUUUUUGGUGUCCUUGGAUUAUCUUGGGGGUGCCAUGGGCAUCCCCAAGCUUAGGCUCUUGCCACUCCUUGUUCCAUGAUCCAUCAAAAGAAUUCACCCAAAACUUGAAAACUUCACAACACAAAACUCAAAAUAGAAAACUCGUGAGCUCCGUUAGCGAAAGAAAACAAAAGACCACUUCAAGGUACUGUAAUGAACUCAUUAUUUAUUUAUAUUGGUGUUAAACCUACUGUAUUCCAACUUCUCUAUGGAUUAUAAACUAUUUUACUAGCCAUAGAUUCAUCAAAAUAAGCAAACAACACACGAAAAACAGAAUCUGUCAAAAACAGAACAGUCUGUAGUAAUCUGUAGCUAGCGCAAGAUCUGGAACCCCAAAAAUUCUAAAAUAAAUUGCUGGACGUGAGGAAUUUAUCUAUUAAUCAUAUGCAAAAAGAAUUAACUAAAUAGAACUCUUCAAAUAAAAAUGACAGCAGUUCUCAUGAGCGCUAAAGUUUCUGUUUUUACAGCAAGUUCAACAAGACUUUCCCCAAGUCUUCCCAACGGUUCUACUUGGCAUAAACACUAAUUAAACACAAAAAACACAACAAAAACAGAGUCUAAAUAAUUUAUUUAUUAUUAAUCAGGAGCAAAAAACAAGGAAUAAAAAUAAAAUUGGGUUGCCUCCCAACAAGCGCUAUCGUUUAACGCCCCUAGCUAGGCAUAAAAGCGAGGAUAGAUCUAAGUAUUGCCAUCUUUGGUAGGCAAUCCAUAAGUGGCUCUCAUGAUAGUUUCAUAUGGUAAUUUUAUUUUCUUUCUUGGAAAGUGUUACAUGCCUUUUUUUAAUGGAAAUUGAAAUCUAAUAUUCCCUUCCUUCAUAUCAAUAAUCGCACCAACCGUUCUAAGGAAAGGUCUACCAAGAAUAAUAGGGCAAGAAGGAUUGCAAUCUAUAUCAAGAACAAUGAAAUCUACUGGCACAUAAUUCCUAUUUGCAACAAUAAGAACAUCAUUAAUCCUUCCCAUAGGUUUCUUAAUAGUGGAAUCCGCAAGAUGCAAGUUUAAAGAGCAAUCAUCAAAAUUACGGAAAUCUAGUAAAUCACACAAAGUCUUGGGAAUAGUAGAGACACUAGCACCCAAAUCACACAAAGCAUAAAACUCAUGAUCUUUAAUUUUAAUUUUAAUAGUUUGUUCCCACUCAUCAUAGAGUUUUCUAGGGAUAGAAACUUUCAACUCAAGUUUUUCUUCAUAAGAUUGCAUCAAGGCAUCAAGAAUAUGUUUGGUGAAGGCUUUAUUUUGACUAUAAGCAUGUGGAGAAUUUAGCACAGAUUGCAACAAGGAAAUACAAUCAAUUAAAGAGCAACUUUCAUAAUUAAAUUCCUUGAAAUCCAAUAUAGUGGGUUUAGCAACAUCUAGAUUUUUAUUUCUUUCAAUCCCACUUUCAUCAAUUUCAUCAUCAAGAUCUAAAUACUCCGAAUUUUUAGAACACCUUCUAGGUAAAGGAAGAUCAUAUUCAGUUUCAUCGAGAUUAAUAUUGCAAAAUAAAGAUUUAAUAGGGGACACAUCAAUAACUUUUAGAUCUUCAUCUUGAUUUUCAUAGGUAUUGGAGGAACACGCUUUAAUAAAGGCAUCUUUGGAAGCACGCAUCCUAGCGGUUCUUUCCUUGCACUCAUCAAUGGAAAUUCUCAUGGCUUUGAGAGACUCAUUGAUAUCAUGCUUAGGAGGAAUAGAUAUAAGCUUUAAAGAAUCAACCUCAAGAGAAAUUCUAUCAACGUUUCUAGCCAAAUCAUCAACUUUAAGCAAUUUCUCCUCAAGAAAAGCAUUAAAAUUCUUUUGUGAAUUCAUAAACUCUUUAACACUAUUCUCAAAUUCAGAGGGCAUCUUAUUAUAAUUUCCAUAAGAUUUGUUGUAGGAAUUACCAUAAUUAUUAGAAGGAUUACUAGAAUAUGGCCUAGGAUUAAAAUUCCCUUUAUAAGCAUUGUUACCAAAAUUAUUCCUACCAACAAAAUUCACAUCCAUAGAUUCAUUGUUAUUCUCAAUCAAAGUAGACAAAGGCGUAUCAUUAGGAUCAGAAGAAACACUCUUAGUAGCAAAUAAUUUCAUAAGUUCAUCCAUCUUUCCACUCAACACAUUAAUUUCUUCUAUUGCAUGCACUUUUUUAUUAGAAGAUCUUUCAGUAUGCCAUUGAGAAUAAUUAACCAUAAUAUUAUCUAGGAGUUUAGUAGCAUCUCCUAAAGUGAUUUCCAUAAAAGUGCCUCCCGCGGCCGAAUCUAAAAGAUUUCUAGAAGCAAAAUUCAAUCCGGCAUAAAAUUUUUGUAUGAUCAUCCACAAUUUCAAACCAUGAGUAGGGCAAUUACGUAUCAUUAAUUUCAUUCUCUCCCAAGCUUGUGCAACAUGUUCAUGGUCAAGUUGUUUAAAGUUCAUAAUAUCGUUUCUAAGAGAGAUGAUCUUAGCGGGAGGAAAAUACUUAGAGAUAAAGCAUCUUUGCACUUGUUCCAUGAAUCAAUACUAUUCUUAGGCAAAGACGAAAACCAAGCUUUAGCACGAUCUCUAACCGAAAAAGGAAAUAGCUUCAAUUUAACAACAUCAUUAUUGACAUCUUUCUUCUUUUGCAUAUCACAUAAAUCAACAAAGCUAUUCAGAUGAGUAGCGGCAUCUUCACUAGGAAGGCCGGCGAAUUGAUCUUUCAUAACAAGAUUCAACAAAGCAGUAUUAAUUUGACAAGACUCAGCAUCGGUAAGAGGAGCAAUCGGAGUGCUAAGGAAAUAAUUAUUAUUGGUAUUGGUGAAGUCACACAAUUUAGUAGUAUCUUGAGCCAUCGCGACAAGCAAGCAAUCUAACACACGAGCAAACAAAAAGCAACGGGCAAAAAGAGGCAAAUAGAGAGGGAGGAUAGGGAGAGAGAGCGCGAAUAAAACGGCAAGGGUGAAUUGGGGGGAGAGGAAAAUGAGAGGUAAAUGGCAAAUAAUGUAAUGUGAGAGAUAGGGAUUGUGAUGGGUACUUGGUAUGUUGACUUUUUGCGUAGACUCCCCGGCAACGGCGCCAGAAAUCCUUCUUGCUACGUCUUGAGCUUGCGUUGGUUUUCCUCGAAGAGGAAGGGAUGAUGCAGCAGAGUAGAGUAAGUAUUUCCCUCAGUUUUUGAGAACCAAGGUAUCAAUCUAGUAGGAUCCCACGCUCAAGUCCCUCGUACCUGCACAAAGCGAUAGCUACUCGCAACCAACGCGAUUAGGGGUUGUCAAUCCCUUCACGGUCACUUACGAGAGUGAGAUCUGAUAGAUAUAAUAUUUUUUGGUAUUUUUGGUAUAAAGAUGCAAAGUAAAAAGUAAAGGCAAAGUAAAAAAGCAAAGCAAGAUUAAAGUGAUGGAGAUUGAUAUGAUGAGAAUAGACCCGGGGGCCAUAGGUUUCACUAGUGGCUUCUCUCAAGAGCAUAAGUAUUCUACGGUGGGUGAACAAACUACUGUUGAGCAAUUGAUAGAAUUGAGCAUAGUUAUUAGAAUAUCUAGGCAUGAUCAUGUAUAUAGGCAUCACGUCCGUGACAAGUAGAUCGAAAUGAUUCUGCAUCUACUACUAUUACUCCACUCAUCGACUGCUAUCCAGCAUGCAUCUAGAGUAUUAAGUUAAAAACAGAGUAACGCCUUAAGCAAGAUGACAUGAUGUAGAGAGAUAAAUUCAUGCAAUAUGAAAUAAACCCCAUCUUGUUAUCCUCGAUAGCAACGAUACAAUACGUGCCUUGCUGCCCCUUCUGUCACUGGGUAAGGACACCGCGAGAUCGAACCCAAAGCUAAGCACUUCUCCCAUGGCAAGAACUACCAAUCUAGUUGGCCAAACCAAACGGAUAAUUUGAAGAGACUUGCAAAGAUAACCAAUCAUACAUAAAAGAAUUCAGAGAAGAUUCAAAUAUUAUUCAUAGAUAGACUUGAUCAUAAACCCACAAUUCAUCGGUCUCAACAAACACACCGCAAAAAGAAGAUUACAUCGAAUAGAUCUCCACAAGAGAGGGGGAGAACUUUGUAUUGAUAUUCAAAGAGAGAGAAGAAGCCAUCUAGCUACUAACUAUGGACCCGAAGGUCUGAGGUAAACUACUCACACUUCAUCGGAGAGGCUAGGAUGAUGUAGAAGCCCUCCGUGAUGACGGCCCUCUUCUGGCGGAGCUCCGGAACAGGCCCCAAGAUGGGAUCUCGUGGAUACAGAAAGUUGUGGCGGUGGAAUUAGGUUUUUGGCUCCUAUUCUGAUCGUUUGGGGGUAUGUGUGUAUAUAUAGGAGGAAGAAGUACGCCGGAGGAGCAACGAGGGGCCCACGAGGCAGGGGGCGCGCCCUAGGAGGGGGCCACCCUCGUGACCGCCUCUUUUGUUCCUUGGAGCAGGGUCCAAGUCUCCUGGAUCACGUUCGGUGAGAAAAUCACGUUCCCGAAGAUUUUAUUCCGUUUGGACUCCGUUUGAUAUUCCGUUUAUCUGAAACACUGAAAUAGGCAAAAAAACAACAAUUCUGGCCUGGGCCUCCGGUUAAUAGGUUAGUCCCAAAAAUAAUAUAAAAGUGGAAAAUAAAGCCCAAUAUAGUCCAAAACAGUAGAUAAUAUAGCAUGGAGCAAUCAAAAAUUAUAGAUACGUUGGAGACGUAUCAGCUAUAUCAUUCAAUUUAGUAAGAUGUGCCACAACAGUUUCAGAUUCAUAGCCAUGAAAAGGAUCAGAUUCAACCAAAGUAAUUAUAUCAGGAUCAACAGAGAAUUCAUAAUCCUUAUCGGUAACACAGAUAGGUGAAGUAGCAAAAGCAGGGUCAGGUUUCAUUCUAGCAUUUAGAGAUUGCUUGUUCCAUUUAGCUAAUAACCUCUUAAGUUCGUAUCUAUCUUUGCAAGCUAAAAUAGCUAAAGAAUCUUCUUGAUCAAAAAUAUAACCCUCAGGAAUAACAAGUGAUUCUUCAUCAUCACUUUCAUCAGUAUUAUCAGAUUCAAUAUUUUCAAUCUCUCUAGCCCUAGCAAGUUGUUCAUCAAGAAAUUCACCAAGUGGCACAGUAGUAUCAAGCAUAGAAGUAGUUUCAUCAUAAGUAUCAUGUAUAGCAGAAGUAGCAUCAUCAAUAACAUGCGACAUAUCAGAACGAAUAGCAGAAGCAGUUUUAGGUGUCGCAAGCUUACUCAAAACAGAAGGUGAAUCAAGUGUAGAGCUAGAUGGCAGUUCCUUGCCUCCCCUCGUAGUUGAGGGAUAAAUCUUGGUUUUUGGAUCUCUCAUGUUCUUCAUAAUGAUAAGCAGAUAUAAAUCCCAAGUGACUCAAAGAAUAGAGCUAUGCUCCCCGGCAACGGCGCCAGAAAAUAGUCUUGAUAACCCACAAGUAUAGGGGAUCGCUACAGUUUUCGAGGGUAAAGUAUUCAACCCAAAUUUAUUGAUUCGACACAAGGGGAACCAAAGAAUAUUCUCAAGUAUUAGCAGCUGAGUUAUCAAUUCAACCACACCUGGAAACUUAGUAUCUACAGCAAAGUAUUUAGUAGCAAAGUAAUAUGAUAGUAGUGAUAACGGUAGCAAAAGGUAACAGUAGUAAAAGUAAUGUUUUUGGUAUUUUGUAGUGAUGAUAGCAAUAUCAAUGGAAAAGUAAAUAAGCGAAGAACAAUAUAUGGAAAGCUCGUAGGCAAUGGACCGGUGAUGGAGAAUUAUGCCGGAUGUGAUUCAUCAUGUAACGGUCAUAACCUAGGGUGACACAGAACUAGCUCCAGUUCAUCAAUGCAAUGUAGGCAUGUAUUCCGAAUAUAGUCAUACAUGCUUAUGGAAAAGAAAUUGCAUGGCAUGUUUUUUCCAACCCUCCCGUGGCAGCGGGGUCCUUACGAAACUAAGGGAUAUUAAGGCCUCCUUUUAAUAGAGUACCGAAACAAAGCAUUAACACAUAGUGAAUACAUGAACUCCUCAAACUACGGUCAUCACCGGUAAGUAUCCCGAUUAUUGUCACUUCGGGGUUAACGGAUCAUAACACAUAAUAGGUGACUAUAGACUUGCAAGAUAGGAUCAAGAACAUUCAUAUAUUGAUGAAAACAUAAUAGGUUCAGAUCUGAAAUCAUGGCACUCAGGCCCUAGUGAAAAGCAUUAAGCAUAGCAAAGUCAUAGCAACAUCAAUCUCAGACCAUAGUGGAUACUAGGGAUCAAACCCUAACAAAACUAACUCGAUUACAUGAUAGAUCCCAUCCAACCCAUCACCGUCCACCAAGCCUACGAUGGAAUUACUCACGCACGGCGGAGAGCAUCAUGAAAUUGGUGAUGGAGGAUGGUUGAUGAUGACGAUGGCGACGAAUUCCCCUCUCUGGAGCCACGAACGCACUCCAGAUCAGCCCUCCCGAGAGGUUUUAGGGCUUGGUGGCGGCUCCGUAUCGUAAAACGCGAUGAAUUCUUCUCUCUGGCUUUUUUUCUCCCCGAAACACAAUAUAUAGAGUUGGAGUUGGAGUCGGAGGGGCACCAGGGGACCCACGAGGUAGGGGGCGCGCCCCCCACCCUCGUGGACAGGUGGUGGGCCCCCUGGCCUUCAUCUUUUGUAGGUAUUUUUUAUAUUUCCCAAAAAGUUGCUCCGUGAAGUUUCGGGUCAUUCCGAGAACGUUUGUUUCUGCACAUAAAUAACACCAUGGUAAUUCUGCUGAAAACAACGUCAGUCCGGGUUAGUUCCAUUCAAAUCAUGCAAGUUAGAGUCCAAAACAAGGGCAAAAGUUUUUGGAAAAGUAGAUACGAUGGAGACAUAUCAAUAGUCAUAAUAACAGCUAAGGCAAGUGCUUCGUCGUGCGGUUGGCACCUUGAAGGUGUGCAGGAUCAUCACCUUUAAAGUGAUGAGGUAGCCGAUCGGGAUCUGGUGAGCAACAGCAAAGCCGACCCAACCCUGAUCCAUGGCUAGCCUCCCGUUGAUCUCUGUGAGCUUGACCUUCUAGGUGCAACCGGUGUUCGUCUUGAGUUUGAUCUUACGUGAGAUGGUGUCCAUGUGUUUACAAAAGUUGCCAAGGAUUGGCAGUAACAUUCAAACCGACAUGGAAAACAUGUUCAUCUACCACGACAGGAAGGCCAUCAUCAUUGCCGACAAGCCCCUAUAGAAAGAUCAAGAGUUUUCACGCCGACAAGACCAAUUCGAGCCCUAUAUCAACACACAAAUCUAAUCGGAGUUGGACACCCCAAUCGAACCCCAUAUCCACACCCUAAUCUAACCCCCAUGGAGACACCCAAAUCUAACCGUACUUGGACACCCAAAUCGAAUCUCAUAUCCAGACCCUAAUCAAGUUGUAUGAAACACUUAAUCAACACCCUAAUGGGGUCGUGUGAACCCUAAAUCUAACCCUAAACCCAAAUCAGUGGGUACAUGGAUCCCUAAAUCAGGCAGACAAGGGCUUAGCGCCAUUAACGAAGGGAUGAUGGAGGGUGAUGAAGCUGGCGGUCACCGUCGGUGCUCGCCAUCUAGAUCUUCGACCCGCUGAUACCCUCCGCCGCCCCAGUGAGAGAGAGGGUGAUAGUGGAGAGAGGGAUAGUGAUCGGUGAGAUAGAGAUCAGGGGAUUUAUGGCACGACUUCGGGAAACAACAUGACGUCUCCCACUCGUGCCCGCGUGUGUAACCGCCUGCAGCCACAUGCCGUCCUUUCCCUCAAUCGGGCCUGACUCGUUGGACACAAUCUAUUCGAUCACUUCCUCUAGAGCUGGGCUUGGGCUGCUAUGAGUACCGUGCUAUGCAGGCUCGGCCACACGCGCUGGUAACCAAACGGGUUGCAUCCCCAGGGCUUGGUUGGGUGUUAUGCUGGCAACCAAACACACCCUUGAGCACCGGCGACCUCAUCAAUAAGUUUUUUUAGGGGAACCUCUUCAAUAAGUGAACCUUUCUACCAAGAUGCAGUAUUCAGAAACUGCAUCAACAACAAAAUUUCAGCGUUGGCAGAGCCAUGUCUUUUUUCUUUCUUUCUAGAUGGCAGAACCAGAUCUUAGAGGGGGCGGCUUGUUACCAGCUGGUUACCAAUGAAAGCACAACUUGCCACUUAGACUCCAUUGGUUAAACCAGACAGUAGAUCACAGAAAAACACCAGAUUAUAAAUAAACAAUGUUGUUAACACUUUAUAUUGUGCCUUUUAUACAGAGUGCUCAUACCAUUUGAUCAUCGGACUGGAUGGCAUGAACCUCCAGCUGUUAAAAAAUAAAAAAUUAGAGCACGCCAAGAGCAUGCCACAGCUUUAUAGAAGGCAGAAAUAUCGUUUCAACCAACACUCUGUAACCUCCAGCUGGUAAUUACAGUACAAAAUUGUUUCAACCAAGUGAGAUAGGAUAAAAGCCACGAUGAGCUGAGGUGGUAUCAAAACAGGAUCAGCAGCAGCAAGGAUUGGUAAAAAUCUUCCCCAGAAUCUCUCUGAAAAAGGUACCGAUCCCGCAUUCUCAGUUUCUCACAGCUAGGGUCGCUAAAGAACAAAUAUGCAGACAAUGCCUCUCAUGAAGGAUGCCGCUUCAGCACUUGGAUUCCUGACCGCUGUUAUCAUUGGUCGUCCAGCGUGACAGCGCCUCCCUCGACCUCCAGCUCGCUUGGCUCGACCGACGACAGCAAAAUGUCGUCAAAGCCUCACCUGACGAAUAUGGAACAAGUUUAUGCAUCCGUACAGGUGGCUCCAAAAAAAUCACUGGUGCAACAACAUGAGUUGAUCGAUCGACAAGGAACUCCUCUCUUUUUCUGCAGACAGACAAUCAGAACGAGUGACUGAACAAGGACAGUAUUAUUGUACAUGUUCUGUGGGCAGGCCAUUACACACUUUUAAGUAUCUCACUGUUAACUGUUAAGUAAUCUCACUGCUAUACAUAACAUAACAAUAUGUCGUAUAUUUAAAACUCAAGCGCUAGCAGUGGCGUCAUGUGCAUGCAUAGACUGCUAGCACCCUAAUGCAAAUUGGAGAUUUAAAUCGAGAACUUCAAAACUUCAACUGGAACCUAUAACUAGGGAAGGCGUGUAAAGGCUCAAAGAAACAAGCCAUAGCGAAACAAAGCGAUGUGCAUAGAAAAUAUUGGCCAAUAUCAACAGAGAACUCACGUUUCCAGGUAGCUCCACAUUUUCACUAUGGUAAAAAGUGCAAUCCAAUGGAUACAGCUUCAAGAUUCAACUCACUAACAUCUAGGCAAUUCCUAAUGAACAGAUAUGCUCCCAUUUCUAGCAUUUCUUCCAACAUUUGGUUGCACAAAAAUAAUAUAGCCGUGAGAAGCUCCUACCAAGGAACACAAAACAGAAAAAUAUUCUCCCAGAUGAUAUAUUUAACAUGCAUAACUGUUUGAGAGAAUCAGAUAUAAGACCUAGUCAUCCCAAAUGUAACUUUUUAAUACUCCCUCUGAUCCAUAUUAAUCGUCGCUGAUUUAGUACAACUUUUGGAGUGCCCCUUUGCCAGGCAGACUUGGCGUGAGAUCCUCUCCUGGCUAAGGAUGACCGCCGCAGGCCCAAAUCACGAAGAAUCCCUCAUGGACUGGUGACUGCACGCCAGGCAGAACACACCGACAAUGAUGCGCAAAGAAUGAUAACAGAAUUUUAAGAAAAAAAUUGAAGUGAUUAGCUAAAGUCUCACCAAAUAUUUUGUUACAUGGAAGGAACUCCCAAGUUCAGUUUCACUUGUGAUAUAUGUACCGGUGAAAUUUUACCAUCCCGAGAGACAAAAGGCAGGCUCGGUUCAGAGUACAGUUAGCAAGGUUAAGCUGUAUCGCAUGGCAUUCACUCUCAUAUCUUCAUAGAGUAGUAGUCUAUAUAUAAACUUAAUGGACAGAGGUUGAAAGCUUGAAACACUUUCUCAUAUCAUAUCUCCCAGAAGGUCAAAAAAGCAUCCAACAUGAAGCAAAAUUACCAAUUAGCCAUGAUAUGUUCAUAUAUGAAAAUUAUUUUCGUCCAGCAUGUAGUACAUAAACUAAGUAUUCUCUGAAUAUCAAUAAAAUAUAUUAGAAAUGACCAAUGAUGGCGACAAGAUAAGUAGAUGUACAAAGAAAGGUAAUUUUGGAGCACUCACUGAAGUAUUCGUAUUUGAAGAAUUUUAAACCCACACCCUUUAAGGCCAUGUUCUUUAAAGCAAUACAUCGGAAAAUAAAAGAACAUUAAAUCUGCAGUAAUUUAAAGAAGAAUAUCUAACACCAUACCUAACAGAUGUUGCACAAAGCAGAACAUCUACAUUUAUGUUUAACAGACUAUUCUAAAAUACAAACAGGACUGAGCAGAAACUAGCCACUCCGAAAUGAAAAUAACCAAGGAGCAUGCCAGAACGCAUGACCUUCCUGACCGAAGAGGAAUAAAAAGAACAUAUGGAACAACUGCACCAUGACAUUUAGCAGCUAGAAAUAACAUAGGGAACAAGAGGUCGGGAGGCUAGCAGAACAUUGUGAACUAGUAUUCCUGAAACGGGAACUAGUAUUCCUGAAAUCGGAACUAGAGGUCAGGAGGUCAGCUAGAUCGUAGUUAAAUGGGAACUAGUAUUCCUGAAAAUGGCAUCCGCAACACAUAGUGGAUUUAGGUCGAUUUUACAGUUAUUUGCAGUACAUUGCUUGGUAUGCACAUUUACAUAAAAAAAAAACCCUUCUCAAUCAGCCACGCUGGUGGCAAAAAAACAAGCAGAACAAAUCAAGCACAAAUAAGUUGAAUUUAUUGAGCAUUUUUUUGUACCAAACAUGGUUGCAUAGUAUACUUGUGCGCUUAUGUUCCGUCCUGUGCCACUUCAGAACAUCUCAAGGACUAAAUGCAGGAUGCCUGGUAAUUAAAUAUAUGCUCCUAACACCACCGGGUAUAUGUAAAUCAAGACAUAUCUAGGAUAUCAGACUGGUGAAGGAACAAAUUAAACUUAUUCUUGUAUGCAACCUGAGACACGCAGCUUGCGAAAACCCCUUGAUUUCGCUAGAGCUAGCGAUUCUAGACAGCGGGCCUCUCUUUGUAUUGGUGUUAUGUCAGCAAAGGCGUUGAAUGCCUCUCGGCACUCCUAUGCAAUGUGAUGCGUCUCCUCACAACGUAUUCUAGAAAAGAAAGUGAAUAUUUCUUACACUUUCAGUUUGCCAUGUUCAUCUACUUUCUACCCAAAGGCAUCUUGAACGAUUAAGUUUCCACUCUGUCAAAUUAGCAUUGGGCAACAAUGUAACUGUUGAUGUAGGUCUAGCUUUUGCACCGACGAGAAGAAAAGAGGAUCAGCAUAGGAAUGAGAAUCAAUGAGAUCUGUCUUGCUUGGGAUGCUGACAUGUACAGCAGCCGAGCUGAUCUGGUGCAGGUCUGCAGGAGCAGUUUCCAAUUUUUUAAAUAAGUUGAGAUUCUUGUUGCCUCCUGGUAUAAUAUAUGUGCCCAUCUCACAUAAUUUUCAGGUCAUGAGUUCUUACUAAGCUGUGGCGUCGAUACUACCACCCAUAUGCAACAUUGCGUGCGUGGUCACACGUACCACCUGUGAAUCUAGUAAUCGACAACGUCAGAUCAACUGGAUCCUAAGUCUGCCUAGAGAUAUGAGAAGCAGGGAGCUUCACAUGGAGAGAUGCGACUUUUGAUCGGCCGGGCUUCCUGGGUUCCAGUGCUGCCCAUGAAAGCUCACAGCUUGGUAGCUCUCCCGUCCAUUUGAUGUGUGCGCCGCACUGCUGCUACAGAUCUGACACUGCUAGCCAACUGGAGUAUCUCUGAAGUCAACUAGAUCGUGUGCAGCGGUGCUGUGCUAUGCUGCUAAUCAGCUCAACUAGGGCACCUGACAAUUUUUGCCUGCUCCAUUUGGAAUCUGCCCACGCCUCCCAAGCUCUGCUUCUCAUGGCCAACCCAUUACCACCAGUGAGGCAUUAAUUAGUUCCAUGCAUGGCCCUGCAAUCUAGGCUAAGAUGCUGUGCACGGAGAACCAUGGAGCCUAUACAAUGUCAACGAAAUAAAAUUAUCAGAGAAACCCAGUGAGUUAUACUGCUUGAUGAUUCUUUCUCCCUCUUUUAUCUGACAUGAAACAAAUGCGGGCUGGUUGCGAGGAGCUGACCUAAGAAUUAACAAAUGCAGGCCGGUGCAGUGCGUGACAGUGUCAGAAGCUUCUACAAAGUCAGAUCUAGCGAAACAUAGCCAUUACCGAGGUUAACACCACUAUAAAUGGCUGGCAUUGCUGCCCAUUCUGGACAAACCCAUAAGCCAAACAAAAACAGCUCUCUGGUAGGUGUUUACGCUUAGCGUUUUCAUCCUACAAUGAGAUCACUGCCCAUUGUAGUACUUUCCCUCCUGAUUCUUGUCCUAGCUGCCCAUGUAUCCCAAGCCGAUGACAAGGGCUCUUCGGUUGGAAAUGGGAAGGAUUCCCAUGCCGGUGAUGAUCAUAAAUCAAAUGGUGUAGGGCCGGUGAAAAAACCCAAAUGCCCUAAGCCCGGACAUGGUCCAAAAAACCAUGACAAUGAUGGUCGAGGACCACCAGAAAAGGAGUGCGAUGAUGAAGAGGCAACACCGUCAUCGCCUGGGCCUUCCCCAAACCAAGGUAAUGGUUCGCCAUCACCACCGCCAUCCCCGUCCUAUUCACCACCCAUGACUCCAUCACCUCCACCUCCAUCAGAAACUAGUCCUCCUACUGCACCUCCACCCUACCAACCUAGCAAUCAAUCUCCUCCCCCGCCGUCAUCUUCAAGCCCCCCACCAACACCUUCAUCUAGUCCCCCUGUUACACCUCCAACCUACGAACCUAAUGAUCAAUCACCACCACCACCAUUGAACCCUCCGCCCAUUCCCCCACCACCUCCAUCUAGUGCGCCUGCGGCACCUCCAAUGAACCCGACUAAUGAUCAGCCUNNNNNNNNNNNNNNNNNNNNNNNNNNNNNNNNNNNNNNNNNNNNNNNNNNNNNNNNNNNNNNNNNNNNNNNNNNNNNNNNNNNNNNNNNNNNNNNNNNNNNNNNNNNNNNNNNNNNNNNNNNNNNNNNNNNNNNNNNNNNNNNNNNNNNNNNNNNNNNNNNNNNNNNNNNNNNNNNNNNNNNNNNNNNNNNNNNNNNNNNNNNNNNNNNNNNNNNNNNNNNNNNNNNNNNNNNNNNNNNNNNNNNNNNNNNNNNNNNNNNNNNNNNNNNNNNNNNNNNNNNNNNNNNNNNNNNNNNNNNNNNNNNNNNNNNNNNNNNNNNNNNNNNNNNNNNNNNNNNNNNNNNNNNNNNNNNNNNNNNNNNNNNNNNNNNNNNNNNNNNNNNNNNNNNNNNNNNNNNNNNNNNNNNNNNNNNNNNNNNNNNNNNNNNNNNNNNNNNNNNNNNNAGCCCCCCACCACUAGCUCCAGCCACCCCACCAACACCUCCAUCUAAUCCCCCUGUUACGCCUCCAUCCUACGAACCUAAUGAUGAAUCGCCACCACCUACAUUAAAUUCCCCUGCCAUUCCCUCACCACCUCCAUCAAGCCCAACUGUGGCACCUCCUAUGAACCCGACUAAUGAUCAGCCUCCUCCACCAUCGUCGUCAUUUAGCCCCCCACCAAUAGCUCCAACUACUCAACCACCUCCCUCUAGCCCACCUGCUACACCUCCAACAGACUCAACUGAUGAGGAACCUCCUACAUCACCACCAGCAUCCAGUCCACCAGCAACUCUAUCAAGUCCUCCACCACCGUCAUCGAGUACACCACCGGCUCCAUCCAUCACCACACCACCUUUGGCUAGUCCCCCUGCUACACCUCCAACGUACCAAGCCAAUGACCAGUCCCCUCCACCUCCACCAUCAUAUAGUCCUCCGCCAUCAGCUUUAGCUAGUCCUCCACCACCAUCACCACUGAGUCCACCAGCAAUAGCACCAACCACUAGCGCACCUCCUCCAUCUACUCCCCCAUCGCCUAUGUCUAGUCCACCAGCAACACCUCCAACAGACUCAACUGAUGAGCAAACUCCACCACCACCANNNNNNNNNNNNNNNNNNNNNNNNNNNNNNNNNNNNNNNNNNNNNNNNNNNNNNNNNNNNNNNNNNNNNNNNNNNNNNNNNNNNNNNNNNNNNNNNNNNNNNNNNNNNNNNNNNNNNNNNNNNNNNNNNNNNNNNNNNNNNNNNNNNNNNNNNNNNNNNNNNNNNNNNNNNNNNNNNNNNNNNNNNNNNNNNNNNNNNNNNNNNNNNNNNNNNNNNNNNNNNNNNNNNNNNNNNNNNNNNNNNNNNNNNNNNNNNNNNNNNNNNNNNNNNNNNNNNNNNNNNNNNNNNNNNNNNNNNNNNNNNNNNNNNNNNNNNNNNNNNNNNNNNNNNNNNNNNNNNNNNNNNNNNNNNNNNNNNNNNNNNNNNNNNNNNNNNNNNNNNNNNNNNNNNNNNNNNNNNNNNNNNNNNNNNNNNNNNNNNNNNNNNNNNNNNNNNNNNNNNNNNNNNNNNNNNNNNNNNNNNNNNNNNNNNNNNNNNNNNNNNNNNNNNNNNNNNNNNNNNNNNNNNNNNNNNNNNNNNNNNNNNNNNNNNNNNNNNNNNNNNNNNNNNNNNNNNNNNNNNNNNNNNNNNNNNNNNNNNNNNNNNNNNNNNNNNNNNNNNNNNNNNNNNNNNNNNNNNNNNNNNNNNNNNNNNNNNNNNNNNNNNNNNNNNNNNNNNNNNNNNNNNNNNNNNNNNNNNNNNNNNNNNNNNNNNNNNNNNNNNNNNNNNNNNNNNNNNNNNNNNNNNNNNNNNNNNNNNNNNNNNNNNNNNNNNNNNNNNNNNNNNNNNNNNNNNNNNNNNNNNNNNNNNNNNNNNNNNNNNNNNNNNNNNNNNNNNNNNNNNNNNNNNNNNNNNNNNNNNNNNNNNNNNNNNNNNNNNNNNNNNNNNNNNNNNNNNNNNNNNNNNNNNNNNNNNNNNNNNNNNNNNNNNNNNNNNNNNNNNNNNNNNNNNNNNNNNNNNNNNNNNNNNNNNNNNNNNNNNNNNNNNNNNNNNNNNNNNNNNNNNNNNNNNNNNNNNNNNNNNNNNNNNNNNNNNNNNNNNNNNNNNNNNNNNNNNNNNNNNNNNNNNNNNNNNNNNNNNNNNNNNNNNNNCGCCUAUGUCUAGCCCACCAGCAACACCUCCAACGGACUCAACUGAUGAGCAAAGUCCAUCACCACCACCAUCUAGUCCACCAGUAGCUCUAUCAAGUCCUCCACCACCAUCAUCGAGUACACCACCGGUUCCAUCCAUUGCCACACCACCUUUGUCUAGUCCCCCUGCUACACCUCCAGCGUACCAAGCUGAUGACCAAUCCCCUCCACCUCCACCAUCAUAUAGUCCACCACUGACAGCUUUAGCUAGUCCUCCACCACCACCAUUGAGUCCACCAGCGAUAGCACCAACUACUAGCGUACCUCCUCCAUCUACUUCACCAUUGCCUAUGUCUAGUCCACCGGCAACACCUCCGGCGUACCAAGUUAACCAACCACCACCGCCACCACAAUUUAGUCCCCCUGCCACACCUCCGACCUAUCAAGGUAAUGCCCCACCACCGGCAUCGGCACCAGCACCACUUAGUCCCUCAGCAACAGCACCGCCACCUGGUGCCCCUACUGGCAAUAGAUGGGUGCAAGUUCAGAACUUUCAUGAUGCCCUAUACUGGCAAAUCGGGCGCUUUGUGGUGUUCAAGUUGGUAAACAAGAAGGACAACUCCCUUGUUGAUGUGCUAUAUGUGAGCAUGCAACCCGCUGGAAAGGGCAACAACUACUUUCUUGUGAUAAAAGUAGCAGAUGGAUAUAAGAAGGUCGGCAAGUAUCAUGUGCUCCUAUGGGGUGUGCCUGGGUCACCAGAUGAAGAAUGGAAAGUAUAUUGGCUCAAAUUUGUAGGAUACUAAGCACAUGGUGGAAACAAGAUUAUCCAGCUGUCGACCAUGCAUGGCAUUUCUAGGGAGAAGAUAUAUAGACAUUUUGUGGUCAACGUGCGCCUGCAUGGAUUAGUUGAUCUUUGUAGCUUUGAGGGGCUUGAUAUCCAACUAUAUGUUCUGAUUUCAGUGAUAAAUUUAUGUUUUGUUCUCAUUAAAAUUGCCUUAAAUUUACAAAAUAUGGCUGGAGAUAUAAUCAUAUAACUCAAAGCAUAAGCGCGCUUCACUGUACUGUUAUUUUGAUGGUUGCCUUGUAAUUCUUAUUAAAGUUGUUUGCUUAUCUGUAGUUAAUUGUUCACUGUUCACCGUUCACCUGGACGUCCAGAUCCUUGCCCUUCGUCCCAAUUUAAAAGCUUAAAGAAAAUUGAACAAGCUCAAAUAUUAACAACACGUAGCAUACAACAAGCAAAUCCUUACAACCACCAAAAAGGAAGCUUCCCCUGGCACAGAGGUAAAAGCUAGCACAAUGCCAGCCAACAGAGACCACAAAAAAUAAGUUGGAGUCAACUGCCAGAUGUAGUUUACACAGCAACCACGCAGAUGCAAGUGUGCAAAGAGGUUGCAUUGACAUGAUCCACUGAAGAACCACAAGCGCAAGUGCACUAAAUAACAGAACAAGAAUUCAACUACAGCAAGACAGAAAUAAUUAUUGAUAGGUUAUAACCGAAUAGCAUGAAGCAAGCAGGACCAGGUGUAUGCACAAAAUUAAGAGUGCCAAGAGGUUCCAUUGGCAGGAACAUAUGUUUAUAAUAUACCAUGGAUUAUCAAUACCGUUGUAGAGAACAAUUUCUAUUUUGCCUUGUAGCCAUAUAUAGGGCGAGGGACCAGUAUAAAAUACUUCACAUAGACAUGAGAGACAAUUCCAGGAAGAUCAAGUGAGGUGCACAAGAAGUGAGCCGGCCUGUGAUGGCGACUAUCCAACAUCACAUAACAAAGCAAUCACUGGAUCAAUGAUGAUCUCAACAAAAUGUACAUGUCUUGCUUGCAGAAGAUGUAACGCAUUACCUCCGAAAGAUGCAUGGUUUCAGCCAUGAAUGGUUGGCUCAGAUUCCUGUUGAGUGAGAUCCGGCGAAGGUUUUGGCAGAGUGGAUAUUCUAGAUGAUCUCUUGCCAAGAAGUGCCUUUAUCCUCAGAGACAUAUAUAUAGGUGGAGUGCUGCAACCACGAUCAAUAAUAUAGUAAGCCUUAAGGAGUAACAAUGCUGAAUGAAUCAAUGGGAGUAACAGCCUGUGGGACUUAUCAAUAGAAAGGUAUAAUGUGAGAAAGAACAAAAUAACAAUUAAAUGACUGUAUUGUUGUGUUGUGCAGAGAGUGCGUUUACAAAGGCAUGGUGAAGAAUUGGCUAAGUAAAUAUAGGGGCAAUAGCCUAGAACGACAUGAAACGGAUGUCGAGGAUAAAAUGGUCUAAAACUUCAUGCGUGUUCACUUGCCAUAAAACGAGGUCUUGGCAACCGAGAAUAAUCUCCUGCCGGUACAGGGUCACGAGUAAUGAGUAAUGACCUGAGACUUGGCCAUGGCGUGGCGGCGGCGGCGAGGCCGUGCAUGGCAGCCGAUCGAGAAGAAUCCCCUUCCGGUACAGCAGGAACGUGCGCCGACCUCCUCAUCCCUUUGCCUCGGCGGGCAGGCGAGAGCACAGCAAAUCGCCGAGGUGUCAUGCCGCGGCAAUUCGCCGAACAUGUGGUGAGCGUCCCGGACCCGCAGCUCGCGCGCUCCGUGGCGGCGGCGCGGGCGGCGUGGCGCUCCAAGCUGCGUGAGGGCGGUGAGGUGGAAGAUGAGCAGGCGGAGGAGUGACGGAGGGAGGAGAGGCGAGAGACAUCGGCGAGUGCGCGAAGUCUGAAUUCUACUAGCAGGGAAUCGUUUAUUUCCUCUGACUACUCCAACUGCCAGAGUCUUCGGAUACAGAUACAUAUACAUACCUUCAAAAAUCAAACUUUGUUUUUCUUUUGCGAAAGGACGUGAAUUUUUGGGACAUGGUGGCACACGAUGCCGUUAUCUCGGCCGUUUGGAUGCACAUCAUGAUUACUACUUAUUAUAGGGCGUUGCGCAAUACCUGACGCGUUAUUUGCUGUUCAACAAGAAUACGUCGUGGUAUACCUCGGAGUAGUGGGCCAGGUGUCAUUUAUCAUCGUAUGAAUACUCGCUUGUCCGAUAGCGACUGAGCACACAGGUUAAGUCGGUCAAUAACUGCUCUGGGUGUGGGGCUGUCGUCCAAUAACACCGCCUCGCUCGUGCAUGCAUUGUAGCUCGUUUCAAGCUGUAGCUUGUGGAAAAGCAGCAGAAUAAGAGAAAAUGGCUUCAACGGAAACGGGUUAGCAUCUUGACAUUGUAUUUGAUCAUGCAUCUUUUGUUUAUUUAUAGGUAUUACCGAACACGCUGACGUCUACUCAUCCUGUUCGUACCUUAGCAUGUCGACUGUUUUGGUGGAGAGUUCAGGAGCGGGGUGCUCACUGCAUGCUGCCAUGUCCAUUAGCUAUGCCCCGUGCCUGUAAGCUGGGUGAUAUUUACACAUCGUGACGCACCCGCCCAUAAGCAUCGUCACCCUGCUCUCUCUCUCUCUCUCUCUCUCUCUCUCUCUCUCUCUCUCUCUCUCUCUCUCUCUCUCUCUCUCUCUCUCUCUCUCUCUGUAUGUCAGUAAUGUAGCCCGUCUUCAAGCUGGAUCCCUGGAAAGUAGAAGAACACCAGAAAAUUGGCUUCGGCGUGCACAUAAAUGCAGAGGUUAUAUUGUCAGUCUCAAAUCGAUCACGUGUGGUUGAUUCUUAGGUAUGGGCAUAUGGCACUACACGAUCACAUCUCAUAUCUGUUUCUUUUGUUUGACCUUACCAUGAGCGGUGGUUUGACAUCAUCUGUAUGUCCAAUUGCCCAUUAAUCCCUCCUAGGUAGCUUAAUGGCUGUCAGAGGCAUUUACGCUGCCUUGGCUGCCAAUUAAAUGACUAAAUUAAAGGCCGUGCGUCAGAUAUUUAUAUCGGCGGCUUGAAUGGGGCACGUAUUAUGUGGGUCUACUCCCUGCUGAUUUGGUGCGUUUUCAUUGAUGAUUUAAAUUAGACUUGCAUGGUUAGCUGCUCGACGGAAAUGAAUACGCGGUACAUGGAGACGCAAAGCCUACUAGUAGAUACAUGGAGGGACAUGGUGCAGGAAAUAAAUACUGGUACUAGAUAUCAGAUGGUCUAAUGGGUUCAGUGCUAAAUAAUGACGACGACCAUCUUUUUGCAGUAGGGUUAUGCUUCAGUUGCUGUGGACAAACAACAGGGCGAUGGCCACGAUGCACAGGAUGAAAAAGUUCAUAAGCCACGAGAAUGGUCUACUCCCUGUUCAUUCCCACAGCCAGAACCUGCAUUCUCCAUGCUGCAAAACAAAUCUUUAGUCGGCCAGAGAACGAUAUAGAUGGAUGGAGAAAAGGUGGAUGAUGAACUACCAGAGUUCAAACUUGUAAAGAUGCCAACCAGGCUUUGAUCUGUGGCAGAAACAAACCAGAUGAUGUAGCCCGCGGAGUAAAAGGUCCAGAUCUGUGGCAGAAACAAACCAGAAACUCACCCAUACACUUAAGCAGCACACUUGGUCCCAUGUGCUAGGUUGAGUAAAAGGUCCAUAGUGCAGUCUGGGUGAGUAAUUUGUAUUUAACUAGGAGCAGGCCUCAUUUACUACGGGCCAGGUCACGAACGUUAAUUGCAUUGAAUGGUAACCUGCAUCCAUGCGUCCUGAUCAUAAACACACCAGUAGUUGGCCCACGUUAAAUGUAUCACCGUUGUGUAUUUGCUAGCUUAUCCCUAUGUAUUGUCGCAGUAUCCACUUAAUCACUAUAUUAAAUGCGAAUCGCUAGCAUCAAUCCAGGAUAACAUCCUCGUGUGGUACCAUGUCCCAAAAAUUCGCGUCCGUUUGUUAUGGACGCGGAUUUUUGGGACAUGCGGCCACACGAUGCCGCUAUCCCAGACGUCCGUGCGCGCAUCGUGAUUUCUAGUUAAUAUAGCCCCAUUGGCAAUACACGUCGCGUUAAUAGUUUGUCCUUCGAAUACAUCAUGAUAUACAUCACAUGAGCAGGCUGUACCGCAUUUAUGAUUCAUAGGAAUACAUGUAAGUCUGCCAGCACUGCGCGUCACAGUUCUGGAGAUGCCUUCAUUCCUGUUGACGUGGGGCAGUGAUCAUUUAGCACCACCCUCUCUAGUCCCAGCCCUGUAGUAAAACAGAAGGAGGAAACGUAACAGAGCUAAAACAACGGAGGGCUGGGACAUGGCUUCUGCACAAACGGUGCUCAACAGUCAUUUUUUGUUUAUUUCGGUACAAGCGUGCGAGCUGGGUGUCAUGAUGGGCUGCAGACUACACGAGAGCUGGGAAAAUUGAUGGGCGCAGAGGAGCUGAGUCUCAUUAAAGGCUUGUCCAUUUGUGAUUUAUGGACUGCCAAUGGCUGUGGUGCACACGUAAAUGGCGGUAUGAAUGACGUCCCUGAUGUUUUGCAGUGUGCCUCGAUGGAGAGCCAUUUUGGGACCGGCGUUUUAAAAUUCAAGUUGUAUCUUUCAUGAUUAGAGUUAACGAUGAAGAAUGAAGCCAACUGAUUUUUUCGGUUAGAAACUGAUACAUAUAAGGAUUUUUCAGUUGUUAAUCAGGAGUUCAAAACAUGUGCCGAAAUUAAAAUACCACACUUUUCAAGUGAACAAUGCUGGGUGGAUAAAGUUGGUGUGAUUAUGCCAGAGUGCAAGCUUCUGGUGUAAUUAACGGUUCACGACCUGCUCCUAAUAUACGCUUGAUAAAUGAAAGCCAUUAAUCAUUCGUGGGUGCCUUGAUUGCUGGCAGGGAUUUACAGUGUGAGUAAUAGUUAAAACAGCCAGCCAAUACUGGAUCGCACAUUGAUAUGCAUUGAGUAGCUUGGUCCAAACUUAAAUUACUAGCUAUUACUACAUCAACGACCUUGGUGGAAAAAAAACAUUACUGACUGAUGCAUUGCUGGCUUGGAUCCAGAAAAGGUCGAAAUUGAAAGGUAAAAGAAGUAGACAGUUGGUGAGCAGAUCAGCAAGGCACAACAUGAUUAUCUUCUUCAGCAAAGCUUGAUUAUCUUCGAGAAUCUGAAAGGUAAACAAAGUAGACAGUUGACUGCGAUAUGAGAAGAACUUAUGUAGUUCCCACUUCCAGAACCUGCACCCCAUUUUUUCAGCUCGUCAGUGCACGAAAUGGAUUGAAAGAUCGAAUAUGAACUCACAACAUGGCAAUCACACUUGUAGAAGUUCCUCCCCGGGUUGAGGGCAGUGCCCGAAAUGAACCAGAGCAGCGAGAGUGAUGAGAGGGAGACGUGCAAACUAUUGGACAUGACGGAUGAAGGUGGUAGCGAGCUAGCCUGGGACAUGGAUGAACACAUGGUUGCGGAAGGGGUCGAUUCGAUGCUAGAAAGUGUGCGUGUGCGCGUGUGUGCGCGUGCGCGCGCGCGCGCGCGCGUGUGUGUGUGUGACAGAGAGAGAGAGAGAGAGAGAGAGAAAAUAGAGUGGAAGAAAAUUGGGCAGGGGAAGAAGAAGAAGGCCAGAGUGAUUUAAAGAGGAGAAAGGAGAGGAGCAUGCUGCAGAUAGCCGUUGUAAUAGGUGAGUGGUUAAUUGCAUGUGUCAGAUGCAACUGACAUGCUGCAUGUGUCAGAUGCAAAUAUACGCUAUACUGAAAUCAUUAUACUGCCUGUGGGUAUUCGGUUUGCACGAAUCACGCGGCAACAUGCGGUGUGGAUACCGACCCCGCGUGGCCGCAUGUCCACUCAUAAUUAUUCGGUUUGUUAUAGACUAACAAAAAAAAAGGACCUUGGUAAGGGUCACACGUGUGGCGGGAAACAUUUUUGCCUGACGUUUUUUGAUGGUAACUUUAGUUGUGAAGCAUGACAAGUUUUAGUUUUUCGGGGUUUUUUUAAUGACAAUUUUAGUUGUAAAAACGCCAGGACGGUGUUACUUCAUGCCACACGUGUGACACUUAUCGUUUUGGAAAAAAAAUGCACAUCUCUGCUCCGUUAUUAUUAAAGGAAAAAUUGUGAUUGUGAUUCAAUAGUAAACAUAAUGAUGUCUAUCUCCAUUUCCAUUACUAUUAAACAAACGAGUUAAGGUAGAAAUAUUGUAUCUCAACCAUAUAUUCAUCAUCCAUCAAUGGACCGAAUUACCCUCAUAUUGUAUCACAUCAAAUUCACAUAUUUACUACUUCAUCUAUCCCAUAAUGUAAGACAUUUACAUAUGGGAUGGAGGGAGUAAUUAAUUUUAAUCAUCUCCACAACACCUUGAUAGGAAUCAUUGCACCUUAAUUAGAAAAUAAAAUCAUCACAUCGGCCGGAAUUUUCAUAACACCAUAAAAGAAACCUCUAUCUGCAUCGUAUCCCCAUGCUCGUGUCGCCGCCAACAAACAUGCGUUGUCGGCCCGCCAUGCCAGCCCCCAUCACAUGGCGCUCCUGACUCGACCGCUCGCACCAUUCGCCAUCGAACAAUAUCAAUACAAAAAACUAAAAAAAGACAAAUCCAAUUAAUCUCCGAACAAUAUCAUCCCAACGACCUAGGUUGCUUCAUGAAUGCUCAAAAUGUUUAGCAUGCAAUUAAUAUUCUAUCAUAUAUAACGUAAAAAUGCAAGUGUGUGUGUGUGCGUGUGUGCGCGUGUGCGUGCGUGUGCGUGUGCGUGUGUGCGUGUGCUUGCGCGCGCGCGCGCGCGUGUGUGUGUGUGAGAGAGAGAGAGAGAGAGUGAGAGAGAGAAUAGAGCGGAAGAAAAUUGGGCAGGGGAAGAAGAAGAAGGCCAGAGUGAUUUAAAGAGGAGAAAGGAGAGGAGCAUGCUGCAGAUAGCUGUUGUAAUGGGUGAGUGGUUAAUUGCAUGUGUCAGAUGCAACUGACAUGCUGCAUGUGUCAGAAGCAAAUACACGCUAUACUGAAUGCUAUAUGGUGAGACGGAAAUCAUUAUACUGCCUGUGGGUAUUCAGUUUGCACGAAUCACGCGGCAACAUGCGGUGUGGAUACCGACCCCGCGUGGCCGCAUGUCCACUCAUGAUUAUUCGGUUUGUUAUAGACUAACAAAAAAGAAGGACCUUGGUAAGGGUCACACGUGUGGCGGGAAACAUUUUCGCCUGACGUUUUUUGAUGGCAACUUUAGUUGUGAAGCAUGACAAGUUUUAGUUUUUCGGGGUUUUUUUAAUGACAAUUUUAGUUGUAAAAACGCCAGGACGGUGUUACUUCAGGCCACACGUGUGACACUUAUCGUUUUGGAAAAAAAAUGCACAUCUCUGCUCCGUUAUUAUUAAAGGAAAAAUUGUGAUUGUGAUUCAAUAGUAAACAUAAUGAUGUCUAUCUCCAUUUCCAUUACUAUUAAACAAACGAGUUAAGGUAGAAAUAUUGUAUCUCAACCAUAUAUUCAUCAUCCAUCAAUGGACCGAAUUACCCUCAUAUUGUAUCACAUCAAAUUCACAUAUUUACUACUUCAUCUAUCCCAUAAUGUAAGACAUUUACAUAUGGGAUGGAGGGAGUAAUUAAUUUUAAUCAUCUCCACAACACCUUGAUAGGAAUCAUUGCACCUUAAUUAGAAAAUAAAAUCAUCACAUCGGUCGGAAUUUUCAUAACACCAUAAAAGAAACCUCUAUCUGCAUCGUAUCCCCAUGCUCGUGUCGCCGCCAACAAACAUGCGUUGUCGGCCCGCCAUGCCAGCCCCCAUCACAUGGCGCUCCUGACUCGACUGCUCGCACCAUUCGCCAUCGAACAAUAUCAAUACAAAAAACUAAAAAAAGACAAAUCCAAUUAAUCUCCGAACAAUAUCAUCCCAACGACCUAGGUUGCUUCAUGAACGCUCAAAAUGUUUAGCAUGCAAUUAAUAUUCUAUCAUAUAUAACGUAAAAAUGCAAGUGUGUGUGUGUCCGUGUGUGCGUGUGUGUGCGUGUGCGUGCGUGUGCAUGUGCGUGUGUGCGUGUGCUUGCGCGCGCGCGUGUGUUUGUGUGUGUGUGUGUGUGUGUGNNNNNNNNNNNNNNNNNNNNNNNNNNNNNNNNNNNNNNNNNNNNNNNNNNNNNNNNNNNNNNNNNNNNNNNNNNNNNNNNNNNNNNNNNNNNNNNNNNNNNNNNNNNNNNNNNNNNNNNNNNNNNNNNNNNNNNNNNNNNNNNNNNNNNNNNNNNNNNNNNNNNNNNNNNNNNNNNNNNNNNNNNNNNNNNNNNNNNNNNNNNNNNNNNNNNNNNNNNNNNNNNNNNNNNNNNNNNNNNNNNNNNNNNNNNNNNNNNNNNNNNNNNNNNNNNNNNNNNNNNNNNNNNNNNNNNNNNNNNNNNNNNNNNNNNNNNNNNNNNNNNNNNNNNNNNNNNNNNNNNNNNNNNNNNNNNNNNNNNNNNNNNNNNNNNNNNNNNNNNNNNNNNNNNNNNNNNNNNNNNNNNNNNNNNNNNNNNNNNNNNNNNNNNNNNNNNNNNNNNNNNNNNNNNNNNNNNNNNNNNNNNNNNNNNNNNNNNNNNNNNNNNNNNNNNNNNNNNNNNNNNNNNNNNNNNNNNNNNNNNNNNNNNNNNNNNNNNNNNNNNNNNNNNNNNNNNNNNNNNNNNNNNNNNNNNNNNNNNNNNNNNNNNNNNNNNNNNNNNNNNNNNNNNNNNNNNNNNNNNNNNNNNNNNNNNNNNNNNNNNNNNNNNNNNNNNNNNNNNNNNNNNNNNNNNNNNNNNNNNNNNNNNNNNNNNNNNNNNNNNNNNNNNNNNNNNNNNNNNNNNNNNNNNNNNNNNNNNNNNNNNNNNNNNNNNNNNNNNNNNNNNNNNNNNNNNNNNNNNNNNNNNNNNNNNNNNNNNNNNNNNNNNNNNNNNNNNNNNNNNNNNNNNNNNNNNNNNNNNNNNNNNNNNNNNNNNNNNNNNNNNNNNNNNNNNNNNNNNNNNNNNNNNNNNNNNNNNNNNNNNNNNNNNNNNNNNNNNNNNNNNNNNNNNNNNNNNNNNNNNNNNNNNNNNNNNNNNNNNNNNNNNNNNNNNNNNNNNNNNNNNNNNNNNNNNNNNNNNNNNNNNNNNNNNNNNNNNNNNNNNNNNNNNNNNNNNNNNNNNNNNNNNNNNNNNNNNNNNNNNNNNNNNNNNNNNNNNNNNNNNNNNNNNNNNNNNNNNNNNNNNNNNNNNNNNNNNNNNNNNNNNNNNNNNNNNNNNNNNNNNNNNNNNNNNNNNNNNNNNNNNNNNNNNNNNNNNNNNNNNNNNNNNNNNNNNNNNNNNNNNNNNNNNNNNNNNNNNNNNNNNNNNNNNNNNNNNNNNNNNNNNNNNNNNNNNNNNNNNNNNNNNNNNNNNNNNNNNNNNNNNNNNNNNNNNNNNNNNNNNNNNNNNNNNNNNNNNNNNNNNNNNNNNNNNNNNNNNNNNNNNNNNNNNNNNNNNNNNNNNNNNNNNNNNNNNNNNNNNNNNNNNNNNNNNNNNNNNNNNNNNNNNNNNNNNNNNNNNNNNNNNNNNNNNNNNNNNNNNNNNNNNNNNNNNNNNNNNNNNNNNNNNNNNNNNNNNNNNNNNNNNNNNNNNNNNNNNNNNNNNNNNNNNNNNNNNNNNNNNNNNNNNNNNNNNNNNNNNNNNNNNNNNNNNNNNNNNNNNNNNNNNNNNNNNNNNNNNNNNNNNNNNNNNNNNNNNNNNNNNNNNNNNNNNNNNNNNNNNNNNNNNNNNNNNNNNNNNNNNNNNNNNNNNNNNNNNNNNNNNNNNNNNNNNNNNNNNNNNNNNNNNNNNNNNNNNNNNNNNNNNNNNNNNNNNNNNNNNNNNNNNNNNNNNNNNNNNNNNNNNNNNNNNNNNNNNNNNNNNNNNNNNNNNNNNNNNNNNNNNNNNNNNNNNNNNNNNNNNNNNNNNNNNNNNNNNNNNNNNNNNNNNNNNNNNNNNNNNNNNNNNNNNNNNNNNNNNNNNNNNNNNNNNNNNNNNNNNNNNNNNNNNNNNNNNNNNNNNNNNNNNNNNNNNNNNNNNNNNNNNNNNNNNNNNNNNNNNNNNNNNNNNNNNNNNNNNNNNNNNNNNNNNNNNNNNNNNNNNNNNNNNNNNNNNNNNNNNNNNNNNNNNNNNNNNNNNNNNNNNNNNNNNNNNNNNNNNNNNNNNNNNNNNNNNNNNNNNNNNNNNNNNNNNNNNNNNNNNNNNNNNNNNNNNNNNNNNNNNNNNNNNNNNNNNNNNNNNNNNNNNNNNNNNNNNNNNNNNNNNNNNNNNNNNNNNNNNNNNNNNNNNNNNNNNNNNNNNNNNNNNNNNNNNNNNNNNNNNNNNNNNNNNNNNNNNNNNNNNNNNNNNNNNNNNNNNNNNNNNNNNNNNNNNNNNNNNNNNNNNNNNNNNNNNNNNNNNNNNNNNNNNNNNNNNNNNNNNNNNNNNNNNNNNNNNNNNNNNNNNNNNNNNNNNNNNNNNNNNNNNNNNNNNNNNNNNNNNNNNNNNNNNNNNNNNNNNNNNNNNNNNNNNNNNNNNNNNNNNNNNNNNNNNNNNNNNNNNNNNNNNNNNNNNNNNNNNNNNNNNNNNNNNNNNNNNNNNNNNNNNNNNNNNNNNNNNNNNNNNNNNNNNNNNNNNNNNNNNNNNNNNNNNNNNNNNNNNNNNNNNNNNNNNGAGAGAGAGAGAGAGAGAGAGAGACAGAGAGAGUGAGAGAGAAUAGAGUGGAAGAAAAUUGGGCAGGGGAAGAAGAAGAAGGCCAGAGUGAUUUAAAGAGGAGAAAGGAGAGGAGCAUACUGCAGAUAGCCAUUGUAAUGGGUGAGUGGUUAAUUGCAUGUGUCAGAUGCAACUGACAUGCUGCAUGUGUCAGAUGCAAAUACACGCUAUACUGAAUGCUAUAUGGUGAGACGGAAAUCAUUAUACUGCCUGUGGAUAUUCAGUUUGCAUGAAUCACGCGGCAACAUGCGGUGUGGAUACCGACCCCGCGUGGCCGCAUGUCCACUCAUGAUUAUUCGGUUUGUUAUAGACUAACAAAAAAGAAGGACCUUGGUAAGGGUCACACGUGUGGCGGGAAACAUUUUCGCCUGACGUUUUUUGAUGGCAACUUUAGUUGUGAAGCAUGACAAGUUUUAGUUUUUCGCGGUUUUUUUAAUGACAAUUUUAGUUGUAAAAACGCCAGGACGGUGUUACUUCAUGCCACACGUGUGACACUUAUCGUUUUGGAAAAAAAAUGCACAUCUCUGCUCCGUUAUUAUUAAAGGAAAAAUUGUGAUUGUGAUUCAAUAGUAAACAUAAUGAUGUCUAUCUCCAUUUCCAUUACUAUUAAACAAACGAGUUAAGGUAGAAAUAUUGUAUCUCAACCAUAUAUUCAUCAUCCAUCAGUGGACCGAAUUACCCUCAUAUUGUAUCACAUCAAAUUCACAUAUUUACUACUUCAUCUAUCCCAUAAUGUAAGACAUUUACAUAUGGGAUGGAGGGAGUAAUUAAUUUUAAUCAUCUCCACAACACCUUGAUAGGAAUCAUUGCACCUUAAUUAGAAAAUAAAAUCAUCACAUCGGCCGGAAUUUUCAUAACACCAUAAAAGAAACCUCUAUCUGCAUCGUAUCCCCAUGCUCGUGUCGCCGCCAACAAACAUGCGUUGUCGGCCCGCCAUGCCAGCCCCCAUCACAUGGCGCUCCUGACUCGACCGCUCGCACCAUUCGCCAUCGAACAAUAUCAAUACAAAAAACUAAAAAAAGACAAAUCCAAUUAAUCUCCGAACAAUAUCAUCCCAACGACCUAGGUUGCUUCAUGAAUGCUCAAAAUGUUUAGCAUGCAAUUAAUAUUCUAUCAUAUAUAACGUAAAAAUGCAAGUGUGUGUGUGUGUGCGUGUGUGCGCGUGUGCGUGCGUGUGCGUGUGCGUGUGUGCGUGUGCGCGCGCGCUCGCGUGUGUGUGUGUGAGAGAGAGAGAGAGAGAGAGAGUGAGAGAGAAUAGAGUGGAAGAAAAUUGGGCAGGGGAAGAAGAAGAAGGCCAUAGUGAUUUAAAGAGGAGAAAGGAGAGGAGCAUGCUGCAGAUAGCCGUUGUAAUGGGUGAGUGGUUAAUUGCAUGUGUCAGAUGCAACUGACAUGCUGCAUGUGUCAGAAGCAAAUACACGCUAUACUGAAUGCUAUAUGGUGAGACGGAAAUCAUUAUACUGCCUGUGGGUAUUCAGUUUGCACGAAUCACGCGGCAACAUGCGGUGUGGAUACCGACCCCGCGUGGCCGCAUGUCCACUCAUGAUUAUUCGGUUUGUUAUAGACUAACAAAAAAGAAGGACCUUGGUAAGGGUCACACGUGUGGCGGGAAACAUUUUCGCCUGACGUUUUUUGAUGGCAACUUUAGUUGUGAAGCAUGACAAGUUUUAGUUUUUUGGGGUUUUUUUAAUGACAAUUUUAGUUGUAAAAACGCAAGGACGGUGUUACUUCAAGCCACACGUGUGACACUUAUCGUUUUGGAAAAAAAAUGCACAUCUCUGCUCCGUUAUUAUUAAAGGAAAAAUUGUGAUUGUGAUUCAAUAGUAAACAUAAUGAUGUCUAUCUCCAUUUCCAUUACUAUUAAACAAACGAGUUAAGGUAGAAAUAUUGUAUCUCAACCAUAUAUUCAUCAUCCAUCAAUGGACCGAAUUACCCUCAUAUUGUAUCACAUCAAAUUCACAUAUUUACUACUUCAUCUAUCCCAUAAUGUAAGACAUUUACAUAUGGGAUGGAGGGAGUAAUUAAUUUUAAUCAUCUCCACAACACCUUGAUAGGAAUCAUUGCACCUCAAUUAGAAAAUAAAAUCAUCACAUCGGUCGGAAUUUUCAUAACACCAUAAAAGAAACCUCUAUCUGCAUCGUAUCCCCAUGCUCGUGUCGCCGCCAACAAACAUGCGUUGUCGGCCCGCCAUGCCAGCCCCCAUCACAUGGCGCUCCUGACUCGACCGCUCGCACCAUUCGCCAUCGAACAAUAUCAAUACAAAAAACUAAAAAAAGACAAAUCCAAUUAAUCUCCGAACAAUAUCAUCCCAACGACCUAGGUUGCUUCAUGAACGCUCACAAUGUUUAGCAUGCAAUUAAUAUUCUAUCAUAUAUAACGUAAAAAUGCAAGUGUGUGCGUGUGCGUGUGUGCGUGUGUGCGCGUGUGCGUGUGUGCGUGUGCUUGCGCGCGCGGCGUGUGUGUGUGUGUGUGUGUGAGAGAGAGAGAGAGAGAGUGAGAGAGAGAAUAGAGUGGAAGAAAAUUGGGCAGGGGAAGAAGAAGAAGGCCAGAGUGAUUUAAAGAGGAGAAAGGAGAGGAGCAUGCUGCAGAUAGCCGUUGUAAUGGGUGAGUGGUUAAUUGCAUGUGUCAGAUGCAACUGACAUGCUGCAUGUGUCAGAUGCAAAUACACGCUAUACUGAAUGCUAUAUGGUGAGACGGAAAUCAUUAUACUGCCUGUGGGUAUUCAGUUUGCAUGAAUCACGCGGUAACAUGCGGUGUGGAUACCGACCCCGCGUGGCCGCAUGUCCACUCAUGAUUAUUCGGUUUGUUAUAGACUAACAAAAAAGAAGGACCUUGGUAAGGGUCACACGUGUGGCGGGAAACAUUUUCGCCUGACGUUUUUUGAUGGCAACUUUAGUUGUGAAGCAUGACAAGUUUUAGUUUUUCGCGGUUUUUUUAAUGACAAUUUUAGUUGUAAAAACGCCAGGACGGUGUUACUUCAUGCCACACGUGUGGCACUUAUCGUUUUGAAAAAAAAUGCACAUCGCUGCUUCGUUAUUAUUAAAGGAAAAAUUGUGAUUGUGAUUCAAUAGUAAACAUAAUGAUGUCUAUCUCCAUUUCCAUUACUAUUAAACAAACGAGUUAAGGUAGAAAUAUUGUAUCUCAACCAUAUAUUCAUCAUCCAUCAAUGGACCGAAUUACCCUUAUAUUGUAUCACAUCAAAUUCACAUAUUUACUACUUCAUCUAUCCCAUAAUGUAAGACAUUUACAUAUGGGAUGGAGGGAGUAAUUAAUUUUAAUCAUCUCUACAACACCUUGAUAGGAAUCAUUGCACCUUAAUUAGAAAAUAAAAUCAUCACAUUGGCCGGAAUUUUCAUAACACCAUAAAAGAAACCUCUAUCUGCAUCGUAUCCCCAUGCUCGUGUCGCCGCCAACAAACAUGCGUUGUCGGCCCGCCAUGCCCACCCCCAUCACAUGGCGCUCCUAACUCGACCGCUCGCACCAUUCGCCAUCGAACAAUAUCAAUACAAAAAAUUAAAAAAAGACAAAUCCAAUUAAUCUCCGAACAAUAUCAUCCCAACGACCUAGGUUGCUCUAUGAACGCUCAAAAUGUUUAGCAUGCAAUUAAUAUUCUAUCAUAUAUAACGUAAAAAUGCAAUCAUAUAAUUAACAUGAAACUAAUGUCCUAACUAAUAUAAACAUGGAAUUGAUUUCCUCUCUAAUUAAUGUCCUUCCAUCCGUCUUUUAAGAAGGUUGUCUCACAUAUAAUGUGACUUAUGAAUUCUUAAUUACCUAAUGUUUACGUAAUUGAAUUGAAUUGGCAUCAUGGAGACGAAAAUAAACCGUGCGUAUCAGCCUACCAACUCCCCUUUUAGGAGUAGAGAUUUACAACCCCCAACUCUAAUAUCGUUUGCAUUACAACCCCGAACUCUUAAAACCGGCUAGGAUUCAACCCUCCACUCCCCACUGACCAAUUUUGACCCAUUCACCAACAUGUCCAGUCAGCAAAAAAAUCAAAAUUUCCAAAAAGCAAAUCAGUAAAAUAAAAAAACCAAGGAAAAAGUUUGUAUACAGUUUACUUUUUUCCAUAAUUUUCAGAAAAUAGCCCCGAAACUUUUUUCCGAUUUUGCAAUUUUUACAGAAUUUUGAACUUUUUCCUUCAGAAUUUUUAGAAAACAACCUCAUUUUUUUCCCGAUUUUUCAGAACUCUGAAAUUUAUUUUUUGAUUUUAUAGUUUUCUUUCAUUCUGCAAAACUUUUUUUCCUGGAUUUUACAUUUUUUUUCUAGAAUUUUUUUUGCUAACGUAGGGAGGGGAGGGUUCAAUCCUGGCCGGUUUUAAGAGUUAGGAGUUGUAAUAAUGCAGAUAGUAUUGAAGUUGGGGGUUAAAGUAUGCACUUCUCUCUUCCGGUUUACAAGACGGACAUGGAUUUUUAGGUUUUAGUUUGACUAAAAAUGUGUUUGAUACCAUGUCAAAAAAUUUAUAUAUUCACAAAUUUUAACUCGAUGAAAAAUCAUAUGAUACAUUUUUAGUGGUAUAUAAUAGACAUUUCACUAAUCAAACUACACACCAAAGAUCCCGUGUCCGUCUUACAAAUCUGGAUAGAGUGAGCGGUGCUUUACCAAAUGAACCAUAUAAACAUAAAAGGCCAACAGUGUAGAUAGUGUACCAUUAAUUGCUUUUGGCUAUUGAUAUGCAAUGAUCCAUUUGUUUUAAAGGCCUUUCAAGCGCGUGCAUUUAGAGAAAAAAAUCCAAAACAUUGUCACCUGUGUAUUUAUCAGAAUACACUAAGAAUAUGCCAAUUCGAAACGAAGGCUAUAAAAAUUGGAGUUCCGGAUUUGUGUGUGUGUGCGCGAGCGCGCGUGCGGGCGUGCUUUGUGUGUGUUUGUGUGUGUGCGCGCGUGCGGGCAUGCUUGUGUAUGUGUGUGUGUGUGUGCGCGCGCGUGCGUGCGGGCAUGCUUGUGUGUGUGCGUGCGUGCAUGUGUGUGUGUGUGUGUGUGUGUGUGUGUGUGUGUGUGUGUGUGUGUGAAAUAGGGGCCUUGAGAUUUCGUUGCGAUAAUGAUGCAAAAUUGUAUUGUUCAAUCUAAAACCUGGACGAGAUGACCUGAUCUAUGAAGCUUGGAGAUGAAAAUUUUGAACAACCAUGGUUGAGGAUGACAUGUGUAUAUUCAUCAAAAUACACUAAGAUUAUGCCAACUUGGAACAGAGUCUAUAAAAAAUUGAAGUUUCGACUUUCAAGCAAUUUCAUAAGCCCUUCUUAAAAUGAUUUCCCUCUUCUUUGGAAUCGGAGAUGGGUGCCACCGGCUGAGGAUCAUAGCAGUGGCGCAUGUGAGUCUCCAGCGGAUGCCACCUCCACUGCUGGCGUGUUGCUGUUCCAAGCGGCGCUGCCUGCUGUAGGCGACGCGAUUAGGACCUCGCGAAACAUCUCUCCACUCGCUCCUACUACACUCUUCCUGCACGGGAGCUAUAUCUCACAUAUUCCCCUAUACUAGUGGUUGGGGCACCAUCUUGUGGUGUUGCUUGAGAGGAAGUUGUGCGUAUGUUUUUAUUUAAAAAAAAUAGACAAAGUCCCUGUCUUCAUUUAGAAAAACUUUUAAAAAUCCAAAAAAAGAAAAAAAAAAAGAAAAAAAAUCAAUGCAACCCACCAGCGAACGCCAUUUUGUGUAGCCCUCCAUUUAAAAAUAUAUAUAUGAGGGUCAUCACCUCCAUGUAAAAAAGAAAAAAACAUUUAAAAAAAUCCCUCUAACCUUAAUCUAUAAAUAAUAUCCAAAAAAGAUUUCACCACGGCCAACUAGGUUGCGCCACGUGGCAUAGCUGGUUGGCCUCCCUUCACGUGACACUUAAUGGGUUUAAUGGGUUCGUGGAGGUGGUUUUAGGAGGCUACUUGACUAGUUGAGACAAGUUUUCUGAAGCUUUCGUGUUUUCUUUUCUUUUGUUCUUUGUGUUCUUUGUGUCGUUUUGAUCACCUUUUCUUUUCAUUUUGGUCCUAUGUAUUUCUUUGUCGGUUCUCUUGUUUUAUGGUCCUUUUUAAUUUUUGUAAUACUUCUUUACUUUUUACAAUACAUGCUCUACAUUUUUCAUAUACAUUUGGAACAUUUUUUGCAUGUUGAAUAUUUUUUAAAUACAUGAUGAAUGGUUUUUCAAAAAAUGUUUUGAAAAAACUCUAAUAUGUGUUAAGAUUUUUUCAAAUACACCCCAAUUUUUUUUGGAUGAUACAAUUUAUGUUAAACUACAUUAUUACAUUAUAUAAACAUUUUAAAAAGUCAUAUCUUUUGAAUAGUUGAUUCUUAAAUUACAUGAACUUUCCUUUACAUUGUAUAAUUUUUUUAUAUGUGAGGAACAUCUUUUUGAAUGUUAUCGACAUUUGAAAAGUUGCACAAACAGUUUUUUCAACACAUCAUGAACAUUUUUUUAAAAACGUGAUGAAUGUUUCUUAAUAUAUACCAUUUCAAAAAUAUAAAUAAAAGUAAAAAAUAAGUCGACGCUCCUCCCAUGCUGGGCCAGCCCGUUAAGGAAGCGCCAGAGGCUACCGCUUUCUUUCAUCUCGCACAAAAGCGAGACAAAAGAUGCUCCCCUGCCUCCGCACUACUUGGGUAUGGCCCAUUCUUUCCAGCGGCCCCUUCAUUUCUUGGCCCCUUAGGCCUGAUCUUGUAUAUGUACAAGGUUCGAAAUCACUAAUUAAGGAGUAGUCAUUGCAAAGAACAUUCCACUUUCCCAGGUCACGACAAGUGGCACAUAUGUAGCGCGCCACUUAUCGCAAUCUGCGAGUUUUCCCAUUCUUCAUAGAUCCGUUUAUUCAAAACGUUUUAUCUCUUAAACCAUACGUCCAAAUCUCGAACCGUUUUCAUUAUUGCAUUUCUCGCGUCGAGAUCUUCAAAACUAGAUCCCAUGUUGAUAGGUUUAACGAAUUUUUUUUCACAAAAAAAAUCGGACGAAAAAAGUCGGGCGAAAAAACCGAACCGAGAGCACUGUUUUUUUCCCUUUCCGAAAGAGGCACGUCCGUGCCUCUCGCAAAAUCACAACCGUGCCUCUCGUGGAAGCAAAACCAUGACUCUCAUGUAAGGAAAAAAAACAGAAAACACAUUUUUUCCGUUUCCGAGAGGCACGGCCGUGACUCUCGCGAAAGCAAAACCUUGACUCUCGCAAAAGCAAAACCGUGACUCUCGCGAACGAAAAAAAACCAAAAAACUCGUUUUGCUUUUCCCUUUCUGAGAGGCACGGCCGUGACUCUCGCGAAAGAAAAAAAACGCGUUUUUUUCGUUUCCGAGAGGUACGGCCGUGACUCUCGCUAAAGCACAACCGUGCCUCUCACGAAAGAAAAACCGUGACUUUCACGAAAGGAAAAAAAAACGCGUUUUUUCGCGAAAAAAGAAUUUGAAUUUUUUUUGAUCAAAAUGCUAAGAAAGACCAGGGAAAAACCAAAAUGUCGAAAAAAACCCGAAAAAACUGUUUAGAAAGCCGAAAACGCGUGCGAAAAAAUAAAAAAUAAAAUCCGAAGGGAGCAUCCAGAACGCGACACAUGGCGAAUGACUAAGAGCGCGCCAAGUGGCGCUAAUCGUUACGAGGCUCCCGAAGAAGCGCUCGUUAACUAGUUGCUCCCUACAAGAUCCUUGCACUUGCGUAGGAACUACAUGUCGUCUGAGGAUCCCCCCUAUAGGACGCACAUGUGUGUGAAGAAGUCGUGGCUUCGCACUUGGGCAAUCCAACUUGGUCGGCCCAUUUGUAGUACAACUAAACAGAGGUACUCCCUCCUUCCCAUUAUGUUAUGUUAGGCAUCUUAGUUUUUCGCACAAAAAUUAGCACACAGUGACUGUUUCUGUGUCAUCUAUAGCUAUAUCUAUAUCUAUAUGUAUACCAAUAUAAAAAAGCAAAUGGACAGGACCAAUUAAUCUCGGCCAUCAAAUCAUGUCAAUCCAACAAUCUAGACUGCUUUAAUGUCGAGCGCUCAACACGUUUAGCGUGCAGUUAAUUUCAUGUCAAAUAUAGUAUUAAUCACAUAACAACACGCAAAUAAUUUUCUACUUAAUAUCCACAUUCACUUAAUAUAUACUUCCAAAUUAACGUGCAUUGCACAUACACAUUGACUAGUACAGUUACAGGAGGCGAGGAAUCCUCCAUUAUCUCCUCUACCUACCCUUGUUGAUCAGUCCUUUUUCAGCUCCACCGUAAACUCCCUCGCGCGCCCCUGAGAUUUCCCCACACCCAUGCCCCAGUGGGGAACAGGGCCCCAUUAGGGUCUCCUGUUGGGGAACGUAGCAGAAAUUCAAAAAAUUUCUACGUGUCACCAAGAUCUAUCUAUGGAGAAACCAGCAACGAGGGGAAGGAGAGUGCAUCUACAUACCCUUGUAGAUCGCUAAGCGGAAGCGUUCAAGAGAACAGGGUUGAAGGAGUCGUACUCGUCGUGAUCCAAAUCACCGGAGAUCCUAGUGCCGAACGGACGGCACCUCCGCGUUCAACACACGUACAGCCCGGUGACGUUUCCCAUGCCUUGAUCCAGUAAGGAGAGAGGGAGAGGUUGAUGAAGACUCUAUCCAACAGCAGCUCAACGGCGUGGUGGUGGUGGAGGAGCGUGGUACUCUAGCAGGGCUUCGCCAAGCACCGCAAGAGACGGGGAGGGAGAGGGGUAGGGCUGCACCAACAGGGAGAGGAACUCGUGUGUAUUGGGCAGCCCAAACCUCAACUAUAUAUAGGGGAAGGGGAGGGGCUGCGCCCCCACCUAGGGUUCCCUCCCUAGGGGUGGCGGCAACCCCCUAGAUCCCAUCUAGGGGCGGCCAAGGGAAGGGGAGAGGGGGAGGCGCACCAGGGUGGGCCUUAGGGCCCAUCUUCCCUAGGGUUUGCCCCCUUCCCCUCUUCCUUGCGCCUUGGGCCUUGGUGGGGGGGCGCACCAGCCCACCUGGGGCUGGUCCCCUUCCACACUUGGCCCAUGCAGCCCUCCGGGGCUUGUGGCCCCACUUGGUGGACCCCCGGGACCCUCCCGGUGGUCCCGGUACGUUACCGAUAAAACCCAAAACGUUUCCGGUGACCAAAACAGGACUUCCUAUAUAUAAAUCUUUACCUCCGGACCAUUCCGGAACUCCUCGUGACAUCCGGGAUCUCAUCCGGGACUCCGAACAACAAUCGGUAACCACAUACAAACUUCCUUUAUAACCCUAGCGUCAUCGAACCUUAAGUGUGUAGACCCUACGGGUUCAGGAGACAUGCAGACAUGACCGAGAUGACUCUCCGGUCAAUAACCAACAGUGGGAUCUGGAUACCCAUGUUGGCUCCCACAUGUUCCACGAUGAUCUCAUCGGAUGAACCACGAUGUCAAGGACUUAAUCAAUCCCGUAUGCAAUUCACUUUGUCCAUCAGUACGAUACUUGCCCGAGAUUCGAUCGUCGGUAUCCCGAUACCUUGUUCAAUCUCGUUACCGGCAAGUCUCUUUACUCGUUCCGUAACACAUCAUCCCGUGAUCAACUCCUUGGUCACAUUGUGCAUUAUAAUGAUGUCCUACCGAGUGGGCCCAGAGAUACCUCUCCAUUUACACAGAGUGACAAAUCCCAGUCUCGAUUCGUGCCAACCCAACAGACACUUUCAGAGAUACCCGUAGUGCACCUUUAUAGCCACCCAGUUACGUUGUGACGUUUGGCACACCCAAAGCAUUCCUACGGUAUCCGGGAGUUGCACAAUCUCAUGGUCUAAGGAAAUGAUACUUGACAUUAGAAAAGCUUUAGCAUACGAACUACAUGAUCUUGUGCUAGGCUUAGGAUUGGGUCUUGUCCAUCACAUCAUUCUCCUAAUGAUGUGAUCUCGUUAUCAACGACAUCCAAUGUCCAUGGUUAGAAAACCGUAACCAUCUAUUGAUCAACGAGCUAGUCAACUAGAGGCUUACUAGGGACAUGGUGUUGUCUAUGUAUCCACACAUGUAUCUGAGUUUCCUAUCAAUACAAUUCUAGCAUGGAUAAUAAACGAUUAUCAUGAACAAGGAAAUAUAAUAAUAAUCAAUUUAUUAUUGCCCCUAGGGCAUAUUUCCAACAGUCUCCCACUUGCACUAGAGUCAAUAAUCCAGUUCACAUCGAUAUGUGAUUAACACUCAAGGUCACAUCCCCAUGUGACUAACACCCAAAGAAUUUACUAGAGUCAAUAAUCUAGUUCACACUACCAUGUGAUUAACACUCGAUGAGUUCUGGGUUUGAUCAUGUUAUGCUUGUGAGAGAUGUUAUAGUCAACGGGUCUGAAUCUUUCAGAUCCGUUUGUGCUUUACAAAUCUCUUUGUCAUCUCCUAGAUGCAGCUACCACGUUCUAUUUGGAGCUAUUCCAAAUAACUGUUCUACUAUACGAAUCCAGUUUACUACUCAGAAUAAUCUGGAUUAGUGUCAAAGUUUGCAUCGGCGUAACCCUUUACGACGAACUCUUUUACCACUUCCAUAAUCGAGAAAAUUCCUUAGUCCACUAGUUACUAAGGAUAACUUUGACUGUUGUCCUGUGAUCCAUUCUUGGAUCACUCUUGUACCCCUUGACUGACUCAUGGCAAGGCACACUUCAGGUGCGGUACUCAGCAUGGCAUACUGUAGAGCCUACGUCUUAAGCAUAGAGGACGACCUUCGUCCUUUCUCUCUAUUCUGCCGUGGUCAGGUUUCGAGUCUUACUCAAUGUUCACACCUUAUAACACAGCCAAGAACUCCUUCUUUGCCGAUCCAUUUUGAACUCCUUCAAAAUUUUGUCACGGUUUGUAUUCAUUUGAAAGUACUAUUAAGCAUUUUGAUCUAUCCUUAUAGAUCUUAAUGCUCAAUACUCAAGUAGCCUAAUCCAGGUUUUCCAUUGAAAAACACUUUUCAAAUAACUCUGCAUGCUUUCCAGAAAUUCUACAUCAUUUCUGAUCAACAAUAUGUUAACAACAUAUACUCAUCAGAAUUCUAUAGUGCUCCCACUCACUUCAUUGGAAUUACAAGUUUCUCAUAAACUUUGUAUACACCCAAAAUCUUUGAUCAUCAUCAAAGCGUAUAUUCCAACUCCGAGAUGCUUACUCCAGUCCUUGGAAGGAUUGCUGGAGCUUUGCAUACUUAUAACAUCUUUCAGGAUUGACAAAACCUUCCGGUUGUAUCACAUACAACCUUUCCUCAAAAAUUGUCGAGGAAACAAUGUUUUGACAUCCUAUCUGCAAGAUUUCAUAAAUAAUGCAGUAAUUGCUAAUAUAAUUCCAACAGACUCUUAGCAUCGCUACGAGUGAGAAAGUCUCAUCGUAGUCAACUCCUUGAACUUGUCGGAAAACAUCUUAGCGACAAGUCGAGCUUUCUUAAUGGUGAUACUUACCAUCAUUGUCCGUCUUCCUUUUAAAUUCCAUAUGUACCUAACAGCCUUACGACCAUCAAGUAGUUCUUCCAAAGUCUACACUUUGUUUUCAUAUAUGGAUCCUCCCUCGGAUUAUAUGGCCUCGAGCCAUUAUCGGAAUCCAGGCCCACCACCGCUUCUCCAUAGCUCGUAGGUUCAUUGUUGUCUAGCAACAUGACUUCCAAGACAGGAUUACGUACCACUCUGAAGUAGUACGCAUCCUUGUCGUCCUACGAGGUUUGGGAGUGACUUGAUCUGAAGUUUCAUGAUCACUAUCAUAAGUUUCCACUUCAAUUGGUGUAGGUGCCACAGGAACAACUUCCUGUGCCCUGCCACACACUAGUUGAAGAGACGGUUUAAUAGCCUCAUCAAGUCUCCACCAUCCUCCCACUCAAUUCUUUCGAGAGAAACUUUUCCUCGAGAAAGGACCCGAUUCCAGAAACAAUCCCUUAUUGCUUUCGGAUCUGAGACAAGAGGUAUACCCAAUGUUUUGGGUGUCCUAUGAAGAUGCAUUUAUCCGCUUUGGGUUCGAGCUUAUCAGCCUGAAACUUUUCCACAUAAGCGUCGCAGCCCCAAACUUUUAAGAAAUGACAGCUUAGGUUUCUCUAAACCAUAGUUCAUACGGUGUCAUCUCAUCGGAAUUACGUGGUGCCCUAUUUAAAGUGAAUGUGGUUGUCUCUAAUGCCUAACCCAUAAACUAUCGUGGUAAUUCGAUAAGAGACAUCAUGGUAUGCAUCAUAUCCAAUAGGGUGCAGUUAUGAUGUUCGGACACACCAUCACACUAUGGUGUUCCAGGCUGUAUUAGUAGUGAAACAAUUUCCACAAUGUCUUAAUUCUGUGCCAAACUCGUAAUUCAGAUAUUCAUCUCUAUGAUCAUAUCAUAGAUAUUUUAUCCUCUUGUCACGAUGAUCUUUCAACUUCACCCUGAAAUUACUUGAACCUUUCAAUAAUUCAGACUCGUGAUUCAUCAAGUAAAUAUACUCAACAUCUACUCAAAUCAUCUGUGAAGUAAGAACAUAACGAUAUCCACUACACGCCUCAGCACUCAUUGGACUGCACACAUCAAAAUGCAUUACUUCCAACAAGUUGCUUUCUAGUUCCAUUUUACUGAAACCGAGGCUUUCAGUCAUCUUGCCCAUGUGGUAUGAUUUGCAUGUCUCAAGUGAUUCAAAAUCAAGUGAGUCCAAAUGGUCCAUUUGCAUGGAGUUUCUUCAUGCAUAUACACCAAUAGACAUGGUUCACAUGUCUCAAACUUUUCAAAAACGAGUGAGCCCAAAGAUCCAUCAACAUGGAGCUUCUUCAUGCGUUUUAUACCGAUAUGACUUAAGUGGCAGUGCCACAAGUAGGUGGUACUAUCAUUACUAUCUUAUAUCUUUUGGCAUGAACAUGUGUAUCACUACGAUCGAGAUUCAAUAAACCAUUCAUUUUAGGUGCAAGACCAUUGAAGGUAUCAUUCAAAUAAACAGAGUAACCAUUAUUCUCCUUAAAUGAAUAACCAUAUCGCGAUAGACAUAAUCCAAUCAUGUCUAUGCUCAAUGAAAACACCAAAUAACAAUUAUUUAGGUUUUAAUACCAAUCUCGAUGGUAGAGGGAGCGUACGAUAUUUGAUCAACCUUGGAAAUACUUCCAACACAUAUCGUCAUCUCACCUUUUAGCUAGUCUCCAUUUAUUCCGUAGCCUUUUGUUUCGAGUUAGUAACACUUAGCAACUGAACCGGUAUCUAAUACCCUGGUGCUACUAGGAGUACUAGUAAAGUACACAUUAUAAUGCAUAUCCAAUAUACUUCUGUCGACCUUGCCAGCCUUCUCAUCUACCAAGUAUCUAGGGUGGUUCUGCUUCAGUGACUGUUCUCCUUAUUACAGAAGCACUUAGUCUCGGGUUUGGGUUCAACCUUGGGUUUCUUCACUAGAGCAGCAGCUGAUUUGCCGUUUCAUGAAGUAUCCCUUCUUGCCCUUGCCCUUCUUGAAACUAGUGGUUUCACCAACCAUCAACAAUUGAUGCUCCUUCUUGAUUUCUACUUUUGUGGUGUCAAACAUCGCGAAUAUCUCAAGGAUCAUCAUAUAUGUCCCCGAUAUAUUAUAGUUCAUCACGAAGCUCUAGCAGCUUGGUGGUAAUGACUUCGGAGAACCAUCACUGUCUCAUCUGGAAGAUCAACUCCCACUCGAUUCAAAUGAUUGUUGUACUCAGACAAUUUGAGCACAAGUUCAACAAUUGAGCUUUUCUCCCUUAGUUUGCAGGCUAAGAAAAUCGUCAGAGGUCUUAUACCUCUUGAUGUGGGCACGAGCCUGAAAUCCCAAUUUCAGCCCUCAAAACAUCUCAUAUGUUUCGCGACGUUUCAAAACGUCUUCGGUGCCUCAACUCUAAACCGUUUAACUGAACUAUCACGUAGUUAUCAAAACGUGUAUGUCAGAUGUUCGCAACAUCCACAGACGACGUUCGAGGUUCAGCACACUGAGCGCUGCAUUAAGGACAUAAGUCUUCUAUGAAGCAAUGAGGACAAUCCUCAGUUUACGGACCUAGUCCGCAUAAUUGCUGCUAUCAACUUUCAACUAAAUUUUCUCUAGGAACAUAUCUAAAACGUAGAACUGAAGCGCGAGCUAUGACAUAAUUUGCGAAGACCUUUUGACUAUGUUCAGGAUAAUUAAGUUCAUCUUAUGAACUCCCACUCAGAUAGACAUCCCUCUAGUCAUCUAAGUGAUUACAUGAUCCGAGUCAACUAGGCCGUGUCCGAUCAUCACGUGAGACGGACUAGUCAAUAUCGGUGAACAUAUUCAUGUUGAUCGUAUCUACCAUACGACUCAUGCUCGACCUUUCGGUCUCUUGUGUUCCCAGGCCAUGUCUGUACAUGCUAGGCUCGUCAAGUCAACCUAAGUGUUUUGCAUGUGUUCCGAGGCCAUGUCUGUACAUGCUAGGCUCGUCAACACCCAUUGUAUUCGAACGUAAGAAUCUAUCACACCCGAUCAUCACGUGGUGCUUCGAAACGACGAACUUUCGCAACGGUGCACAGUUAGGGGGAACACUUUCUUGAAAUUUUAAUGAGGGGUCAUCUUAUUUACUACCGUCGUUCUAAGCAAAUAAGAUGUAUAAACAUGAUAAACAUCACAUGCAAUCAAAUAGUGACAUGAUAUGGCCAUCAUCACUUUGCUCCUUUUGAUCUCCAUCUUCGGGGCUCCAUGAUCAUCAUCAUCACCGGCAUGACACCAUGAUCUCCAUCAUCAUGAUCUCCAUCAUCGUGUCUUCAUGAAGUUGUCUCGCCAACUAUUACUUCUACUACUACAGCUAACGGUUAGCAAUAAAGUAAAGUAAUUACAUGACAUUUAUGUUGACACGCAGGUCAUAAAUAAAUUAAGACAACUCCUAUGGCUCCUGCCGGUUGUCAUACUCAUCGACAUGCAAGUCGUGAUUCCUAUUACAAGAACAUGAUCAUCUCAUACAUCACAUAUAUCAUUCAUCACAUCCUUUGGCCAUAUCACAUCACGUAGCAUACCCUGCAAAAACAAGUUAGACGUCCUCUGAUUGUUGUUUGCAUGUUUUACGUGGCUGCUAUGGGUUUCUAGCAAGAACGUUUCUUACCUACGCAAAGACCACAACGUGAUAUGCCAAUUGCUAUUUACCCUUCAUAAGGACCCUUUUCAUCGAAUCCGAUCCGACUAAAGUGGGAGAGACAGACACCCGCCAGCCACCUUAUGCAACUAGUGCAUGUCAGUCGGUGGAACCGGUCUCACGUAAGCGUACGUGUAAGGUUGGUCCGGGCCGCUUCAUCCCACAAUGCCGCCGAAUCAAGAUUGGACUAGUAACGGUAAGCAUAUUGAACAAAAGCAACGCCCACAACUACUUUGUGUUCUACUCGUGCAUAGUACCUAUGCAUAGACCUAGCUCAUGAUGCCACUGUUGGGGAACGUAGCAGAAAUUCAAAAUUUUCCUACGUGUCACCAAGAUCUAUCUACGGAGAAACCAACAACGAGGGGAAGGAGAGUGCAUCUACAUACCCUUGUAGAUUGCUAAGCGGAAGCGUUCAAGAGAACGAGGUUGAAGGAGUCGUACUCGUCAUGAUCCAAAUCACCGGAGAUCCUAGUGCCGAACGGACGGCACCUCCGCGUUCAACACACGUACAGCCCGGUGACGUCUCCCAUGCCUUGAUCCAGCAAGGAGAGAGGGAGAGGUUGAGGAAGACUCUAUCCAACAGCAGCACAACGGUGUGGUGGUGGUGGAGGAGCGUGGUACUCCAGCAGGGCUUCGCCAAGCACCGCAAGAGACGGGGAGGGAGAGGGGUAGGGCUGCACCAACAGGGAGAAGAACUCGUGUGUAUUGGGCAGCCCAAACCUCAACUAUAUAGGGGGGAAGGGGAGGGGCUGCGCCCCCACCUAGGGUUCCCUCCCUAGGGGUGGCGGCAGCCCCCUAGAUCCCAUCUAGGGGCGGCCAAGGGAAGGGGAGAGGGGGAGGCGCACCAAGGUGGGCCUUAGGGCCCAUCUUCCCUACGGUUUUCCCCCUUCCCCUCUUCCUUGCGCCUUGGGCCUUGGUGGGGGGCGCACCAGCCCACCUGGGGCUGGUACCCUUCCACACUUGGCCCAUGCAGCCCUCCGGGGCUUGUGGCCCCACUUGGUGGACCCCCGGGACCCUCCCGGUGGUCCCGAUACGUUACCGAUAAAACCCGAAACUUUUCCAGUGACCAAAACAGGACUUUCUAUAUACAAAUCUUUACCUCCGGACCAUUCCGGAACUCCUCGUGACAUCCGGGAUCUCAUCCGGGACUCCGAACAACAUUCGGUAACCACAUACAAACUUCCUUUAUAACCCUAGCGUCAUCGAACCUUAAGUGUGUAGACCCUACGGGUUCGGGAGACAUGCAGACAUGACCGAGAUGACUCUCCGGUCAAUAACCAACAGCGGGAUAUGGAUACCCAUGUUGGCUCCCACAUGUUCCAUGAUGAUCUCAUCGGAUGAACCACGAUGUCAAGGACUUAAUCAAUCCCGUAUGCAAUUCCCUUUGUCCAUCGGUACGAUACUUGCCCGAGAUUCGAUCGUCGGUAUCCCGAUAUCUUGUUCAAUCUCGUUACCGGCAAGUCUCUUUACUCGUUCCGUAACACAUCAUCCCGUGAUCAACUCCUUGGUCACAUUGUGCACAUUAUAAUGAUGUCCUACCGAGUGGGCCCAGAGAUACCUCUCCGUUUACACGGAGUGACAAAUCCCAGUCUCGAUUCGUGCCAACCCAACAGACACUUUCAGAGAUACCUGUAGUGCACCUUUAUAGCCAUCCAGUUACGUUGUGACGUUUGGCACACCCAAAGCAUUCCUACGGUAUCCGGGAGUUGCACAAUCUCAUGGUCUAAGGAAAUGAUACUUGACAUUAGAAAAGCUUUAGCAUACGAACUACAUGAUCUUGUGCUAGGCUUAGGAUUGGGUCUUGUCCAUCACAUCAUUCUCCUAAUGAUGUGAUCCUGUUAUCAACGACAUCCAAUGUCCAUGGUUAGGAAACCGUAACCAUCUAUUGAUCAACGAGCUAGUCAACUAGAGGCUUACUAGGGACAUGGUGUUGUCUAUGUAUCCACACAUGUAUCUGAGUUUCCUAUCAAUACAAUUCUAGCAUGGAUAAUAAACGAUUAUCAUGAACAAGGAAAUAUAAUAAUAAUCAAUUUAUUAUUGCCUCUAGGGCAUAUUUCCAACAUCCCCAUCCCCAUAACAAAUACUCAUAUACUUCCUUAGUUCCUAAAUACAAGUAUUUUUCAAGAUUUCAUUAAGGACUACAUACGGAUGUAUAUAAUAUUUUAGAGUGUAGAUUCACUCAUUUUGCUCCUUAUGUAGCCCGCAUUGGAAUAUUUAAAUAGACUUAUAUUUAGAAACGGAGGGAGUACUUAAUAUAAUAGACUAUAAUCAACAUAUAUACAUGGUUUUGUCUUGUUCUGCUAAUGCUGAUAUAGGUCAUACUGACUUCUUGGUCGUGGUGGCAGCUGGGGUGAGGAUGUGAGGUAUGGUUCACAUUUUCUUGAGGUUUUUUCUUUGUUUUCACAAGUUUGUUUAUGAAUAUUUGAAGGUUGACCAUAGUGUCAUAGUUAAAAAGUGGGUCCCCGAUGGGUAUUGGGUCUGGGGAAUAGGAUAUUGUCCCCAUCUCCGUUGUACCAUAUGGGAAAUAAAUUAGUUCGGUAAAUAUCCCAUGGGGAAGUUUUUCGCCCAUCCCCGCCCCGUAAUAGAUGAAAUCCCCAUGGUUUUGGCAGGUAUGGGCCCCAUUGCCAUCCCUACGCCCCAGGCAAUCAGUUAGCUCGCUAACCAUGUGAGAGAAAAUACUCAAGGAGAAAAUUAUGGCAGUUACUUUCGGGCUCUUUUGCCUUGGCGCGCUCUUCGUCGGCGGAUGCGGCGCAGGCAGAGACGGCCACGCCGGGGAUGGAGGCGGCCUGGCACAAGCCAGCUGGGCCUUCUCGCAAGGCCAUGUGGCAGCAAUGUCGUGUUCUGCAGCACCAACAAGGGAUUGGCGUGCGUGGUAGGUCGGGUUCUCCUACCUCAUUGGAGAGGAGGCAAAUCCCGCCGGAUCUCUAUGGGCUGUGUUUUCGGUGCUUCAAGGAGGGCCAUCAGAGGCAAGACUGUACGAACAAUCCGUUGUGCAUCAGAUGUGGGAUGUCGGGACACGUCUCAUCGCAGUGUCCGCAACCCAGGAGUCCAAUCUCGGUAGAGGAAUUGCAUCGGGCGGUCAUUGCCACGGUGGCUGGGGCUGAACCGAUGGCGAAGAGGCAGGCUCGGGAUGGUGGGAGGUUGUUGAUGGAGCCUGGGCAGGGGGCGCCGAGGUCGCCGGUUGCGCCCAACAACCACCUGCUACUCCCGGAGACACCGUCGCCGGUGGUGGAUGUCUGCAUCCUGCCGCGCUCUGCUACGAUGAACGACAUGGAGUGCCGGCUGCAGUUGUCGGUGGUGAUGUAUGUGGGGGGCCAACGGCCGUGGGUCACCUGUGAUAUGGCGGCGGAGAUCUUAUCGGUGCAGCUUGACAUACCGUGGCACAGGUUUUCGGUGCACAAGUAUCAUCCGGAGGACUUUCUGGUGAUGCUUGCCGGACAGGAGUUCAGAAACAAAGCUCUAGCUGCUCCAUUCGUCGUCCAAGGAGGGGUGCAGCUGUUCAUCAAGCCUUGGCUGAGGCAAGCGCAGGCAAAGUCCAAGCUGAUGAGGAUGCAGGUGGACUUGAUGAUAGAAGGGGUGCCGUCCCAUGCUGGGACUAGGGACACGGCGGUGGAGCUUCUAGGCAACUCCUGUUUGAUUGAGAGCUUGGCACCCAAAACGGAGAGCAAAGAGGAUUUGUCGCUCUUCAAGCUCAGGGCGUGGUGCAUGGAUCCAAAGGAGGUGCCAGUGUAUCGCCGUCUCUGGGUGCCGGAGCCGUCGUCGGCGAGUUUGAACCCGGCAGAGCGAAGGGAAACUUUCUGCCAACUGCUUGAGUAUCCCACGUUCAUUCAUGUUGGCAGAGUGUGGGAUUUCACACCACCGGAGCUCUGGGGACGGGCAGACGGUGAGGAGGAUGACAGCGGUCAAAGCGGCAUGCCGGAUAGGUCUCGCGAUUCGGCGCCAGGGGCAUUGGCAGGUUCAGCACUAGACGCGCGGUGUUUGCGACGAUCGUGGCGCCGGCAGGCAGCCAGCGGGGCAGUCUGGAGCUGGAGCUGACGGCGUUGGCAGAUCGUACCGGCAGGUGCUGGAGGGCCGGGUGGGCCCAUCGGAUUGGAGAAUCCCACCAAUGGGGUCGGGUGGGGCCCCAGUGUUAGCAGACAACAGGACAAGGGCGGUGAGGCAGUCAAAUUCAAGCGUGCCUUCCUGGUCCACAAUGAGGGGCAGGAAUCUGUUGAGGACAGAUGGCAGGCUGGUUUCAUCGGAUUCGCUGGAAAAGGAGAGAGGGAAGACCAAAGGCAAUGGCACCAGGACAACCACCCAGGUUCUCGAGUCUUCCGGACCAAUUACAGGCCCUGGGUUGGCGAGGGGCACCAAUCAGCUGGUGGCACAGGCCGUGGAGCCGGCUGCGACAGCUUUGGUGAUACGCAGAGGAGAUGGGAUUGGUGCAGAGGAGAUAGGAUUGGUGCAGGUGGGGGAGCCGACCGGGACAGAGGUGGUGAUCCCAUAGCAUGGGGCCUAGGUGGAGUUGGGAGUGGAGCAAUCCCCGAGGGUGGAUCAAUUGCGGGCAGAUGAUCUAGUGGUCUCCAGCACUCAGCUGGCCAUCCAGACUAUGGACGCGCAGAAAAUCCCAUCGGCACCAGGGUCGAAUGGCGAGCUGGUACCUGACCAACGGAUGGCUGGUGGAUGGGCCCCAGUGGAGGAUAUUUUACGGACUGAUACAGUCGGGGCGUGCAACGAGUUGGUGGUGGCGACAACCACAUUGGGUGAUGUGCCCAUGCACCCAAUGGUGGGUUCGGAGGCCACUGCGUGUGAUGUAACCACGUCGAGUCCAUGGAACAUGCCAUGCAACGUGCAUGCGAGCCCUGGCCAGCUGGUCUGUGCGGAUGCGAGACUUUCAACUAAAGAGCAAGUGGCACUUGGCAAUAUCAAGGACAUUCUGUGCGGGUUUGUUAAAGAAGUUAGCACCUCCCCUGCUCAAGGAAUUCGAGGGAUUGCGGGGCGUCCGGCCUGGACAGGACCCGUUUACACUAUGAUGCACUACCAGGUCACUUGGUGUGGGCGGUCCACGCAAGUCCAAGGCCUCCGCAGCGGAAUCGGUCCUACUCAAGACACUUGGGUUUGAUUGUGAUGAUUUGGCGGUCUUCGAGGACGCGCUAGGUCAACUGAGAGAGGUGUUUGACUCACCGCUGCAAGAGCAGCAGUUGAGGGCGAUCGCAACUAUCUUUGGCAAGGCAAUUCCAUUGAACUUGGGAGCCGAUCUGGAGAGCAGUGAGCUGGUGGCUGUCUAGGUCUCUAGCAGGGAGGUGGUACGGACAAGGAACUCUCGCUUUCCAUGUCGUACAACAACCAGGAGUUAGUGUGUUGGAAUGUGAGGGGACUCAAUAGCCCCGCUAGAAAGAAGGCUCUUAGGGAAUUUGUAGAAUCUCUAUGGGUAGCUAUCAUUUGUAUCCUAGAAACUAAGUUGGAGACGGUGGAUCAAUUUGUAAUAAUGCAAUGUUUAGGGCUAGUCUAUGAUGGCUUCUACUACUUGCCGGCUUCGAAUACUCGGGGUGGGAUCUUUGUGGCGUGGGAUUCCACGAAGGUGCAAUUGACAAACUUUGUCAACGAUACUAACUUCACAACAGGAUAUGUCUCUCCCUUGGAGGGACCGUCGUGGUGGCUCACAGUGGUGUAUGGACCGCAAGAGGAUGCCCAAAAGAUCAUAUUUUGGAAGAGCUAGCGGCGAGGCGACAGCUUUGCCCUAGCCCUUGGCUGGUUUGGGGAGAUUUCAACAUGAUUUUAUAUGCGGCUGACAAGAACAAUGCCCUUUUGGACCGGAGAAUGAUGAGUAGGUUUGAAAGGUUUGUGGAGGAUAAUGCGCUCAAGGAACUAUUCUUGCAUGGGCGUAGAUUUACGUGGAGUAGCGAAAGGGAGACACCAACGCUGACCAAGAUUGAUAGAGCAUUUGUCUCAAUUGAUUGGGAGUUAGACCAUCCGGAAUGCUUGCUGCAGGCUCUGUCUACCUCAACUUCGGACCACUGUCCCUUAUACCUAUCUCUCGAAGAACAUAUGCACUACAAGAAAAGAUUCAAAUUUGAGAAGUUUUGGGUCAAGAUGGAUGGUUUUUUGGAGGUUGUGAAGGAGGCUUGGGUUUGUAACCCGGAGAUCACGGACCCAUUCCAUCGUUUGGACACGUUGCUCAGGAACACGACCAACAGCCUAGCGAUUUGGGGUCAGAAAAGAGUGGGCAAUAUCAAGCUACAGAUUGUUGUUGCAAACCUCAUGAUUUUUCAGUUUGAUUAUGCUCAAUAAAUACGUCUACUGACCACAGAGGAGCGUGGGAUGAGGGGUAGGCUCAAGCACUUGGUGCUAGGUCUUGCUUUGCUAGAAAGAACAAUAUCCCGCCAGAGAUCUCGGAUUACCUGGCUGCACGAAGGUGAUGCCAACUCUAAACUCUUUCAUCUGGUGGCCAACGGAAGGAGAGUGAAGAAUUACAUCCCAGCUAUACAUGUGGAUGGACAAGUCAUUGCUGAUCAAGCUGGCAAAGAGGAGGCCUUCCUUAAUGCUUACAAAGCUCUCCUAGGCAGGGACGUGGCCAGGGAGCAUACUUUGGACUUGGCCUCUCUGGAUGUGACAGCGGUGGACUUAUCUGAGCAAGACUUAGUAUUCUCGGAGGCGGAAAUUUGGGUUGUUAUAAAAGAGAUGCCGUCGGAUAAGGCGCUGGGCCCGGAUGGUUUCAAAAAGCUUGGGAGAUUGUCAAGGGAGACCUGAUUGCGGCUCUACAUAAGUUGUUCAUUGGCAAUGGAGUUGGGUUUGGGAGGCUUAACCAAGCACUCAUAACUCUAAUCCCGAAGUCACUAGAGGCAUGCGGCAUUAACGAUUUUCGGCCGAUAAGUUUAGUUCACAGUAUGCCAAAGAUUGCUUCCAAGCUUAUGGCGAAGAGAUUGAGACCGAGGAUGGGAGAUUUGGUGGAUAUUAAUCAGUCGGCGUUCAUCAAAGGCGGGAAUAUACAUGACAACUUCUUGCUAGUACGACAAAUGGCAUGUAGGUUGCACAAGAGAAAGGCCAAAGGUGUGAUGCUGAAGCUGGACAUAUCGAGGGCAUUCGACUCACUCUCAUGGCCUUUCCUUUUGAGGUGUUGCGAGCUAAAGGCUUUUCAGAGAGAUGGAUUGAUUGGGUUGCCACUCUACUCACGUCGGCUAGUUCCAGAGUGAUUGUGGAUGGAUCGGCCGGAGCUAAGUUCAUGCAUGCUAAGGGCCUUCGGCAAGGGGAUUCUAUCUCACCUUUGCUUUUGUUAUAGCAAUGGACGUUCUUACCAAUAUUAUUAUCAAGGCUCAUGACUCCGAGGUGUUAAGCACAAUGACUGGAUGCAGCCCGUUGCAGAGGUUAUCACUGUACACUGAUGAUGUGAUCUUGUUUAUAAAGCCAACCAUCCUGAACCUGCACUUUGUGCGAGAAGUGUUUGGCAUUUUUGGAGAAGCUUCGGGACUGAAGAUCAACUAUGCGAGGUCGGCAGCAAUCAUGAUAAGGGCUGAACUAGAGGAUGAGCAGCUGGUCAGGGAUGCUCUGCCAUGGAAGAUGGAGUCAUUUCCAUGCAAGUAUCUUGGCUUGUAGUUGAGCAUUAAGCAGUUGAAGCGAUCGGAGUGGCAACCAAUGGUUGAUGCAGCGCUGCACAUCCUUCCUGGAUGGCAAAGAGAAUUGGUGACACGACCAGGGAGACUGAUUUUGGUCAACCAGGUUAUGAGAGCUAGGGCGACGCAUCAUCUGAUCGUGGCCGAGGCACCAACAUGGGCACUGGAGAGAAUUGACAAAGGAUGCCAGACAUUUUUUUGGGCCGGAUCAGAAGAGGUACAUGGAGAUAGAUGACUGGUAUCAUGGAACAGAGUGUGUCGUCCAAAAGAGCUGGGAGGGCUUGGUGUUAUUGAUUUACACAAGCAAGGGAUAGCUCUCAGGCUUAGGUGGGCAUGGCUUUCGAGAACCGAUGAGUCGAGACCAUGGCAGGGGCUGAACUGGAAACCUGAUAAAUAGGUCUGUGCGGCAUUUGGCAGCCUGGUGAAGUGGCAACUUGGUGCGGGCACAAAGGUGCUUUUCUGGACGGAUCGUUGGAUCAAUGAUGCAACAGUUAAGGAGCUGGCUCCACUGGUCUCUCGUCAGGUCAGGACACAAACUGCCAACAGAAGAUGUGUGAGAGAUGCAUUAUGGAUGCAUGCUUGGAUGGAGGAUAUUGGCGGAGAGCUGGACACGGAGGGUUUGGCACAAUUCAUCAGGUUGUGGGAGAUUUUGUUGGAGGUACAACUGGUGCCGGACACGGAGGAUAAACCUGUGUGGGAAUGGAACAGGGAUGGAAAAUACACGGCCUCCUCGGCACACAAGAUGAUGUGUAUUGGAGGGGUUAGAUUCCAACAUCACGCUGCAAUCUGGAAGUGUUGGGCACCACUAAUCUGCAAACUAUUCAUGUGGCUAGCCAUCCAGUACAGGCUCUGGACCUCGGACAGGAGAUGGAGACAUGGACUGCAGCAGGAGAGAUCACCGUGUUUCCCUUGUGAACAGGAGGAAGAUACUGUUGACCAUAUUUUGCUGCAAUGUGUUUUUGCUCGGCAAGUCUGGUACAUGUGCUUUGACAGAAUGGGGAUUGACAUGGCUUUAUGUCCCUCGACUCAAGAUAGUAUUGGGAGAUGGUGGUCAGAAGUGAGGAAACAGAUGCCAAAAUUGCAUCGGAAGGGUUUCGACUCUGUUGUCACAUCGGUAUGCUGGAACUUAUGAAAGCAGCGCAACGGAAGGGUGUUUGGCAAAACGGACUUGCAGAACGCAGGGGGCACAGUGGACCUGAUCUGGCAAGAACUAGUGAUGUGGACUAGGGCUGGAGCGACUGGAGUAGUUAUGUUUUGUGAGUAGUAGGCUUUGGGUUGUGUUAGGAGGCUGUGGUAGGACUAUGUAGGAGGCCUACCUAGCGUUGAUGUAAACUCUUAUACAUAUCUUUCUCCCGUUUAUAAAGCUAAGGUACACCAUUGACGUACCUUUAAAAAAAGUUAGCUCGCUAACCAAGAGAGAGAGAGGGGGAGGGAGGUAGAGAGGGAGAGAGGAGAGACAGAUUGCCGGCGGGAGGAGGAAGAUAACACACCUUAUGUUUUAGGAUAUUCUAAAGGCUGAGACAUUUUAGAUAUAUUGGGAAAAAAUAAGUAAUGUAAAGCCACUGUAGCAUUUCAGUAUGGGCGACGCUAGGCGCCGGUGCGCCGGCCCAAACGGUUCGGCCGGUCCAGGCCUAGCCGUCCGAUGCGCGAGCCUGGGCCGUCGGAUCUGCGCGAGAUCCCGUCUUCUCCAGCACCCAUCGUCAACCUCCCGCGCGGGGAAAAAGGAGAAGGAAGGAGAGCGCCGCCCCCGCAUGCGAGUUGCACCACUAGCCUUCCCGCGCUGCGCUUGCAACCUCUUCGCCGCCGUUCGCAUCCCUCAUCGCCGUCUGUCGUGUUCCUUGCAGCUCCUCGCCAUGGCGGGUCGCCGCUUCCACAUCACGCCUAUGUAGCACCGGCCAACAGCGGUUGCACCUCGCCGCCCCCAUGGUUGCAACACCAGGUGCGCGCCCAGGCGCCCUCGCCGACCCUCGCCGCCUGGUGCAUGCCGCUCGCAUCGGCGCCGUAUCUCUGGUCGCCACUUCCAUCUGUCGCCAUUGAAGCAAAAAAACUCACCGGUGGAAGCUUUGCAGGUUGCCGGUUGCAACAAAAUCAGAGCUGCGGGGGUUGUUUGAAGCAAAAUCGACAAACGCUUCCAGCAAAAUUGAACACCCGUUCCAGCUUUUGUUUGGUCGGUUGUAACAUUUCACGGCGUCGUCGGCGAGGGUGUCAAGAGCUCCGGUAGGCGGUUGAAGCAAAAUUGAAAAACGCUUCCAGCAAACGUGAAUGCCCGUUCCAGCUUUUGUUUUCGCCGGUUGCAACAUUUUACACUUGAAAAACAUAUGGUUGUAGCAAAAAAAGUCAGGCGCCAUCGCCGCCGGCGACGCUCGCCGUCGUCCUGGUUGCAACAAAAUCAAGCGUCGGGCUAGCUUCCUCAAGACUGGUUGCAGCAAAAACGCAGCAUCGUUGUCGGCGGAGGAGCGGGGUGGGGUGGGGGUGGGGACGGAGCGUUGGGAGGCGGCGGUGGAGGCACGCAGCUUGGCCGGCGGCGAACGGAGGGUGAGCUCGCGGCAUUGAGGUGAAAAAAUGAAGAUUGGAUCGAGGGAGGAGGAAGGAUGGUUACAUGGGCCCAAAAAAAAGGAGGCGCGGCCCACUACGCUCGCGUUGGGCGCGUGAUGAGGCGUGCGACCGGCCGAAGCUUCGGCCGGUGCACCGUCUGGGAACGUUUCCCUUACGGCAUCGUACCAAAACAAUACUGUACCUCCCCGGUUCACUGUAAACUCCCUCACGCGCCCCUAGGCAAUCAAUUAGCUAGCUAACCUCGAGAGAGAAAAUACUCAAGGAGAAAAUCAUGGCAUUCAGUUANNNNNNNNNNNNNNNNNNNNNNNNNNNNNNNNNNNNNNNNNNNNNNNNNNNNNNNNNNNNNNNNNNNNNNNNNNNNNNNNNNNNNNNNNNNNNNNNNNNNNNNNNNNNNNNNNNNNNNNNNNNNNNNNNNNNNNNNNNNNNNNNNNNNNNNNNNNNNNNNNNNNNNNNNNNNNNNNNNNNNNNNNNNNNNNNNNNNNNNNNNNNNNNNNNNNNNNNNNNNNNNNNNNNNNNNNNNNNNNNNNNNNNNNNNNNNNNNNNNNNNNNNNNNNNNNNNNNNNNNNNNNNNNNNNNNNNNNNNNNNNNNNNNNNNNNNNNNNNNNNNNNNNNNNNNNNNNNNNNNNNNNNNNNNNNNNNNNNNNNNNNNNNNNNNNNNNNNNNNNNNNNNNNNNNNNNNNNNNNNNNNNNAAUGCAUCGUAAUUUUACGUUCCGUAAGUUUUGUCUUAUUUCCGACGAAAAAAGAGACCGUAAGAAAUAUAUAAUCGCCAUAAAAAAUAUUUUAUGUUAUGUAAAAUUACAAACGUAAAAACAUAGUCUAAAAUACACAUAAACUGUAAAUUUUCUUGUCUUAUGAUCUAUAUUUUUAUUUUCUUAUGUCAAAUUUUACGUAGUGAAUCAAUAGAAAUGUAACUAUUUGAAUUUCAAACGUAAUUUAAUUAUGAAAUGAUCGUAAGAUUACCUCGGGUGCAGAAUAACUUAUUCUACACCCGAGGUAAUCUUACGAUCGCUUUCCAAAUAAAUUACGUUUAUAAUAUAAAUAGUUACAUGCAUAUUGAUUCAAUAUGUAAAAUUUGGUAUAAAACAAAAAUAUGGGUUAUAAGACCAUAAAAAUCAUAUUUUAUGUUUGUUUUACACUAUGUUUUCACAUUCGUAAUUUUACGUAACAUAAAAUAAUUUUUAUGGUGAGUACAUACUUUCUUACGUUCUCUUUUUAUGUAUGAAAUACGACAAAAUUUACGAAAUGUAAAAAUAUGGUGUAUUGAUGUCAAAAUAUGCAGGCGGGAGGGAGGAGAUAACAUGCCUUAUAUUUUCGGAUAUUCCAAAAGCUGAGACGCCUUAGAUAUUGGGAAGAAAGGAGUAAUGAGGAAUUGUAGCGUUUUCGGUAUUAUAGCAAAAUGAUACUGUACUACCUGGUUCACUGUAGUGCCCGAUUUCUUGCUUGGUUUUGUUUCGAAUAUUUUAUGAAAAUAUGACUAUAUACACCGAAUGAUUUUUAAACACACAUUGCACAUUUUGUAAUAUACAUCCAAAAAUUGUUAAAUACAGUGAUUUUUUUUGUAAAAAACAAUGAACAAAUUUCAAAGAGACAAUGAACAUUCUGUAGCAUACACUGAAAAAUGUCUUAAUAUACGGUGAAUUUUUUUCAAAUGCACAAUGAACAUUUUGUAAUAUAUGUUGAAUAAUUUCUUAAUAUACGAUGCCCAUUUUUUUAAUACAGGAUAAACAUUUUUAUAAUGCAUUAUGAUAUUUUUUUCAUAAUAUACUAUGAACAUUGUUUUAAUAUUUGAUGAACUUUUUAUAUGAUACGCAAAAAGGAGAAAAAAAAAGAAAUAGAAAUAAAGAACAUAAAAGAAAAAACGAAAUGAGCGAACCAACCUGUGGUUGGAUGGUUAGAGGGACUGUGGUAUCCUCAGCCCACCAGGGUUCAAGUCCUGAUGCUCACAUUUAUUCCUAGAUUUAUUUCAGGAUUUCUGGCGAUGCGCAUUUAGUGGGAGGAGACGUUCCCGUUGAUGACGAGGUACCUACGGUGACUUCGUAAAUUUCAAGAUGAUAUGUCGGCUCAGUCUUUCGGAGGUGCUCAUAGGGAUAGGGAUUUUUUUUAUAUAGAUUUAACAUUUUUAAAUACUCCCUCCGUCCCAAAAUAAGUGACUCAACUUGCAUGAUUAACAUUUUCUGAAUACAUGUUUAAAAAAUUCAAACACAGUUUAAACAUGUUUUGGUAUGAUAUGAAACAGUUUUUAAACCAUGUAAACAUGUUUCUACAUUGGAUAAACAUUUUUAGAAAAUGUGACAAUUUGUUUUGUUUGAAAGUAUGAACAUUUUUCGAAAUGUAACACACAGUCGUUUCAAUGGUACGAAACAUUUUUGUUUGAAUUAGACGGACAUUUGUUUUCAUGGUAUAACAAUAAAAAUAAUGUGAUGCACAUUUUUCUGAAAUACGUUAACAUUUUUGGAAUUUCACAUACAUUUAUUUUGAAUGAUUGAGCAAACAUUUUUUACACUGCAUUUACAUUUUUUAAAUGUGUGACAAACACUUUUAAAAAAUUUACUCCAUCUGAUCCAUAUUAAUUGUCGCUGAAACAGGAGUAUCUAGAUGUAUUUCAUAAUAUAUGUAUUUAAUAUUUUUGAAAUAUAAACAAAAGAAAAAAUGCGCAUAACAUCAGCGUGGCGAGACCAUGUGUUUACUGGGCCCACUACCGGCAUCAUGCAGGCGACAUUGUCUUUUGUCUCGCAUAAAGCGAGACCUAGACUUGCCCCUACUCUUAUCGAUGGUCAAGAUGUUUCUGUUUUUUUUUCAUUGUACAAAGUGCUUUGUGAUAGGUGCUAAAUGAAUAUAUUAGAAGCACAUAAGCACUAGACCAAAACAGCAUGCCUAAGUGGCUUGGUGGAAAGUAAGGUCGCAUUCCAAAUGAAGGCUAUAAAAAAAUGGAGUUUCAUUGACCUUUUUUUCCGCAAAAACCGAACUUCCAAAGAUUUGCUAGAUACAGGCAUCGGUCGAUCGACGAGGGACUCCAUUCUCCUUCUGCAGACAGACAAUCAGAACAAGUGAUUUUUGUGCAGUACAAAGGCGCGUAGAUUCUGUAGAACGCAGGCAUAAGGUGCUUACUACAUGCAGGAUGAAGUCAGAAAGUCUGAUGUUCGCCAUGAGAUCAGGAAAAUGCUAGCUAUCCACCUCGCCCAGUUGUAAAGGGUGUGAUAGCCUGAAAUUGUGGGUAACGCUAACGGUGAGAGGAGUAGAAAAGUAACACUCAUGCAUGAUGCAUCAAAUCGGCAAGAUUGACAAGGAACGAAUUAUUGUUCAUGUUAUGUGGGCAGGCCAUUACAACACUGUUAAAUAAUCUCACUGCUAUUACGAAAAGUUCGUCUUUCCUGCCACCCGUAACAUAAUAAUAUGUCGUGUAUUUAAAACUCAAGUGCCAGCAGUGGAGUCAUUUUGCAGGCAUAGGAUGUGAUGCAAACUGGAGAUUUAAACCAAGAACCUCAACUGGAACCUAUCACUAGAAAGGCUCAAAUAAUCCAGCAAUCGCAAAACAAAGUGAUGUACAUAGAAAACAUUGGUCAAUAUAAACAGAGAACUGACAUUUCCAACUAACUCCACAUUUCACUAUGGUAAAAUGUGGAGCCCAAUGGAUGGAUGGCCUCAAAAUUUAACUCACUAACAUCUAUUCGAAUUCCUUUUUCUUGUCGGAGCACCACAGCCCAGCAGUCAAGUACUCCCUCCGGUCCUUUUUACUCUGCACAUUGGAUUUGCCAAAAGUCAAACUUUGCUAAGUUUGACCAAAUUUAUAUUAGAAAUUAUUAGCAUCUAUAAUAUCUAAUUAAUAUAAUAUGAAAAUAUAUUCCAAGAUGAAUCUAAUGACACUGGUGUUGUUAUGUGAAUGUCUAUAAUUUUUUAUAUAAACUUGGUCAAAGUUGGAUGAGAUUGACUUCGGACAAACCUAAUAUGCAGAGUAAAAAGGACCGGAGGGAGUAAAUAUGAAAUAUAUGAACGACAUACCAAGACGAAUCACCUGGGCAAUUUCUAAUGAACACACAUGCUCCCAUUUCUAGCAUUUCUUCCAAGGCACUACAGUUGCAUUUCGUUGCACAGAAAUAAUAUAGUCAUGAGACGCUCCUACCAAGGAACGCAAAAACAGAGAAAUAUUCUCCCAGAUGAUAUGUCUAACAUGCAUAAUUGUUUGCGUGAAUCAAAUAUAAGACCUAGUCAUCUCAAAUGUAACUGUUUAAUAUCUAUUUACUGGAAUGAGAAGACACUCAUUACUAAAAACAAUCCACUUAGAUGCACUAAUGUAAAGGAAAGAGCAUUAAGCAAAAGAGAUGAAGAAAAGUAACACAAAUCACCUUUUGUGCAAUUUUCAUGCUUUCAUGUAUGGAAAAUAUUUUCGUCCAGCAUGCAGCACAUAAACUAAGUAUUCUCUGAAUAUCAACUAAAUAUAGUAGAAAUGCCCAAUGACGACCACAAUACUAGUAGAUGGACAGACAAAAAAAGUGAUUUUGGAGCAUUUAGUUGUGGAUCAUUACUAGUUUCUUUAACAAGUAACUGAAGUACUCUACAUUUAUGUUUCAGAAAGACAUUAACAGCAAUGAGCAGAAACUAGCUACUCCGAAAUGAAAAUUCACAAGAAGCAUAUCAGAACACAGGAGCUUCCUGACCCAAAAUGAUUUGUAUAUGGAACUAGAAGAGGUCAGUGAAGCUAGAAAUAACAUAUGGAACUACUGCACCAUGACAUGUAGCAGCUAGAAAUAAUAUAUGGAACUAGAGGUCCGGAAGCUAGCAGCAACAGCACCAUACUUCAAUGGGAACUAGUAUUCCUGAAAAUAGCAUCUGCAAGACCUAGUGGAUUUAGGUCGAUUUUACAGUUAUUUGCAGCACAUUGCUAAGUGUGCACAUUUAUAUUAAAAAAACCUUCUGAAUCAGCCAUGCUGGUGGCAAAAACCAAGCAGAACAAUCGAGAAGCAUAUAUUGAGCAAAGUUUUUUGUAACAAUUAUGGUUGCAUAGCAUACACGAUUUACUUGCGCAUUUAUGUCCCGUCCCGUGCCUCUUUAAAACAUCUCAAGGACUUAAUGCAGGAUGCCAAAAUCGAGGAUGGUAACAAAAUAGACCCUCCUAACAUUACCGGGCAUGUAAAGCAAGGCAUCUCUAGUACAUCAGACUGGUGAAGGAACAAAUUAAACUUAUGCUUGUAUGCAAACCAAAACACAAAGCUCAGGAAAACCACUUGAUUUCACUAGAACUAGUGAUUCUAGACAGUUGGCCUCUUUGUAUUGGCAUUGUGUCAGCAAAGGCGUUGAAUGCCUCUUGGAACUCCUACGUAAUGUGACGCGUCGCUCGCCACAUACUUUUUAGAAAAGAAAUAAGUGUAUAUUUCAGAAAUAUACACUUCUCCUAUGAAUAUGAUUGUCCCCCUACAAGAGUUGUGUACCAGCAUCGUUGUUACUUUCUUGAACUGUUAAGUUUGCACUCUGUCAAAUUAGCAUUGGCCAUUGGGGCAAAGAUGUGACUGGAAGUAGGUCUAGCUUUUGCACCGAUGAGAAGAAACGAGGACCAGCAUCGAAAUGAGAAUCAAUGAGAGUUGCUUGGGAUGCUGACACAGCCACCGAGCUGAUCUGGUGCAGGAGCAGUUUCCAAAAAAAAUUAGUAGAGAUACCUGUUGCCUCCUGGUAUAAUAUAUGUACCUAUCCCACAUAAUUUCAGGUCAUGAGUUCUUACUAAGCUGUGGCAUUGAUUCUACCACCCAUAUGCAACCUUGCGUGCGUGGUCACACGUACCACCUGUGAAUAUAGUAAUCGACAACGUCAGAUCAACUGGAUCCUAAGUCUACCUAGAGAUAUGAGCAGCUGAGGGCUUCACAUGGAGAUAUGCGACUUUUGAUCGGCCGGGCUUCCAGGGUUUCAGUGUGCUGCUGCAGAUCUGAAACUGCUAGCUAACUAUCUUUGAGGUCAACUAGAUGGUGUGCAGCGGUGCUGUGCUGUGCUGCCAACCAACUCAACUAGGGCACCUGACAGUUUUUGCCUGCUCCAUUUGGAAUCUGCCCACGCCUACCAAGCUCUGCUUCUAAUGGUCAACCCAUUAUCACACAGUGUGGCAUUAAUUAGUUCCAUGCAUGGCCCUGCGAUCUAGACUAAGCUGCUGUGCACGGAGAACCAUGGAGCCUGUAAAAUGUCAACGAAAUUAGCAGAGAAACCGAGUGGACUAUACUGCUGGUUUUCACUUGUGAUGAUCCUUUCUCCCCUCUUUUAUCUGACAGGAAACAAAUGCUGGCCGGUCCGUGAGGAGCUGACCUACGAAUUAACAAAUGCAGGCCGGUGCAGUGCGUGACAGUGUCAGAAGCUUCUGGGACUUGGAUCCAGCGAAACGUAGCCAUUACCAAGGCUAACACCACUAUAAAUGGCUAGCAUUGCUGCCCAUUCUGCACAAACCCAUAAGCCAAACAAAAACAGCUCUCUGGUAGGUGUUUACGCUUAGCGUUUUCAUCCUACAAUGAGAUCACUGCCCAUUGUAGUACUUUCCCUCCUGAUUCUUGUCCUUGCUGCCCAUGUAUCCCAAGCCGAUGACAAGGGCUCUUCGGUUGGAAGUGGGAAGGAUUCCCAUGAUGGUGAUGAUCAUAAAUCAAAUGGUGUAGGGCCGGUGAAAAAACCAAAAUGCCCUAAGCCCGGACAUGGUCCGAAAAACCAUGACAAUGAUGGUCGAGGACCACCGGAAAAGGAGUGCGAUGAUGGAGAGACAACACCGUCAUCACCUGGGCCUUCCCCAGACCAAGGUAAUGGUUCGCCAUCACCACCGCCAUCCCCAUCUUAUUCACCACCCAUGACUCCAUCACCUCCACCUCCAUCAGAAACUAGUCCUCCUCCGCCUUCAUCAAGCCCCCCACCAACACCUUCAUCUAGUCCUUCUGUUACACCUCCAACCUACGAACCUAAUGAUCAAUCGCCACCGCCUCCAUUGAAUCCUUCGCCCAUUCCCCCACCACCUCCAUCUAGUGCGCCUGCGGCACCUCCAAUGAACCCGACUAAUGAUCAAUCUCCUCCACCAUCUCCUUCAUCUAGCCCCCCAACGAUAGCUCCAGUCACCCCACAAACACCUCCAUCUAGUCCCCCUGUUACGCCUCCAUCUUACGAACCUAACGAUCAAUCGCCACCACCUACAUUGAAUCCUCCGUCCAUUCCCUCACCACCUCCAUCAAGCCCAACUGUGGCACCUCCUAUGAACCCAACUAAUGAUCAGCCUCCUCCACCAUCGUCGUCAUCUAGCCCCCCACCAAUAGCUCCAACUACUCAGCCACCUCCCUCUAGCCCACCUGCUACACCUCCAUCAGACUCAACUGAUGAGGAAACUCCUACAUCACCACCAUCAUCUAGUCCACCAGUAAUAACACUAUCAAGCCCUCCACCACCGUCAUCGAGUACAGCACCGGCUCCAUCCAUUGCCACACCACCUUUGUCUAAUCCCCCUGCCACACCUCCAACGUACCAAGCUGAUAACCAAUCCCCUCCACCUCCACCAUCAUACAGUUCGCCACCGACAACAUUAGCUAGUCCUCCACCACCACCAUUGAGUCCACCAGCAAUAGCACCAACCACUAGCACACCUCCUCCAUCUACUUCCCCAUCGCCUAUGUACACUCCACCAGCAACACCUCCAACGGGCUCAACUGAUGAGCAAACUCCAUCACNNN